rnacentral:lncRNA from 1 species
AACAAAGCAAAUUUGACGUACCAACACUAGGAGACUCAGAUUUCUCUGCAUUUACAGCAGGUUGGCUGUUGAUGGUAAGGAAACCCUUUGAGUUCAUCUUCACCAACUGAUCAUCAAUUGUAGUUGUCUCGGGUUGAAGACCAUCUAACUCAGACCAGUGGGCUGUCUUUUAAGUUUCCUUCACAGUAGUUACGACUCUGGUAGGUGAGAAGGUUGGGUANACAAAAACUAUUCGACUACUUUAGAAAGUUUGGUUUGUAAGUGGGACACUUAACCUAGUUCGGACUAAAAGUUAGUUACUUAACUUAUCUAGUUNNNNNNNNNNNNNNNNNNNNNNNNNNNNNNNNNNNNNNNNNNNNNNNNNNNNNNNNNNNNNNNNNNNNNNNNNNNNNNNNNNNNNNNNNNNNNNNNNNNNUUGGAGUCGUGUCCUGAUAGGACACUUGUAUCCUAGGCCUCUCAUAUAUAACGGGGGUAGACACACGAUGUAACCUAUGACCAACAUAAUAGCACAAGCGUGCAGGGGGAGCCGGCGGUGUGUGCCGGCGCCCGGGUGGCCAGCGUGCGGUAUUGUGACGGUGUCACAGGGAGGAGCGCCCGUAGUCAGGCCCCGGGGAUGUAGCCAUAUCGGUAGAACCUCGUUAACAAAUCUCAGUGUCGUGCUACGUGUGAUUGCUUGGUCCUCGGUAGAUCAACGAAUUGCCUCGGAUUAUUCUAACAAUUACUUUGAUGCUGCACUUAUUUUUUAGUGUGCGGAUAGGCAUGAGAAGCAAACAAACAGGAUAGUGCGAGACUCGUUACGAUUCAAAGUAGAGUAAGUAGUAGUAGGUUAGGUACGACACCUACGUAGUACGUACGUACUACGAGUARKAAGAAAARUAAAAACUAAACUAACCUUACGUUAGGUAGUAAGUACGAAACUAAMUACUAAUACGUACGUACUACCUASUWCGNNNNNNNNNNNNNNNNNNNNNNNNNNNNNNNNNNNNNNNNNNNNNNNNNNNNNNNNNNNNNNNNNNNNNNNNNNNNNNNNNNNNNNNNNNNNNNNNNNNNAUGAUUUCAUAUCCUUGUAAUUCUCUUCGAGUUAUGGGUUUCUUUUAGCCAACUUGAUCUAUAAUUCUUGCAAUCGGAGAAGUGUUUGGUUUUGGGUUCAUACCGUGCGGUGUCCUCACCUAGUGAUAGAAGGGGUAGCGAGGCACGCAGGUCGUGKUGUUGCCAUCAAGGGUAAAAAGAUAGAGUUUAUAUCAUAUUGCAUGAAUUUAUCCCUCUACAUCAUGUCAUCUUGCUUAAGGCGUUACUCCGUUUGUUAUGAACUUAAUACACUAGAUGCAUGCUGGAUAGUGGUCGAUGUGUGGAGUAAUAGUAGUACAUGCAGAAAGUAUCGGUCUACUUGUCUCGAACGUGAUGCCUAUAUGUAUGAUCAUUGCCUUAGAUAUCGUCAUGACUUUGNGCGAUUCUAGCUAUCGACCCGAUAGUUAUUUCGUACCACCCGUAACGUUAAUUACGUUGACUUAUCAGUAGGAAGAAGAACGUCCUACGUUAGGUACGAAACCUACGUUAGGUCCGGGGUCCCCGGUUAUUACGUUACCUUAACACUUNNNNNNNNNNNNNNNNNNNNNNNNNNNNNNNNNNNNNNNNNNNNNNNNNNNNNNNNNNNNNNNNNNNNNNNNNNNNNNNNNNNNNNNNNNNNNNNNNNNNGGUUACGUUAAGGUUAGGUUUACGAAACUUUACGUAAACCCAACAACCCUCGUAAAGGAACGUUAAGUAAUUACGUAGUACGNGAAAGGUAAGUACAGUAGCAAGGUAGUAGUGAGUAGCGAACAAGUAGCACGGUAAACGUAAGCAGCAGCAACAAUCAGUAGUGAUAGAGUAACAGUAGCAGCAGUGCAACAGUAGCAACGGAGUACCAGUAGCAGNAAUGACAGUAGUAGCGGCAAAGUAAYAUAGCAAGGACCAGUAGGAAAAACUUGUAGGCAUUGGAUCGGUGAUGGAUGAUUAUGCUGGAUGGUAUUCAUCAUGCAACAGUUAUAACACGGAGAGAUAUGUAACUAGCUCUAGUUGGUCAAUGUAAUGUAGGCAUGUCUUCUGUAUGUAGUCAUACGUGCUUAGGGAAAAGAACUUGCAUGCCAUCUAUUGUCCAUCCCUCCCGUGGCAGCGGGGUCCUAAUGGAAACUACGGGAUAUUAAGUUUCUCCUUUUAAUAGGAGAACCGGACCAACGCAUUAACACUUAGUGAAUACAUGAACUCCUUAUACUAUGGUCAUUUCCGGGUAGUGGUUCCGGCUAUUGUCACUCCGGAGUUGCUGGGUCAUAACACAGUAGUAGGUGACUAUAACUUGCAAGAUAGGAUCAAGAACACACAUAUAUUGACGAGAACAUAAUAGGUUCAGAUCUGAAAUCAUGGUCACUUCGGGGCCCUAGUGACAAGCUAUUAAGCAUGGGCAAAGUAGUAGCAACAGUCAAUCUCCGAGAACUAGUAGUAGGACUUACCGUAAGGGUNUACCAAACUCCGUUCGGUACUAAUAAAAGUUUAAAACCNNNNNNNNNNNNNNNNNNNNNNNNNNNNNNNNNNNNNNNNNNNNNNNNNNNNNNNNNNNNNNNNNNNNNNNNNNNNNNNNNNNNNNNNNNNNNNNNNNNNGUACAUUUACCUUCCUACGGUCGUCCUACGCAAACUUACUUCUACGAUGUUGAGUUUCUAUCUGGAGACCUGACGUGCAGAAGUGAUUAGUUCAAUUUCUUCUACCACCCACAUCUGAAGGCGUGGCAAAGAAUUCAUCAUCCUGUGAGCACCAUAUGAGAAAGGGGGCAUUGAAGCUAAUGCACUUCUCUUYACAGUAGGGGGUUAGAGUACUCAAAUGAAUAGGCAGAGCAAUWCUUUGAGGAUCUAUGAACAUAAUGAUUUGAGGUAUAAUGCUCAUAUUCAUAUCCCUUGUAAUUUCCGUGCAUAUCAAAAUCAUUAGCACGAGUACGAGUAUAGUUUUGACCAGUUGAGGAUGUUGAUCCUCUUGAAGACUUUGGUCCACCUGAGGAAUUUGAUCUGGGUUUCAGGUUCUUCAUAGGUGGUGUCAUGAGGACAUUCACCCUCAAGUACUUUUCCCAGGUCCUAACGUUUUGGGGGACCCCAGGAUUUCCUCCCCCGAGGGGGUUGGUCCCAUUUCCCGUGGUAAAGUUUACGGUUACCCAANNNNNNNNNNNNNNNNNNNNNNNNNNNNNNNNNNNNNNNNNNNNNNNNNNNNNNNNNNNNNNNNNNNNNNNNNNNNNNNNNNNNNNNNNNNNNNNNNNNNCCUAUAGCGAACUUUACCACCGUUACCCGUUUUCCUAUGACAUGUGGCCUUCAUUUUCAUUUUUUCCUAUUGCACUGAUCGGAAGAUAGCUAGCGACGAUGUUUCAACGGUCAUAUUGCUAAGCUAGAUCGUUGCACAUCCCGGUACACUGCCGGAGGCAUUUCAUAUAGAGUCAUUAUUGUUCUAAGUAUUGAGUUGUAAGUAAAUAAAAAGUGUGACUGAUCAUCAUUAUUAGAGCAUUGUCCCAUGUGAGGAAAUAAAAAAAAGAGGCCAAAGAUGCCCACCAAAAAAAUGAAAAAAAGAGGCCAAAGAGCCCAAACAAAAAAACUGAGAAGAAAAGAGAGAAGGGACAAUGCUACUAUCUUUUCCACACUUGUGCUUACAAAAUAGCACCACAUUCUUCAUGAUAGAGAGUCUAUUGUUUUGUCACUUUCAUAUACUAGUGAGUAAUUUUCAUUAUAUAACUUGGCUUGUAUAUUCCAAUGAUGGGCUUUCCUACUAAAAUUCGCCCUUAGGGUUCUUCGGUUGAGACGAAGCGUAAGGUUUGGGGUGGACCGUAACCCCUAACGUUUAGGUUUUUUCCUUUUUUGGAAGGUUCCCUUUUUACAUUUAACCGUAACCUUUUAAGUUAACGGUUUUACCGUUAAGGUUCGGUACCUAACUUUCCCGGGUUUACGUCCGUAACGUUNNNNNNNNNNNNNNNNNNNNNNNNNNNNNNNNNNNNNNNNNNNNNNNNNNNNNNNNNNNNNNNNNNNNNNNNNNNNNNNNNNNNNNNNNNNNNNNNNNNNGGGAAGCGUACCUAUUUAGUGACGGGUUUCUGUGUUUACCACUACAAUAGCAGUUUCAGUAUUUGGGGCAGGAGCAUUUUCUUCAUUUUGAGCAUUUUCAUCAAGUUGAGGAUUUUCCUCAACUUAAGGAAUUUGCUUGUUGUAGGAGGCAGUUGUAGCAUUAGUCGCUGCAUUAUCUGCACCUGAUUCUUGAGCAGAUUCCUCACGGAAGGUCUUCCCAUCAGAUCCUGUGAGGAUUUCUGUUGCAGCAGGAGUAGGAGGGAUUUGAGUUGACCUUGGUGAGUGAUGAGUUUCUUCCCGAAAGUCAUCAUGAAUAACUGGAGUGGUGCACCAGUUCAUCAUCACCCACAUUUCAUCAGAGGUCUUUGAGUAUGGUAGGUUGAGGAAUAUCAUACAAUUUGUAUUUCCUCUACUCCAUGUAUUUAUUCUAACUUCAGCUAAUCCUUCUACUUUCCUACACUUCUAACUUCCUUACGUAAGGUAAUACGGUAACGUUACGUACCGUAACCGUUACCCGGGAAACGGGUAACCGNNNNNNNNNNNNNNNNNNNNNNNNNNNNNNNNNNNNNNNNNNNNNNNNNNNNNNNNNNNNNNNNNNNNNNNNNNNNNNNNNNNNNNNNNNNNNNNNNNNNAAAGUUAAGGAAGGGACCGGGGUUCCCGUUUUCGGGAACGGGUAAAGGGUUUAAAAGGUUUAAAGGUACAAACUUUUGGUCAAUUAUACUACCGUUACGUUGGGCUUUCGUGUAAACGUAAAGAAUGGACACGUNACUACUAGAUACCCANAGCACCCACGUAAAACAAUGCAACACCACUAUUAGAGGACGACCUAACUUGUUUUUGUCAGGGUAUGCAUGUGAUAUGAUAUGGCAAAUACAUGAUAUGAUAUAUUGGAUGUAUGAGAUGAUCAUGUUGUAAUAGUUAAAUAUCGACUUGCACGUCGAUGCUACGUCAACCGGCAGGAGCCAUAGGGUUAUCUUUAAACUAAAGUUUGUGCUUGUAGAUGUCGUUUACUAUAUUGCUAGGUAGUARCUUUAGUAGUAAUAGCAUAGAUAGCACGACAACCUCGACGGCAACACAUGAUGGAGAUCAGUGGUGUGGCGCCGGUGACGAUGAAGAUCAUCGACCGUAGUUGUUUUGCUAGGUAGUUAGGAGUAACUACGAAGGAACGACAACGUAAGUACNNNNNNNNNNNNNNNNNNNNNNNNNNNNNNNNNNNNNNNNNNNNNNNNNNNNNNNNNNNNNNNNNNNNNNNNNNNNNNNNNNNNNNNNNNNNNNNNNNNNCGGUACGAACGGUACCGACCCGAACCCGUACCUUACCGUCCGUUACCUAGUUACUAACGUGUUCCAACGUCCUUUAGGUCCUUUAAAAGGGUACGGUUUUAACCUACCGGUUUUUCCGUUUUAAACGUUUGAAACCUUAAAUUAACCGAACCUUUAAGGACGUUAGGUCCGWYGUUAUGAMCUUARKACACUAGWURCAUGCUGGAUAGUGGUCGAUGUGUGGAGUAAUAGUAGUACAUGCAGAAAGUAAUCGGUCUACUUGUCUCGAACGUGAUGCCUAUAUGUAUGAUCAUUGCCUUAGAUAUCGUCAUGACUUUGUGCGAUUCUAGCAAUUGCCCGACAGUAAUUUGUUCACCCACCGUAAUACUUGCUAUCAUGAGAGAAGCCUCUAGUGAACACUAUGGGCCCGGGUCUAUCUUACACAUUAUAUAUUCAGAUCUACAUACAAAAAUACCAAAAAUACCUUGCUGCACUUUUAUUUAUAUUUACCUUUCAUCACUAUCAGAUCUCACCUUGCAAGUAAUCGUGAAGGGAUUGACGACCCCUUUAUCGURUUGGGUGCUAAGUUUGUUUGUUUUGAGCAGGUUUAUUGGUCCCUCAUCUUGAUACUCUAUUGGAUUGAUCCUUGGUUUCAAAUGAGGGUAAUACUUAUAUUCUACUUUGUGUCAUCCUACCCUUUCCUCUUACGAAACGGGGUAAAAACCAACCGGCUAAGACCUUCAAACGAAGGUUAACGACUAAAACCGUGNNNNNNNNNNNNNNNNNNNNNNNNNNNNNNNNNNNNNNNNNNNNNNNNNNNNNNNNNNNNNNNNNNNNNNNNNNNNNNNNNNNNNNNNNNNNNNNNNNNNUACCUGUAACCCAUACUCCUNUAAAAAUUUUAGUCACUAGAAUCUUAAGCAAAAAACGAACAGCUACGAAUCUGCCAGUACCUACCGGAUGUUGGAAAUAUGCCCUAGAGGCAAUAAUAAAAUAGUUAUUAUUAUAUUUGUUGUUUCAAAUAAUCGUUUAUUAUCCAUGCUAUAAUUAUAUUGAAUGGAAACAUAAAUGCAUGUGUGGAUAUAUAGAAAAAACAAUGUCCCUAGUAAGUCUCUAGUUGACUAGCAUGUUGGUCAAGGAUGGUUAAGGUUUCCUAGCCAUAGACAAGUGUUGUUACUUGAUGACGGGAUCACAUCAUUAGGAGAAUGAUGUGAUGGACAAGACACAAAGUAUAAACGUAGCAUAUGAUCGUGUCAUUUUGUUGCUAUUGUUUUAUGCAUGUCAAGUAUUCAUUCCUAUGACCAUGAGAUCAUGUAACUCACUGACACCGGAGGAAUGCCUUGUGUGUAUCAAAUGUCACAACGUUACUCGGUGACUAUAAAGGUACUCUACAGGCAUCUCCGAAGGUGCCCGUUGAGUUAGCUAUGGAUCAAGACUGUGAUUUUUCACUCCAUGUGACGUAGAGGUAUCUCGGGGCCCACUAGGUAAUACAACAUCACAAAAGCCUUGCAAGCAAUGUANACUAAAGUAUUAGUGACGGGUAUCUUGUAUUACACGAAGAAGUAAANNNNNNNNNNNNNNNNNNNNNNNNNNNNNNNNNNNNNNNNNNNNNNNNNNNNNNNNNNNNNNNNNNNNNNNNNNNNNNNNNNNNNNNNNNNNNNNNNNNNUCUCUGUCAUACGCCAUGCUAGAUCGUUGCACAUCCCGAUACACUACCGGAGGCAUUCCUAUGGAGUCAUCAUUAUUAGAGCAUUGUAUCAUGUGAGGAAAUAAAAAAAGGCCAAAGAGCCCAAAAAAAGACGAAGAAAAAAAAGAAGAAGGCCUAAGAGCCCAAAUGAAWAAAAGAGAAAAGGAGAGAAGGGACAAUGCUACUAUCUUUUUCCACACUUGUGCUUCAUGAUAGCACCAUGUUCUUCAUGAUUGAGAGCUUCUUGCUUCGUCACCACCAUAUGCUAGUGGGAAUCUUCAUUAUAUAACUUGGCUUGUAUAUUCCAAUAAUGGGCUUCCUCAAAAUUGCCCUAGGUCUUCGUGAGCAAGCAAGUUGGAUGCACACCCACUAGUUCUCCUUUUGAGCUUUCACAUACUUAUAGCUCUAGUGCAUCUUUUGUAUGGCAAUCCCUACUCAUUCACAUUGAUAUCUAUUAAUGGGCAUCUCCAUAGCCCUUUGAUACACCGAGUCAAUGWGACGSAUCUCCUUCUUUUUGUCUCACAACCACCAACACACUCUAUUCCACCUAUAGUGCUAUAUCCAUGGCUCACGCUCAUGUAUUGCGUGAUAGUUAAUAAAAGUUUGAAGAAAGUAAGAGUGUAAGAAAACAANNNNNNNNNNNNNNNNNNNNNNNNNNNNNNNNNNNNNNNNNNNNNNNNNNNNNNNNNNNNNNNNNNNNNNNNNNNNNNNNNNNNNNNNNNNNNNNNNNNNGUUUCUACACUCUUACUUCUCAACUUUUUAUAACUAUCACGCAAUACAUGAGCGUGAGCCAUGGAUAUAGCACUAUGGGUGGAAUAGAGUGUGUUGGUGGUUGUGAGACAAAAAGAGGAGAUGGUCACAUUGACUCGGUGUAUCAAAGGGCUAUGGAGAUGCCCAUUAAUAGAUAUCAAUGUGAAUGAGUAGGGAUUGCCAUACAAAAGAUGCACUAGAGCUAUAAGUAUGUGAAAGCUCAAAAGGAGAACUAGUGGGUGUGCAUCCAACUUGCUUGCUCACGAAGACCUAGGGCAAUUUUGAGGAAGCCCAUUAUUGGAAUAUACAAGCCAAGUUAUAUAAUGAAGAUUCCCACUAGCAUAUGGUGGUGACGAAGCAAGAAGCUCUCAAUCAUGAAGAACAGUGGUGCUAUCAUGAAGCACAAGUGUAGGAAAAGAUAGUACGCUAUUCGUCCCUUCUCCUUCCUUUUCCUUCUUUUUUUUACAGUUUCGGGCCUUCGUUAGGUCCCUUCUUUCGUUUUUUUUUCUUUCCGUUCGUUUUUUUUNNNNNNNNNNNNNNNNNNNNNNNNNNNNNNNNNNNNNNNNNNNNNNNNNNNNNNNNNNNNNNNNNNNNNNNNNNNNNNNNNNNNNNNNNNNNNNNNNNNNACUUAUAUUCCUAAGCUUCAUUUCGUAACCAAGAUAUGGCAUGCUCAUGUGGAGAAAAUGAGCAGCACCUCCUCAAGUUCAUUUCUGGCUGUAUCAUGGCUUUGAACAAGCAAGUAGUAUCUACCCUCAUUGUUUGAACUCAAACUUUGUAGUAUUGAAGUCCUUCCAUGCCUAGCACUGCUAGACAUAAUUUCUCUCCAAGGAUCCCCACCUAAGACCCCCUGUUGUCAGCUCUAUGUUUGCUGUUAGGAACUUUGCAGCAGUCAAGGCUAGUUCAAACCGACUCCACUAGUUGCCAAACUCCAGCGUUUCCUUUCUGCAUGUAUGCCUUCCAUGCUGGACAGGUUUCACUGCCAUUGCAAACCUGUGGGCAUGGGUGGCCGUGGUGACCACCACCCUGACCUGCAAACUGGGUGCUCUGCACCUAGUUUCCUCCCCUCCGACCGUUUCUUGGCGAGGCAGGUUGUCUCAGUGUGUCUCAGAGCAUCCUUUGACCGUUCCAAGCCACUCCCAAUCNNNNNNNNNNNNNNNNNNNNNNNNNNNNNNNNNNNNNNNNNNNNNNNNNNNNNNNNNNNNNNNNNNNNNNNNNNNNNNNNNNNNNNNNNNNNNNNNNNNNGAGGAACGACCGGACCCGAACUCCCGGACCUUCCUUARWCWWARGGAAARGWWUWGCCUUUGAAAGGAAAUUGAUUGCUGAUGGAUCAUACUGGAAACUUGAGCAGUAUCUCAAAACCUUAUGGGUUGCUGCUUGUGACAUCCUCGACUUUUGCUACAGUGAUUAUUGUAAUUAAGCUACAGUGAUCAACCGCUAACGAUGCCACGUCAUCGAAUUCCCAUCUCAGACCCGCGUUGAUUCGCGUCUGUCCGGAUUAAAAGAUUUGGAAACAAAAGAAAAGUACCUUAUAAGUUCAUUACGAAUAUUAAAAGAAUAGGGAUAUGAAAGAUAGGAUUAAAAGUACGUAUAAUAAUUUGUAAAAGAAAAUAUAAUAAGAGAAAGWGUUUCAAAAGAAAAAUUCAAAUAGUAAAUUAAAUAAUAAAAGAAAGAAAAGAAAACUGAAAGAAAGAAAUGAUAAAAGGGAAAAGGUAAAACAAAAUAAAAACAAAUCAAAAAGAAAAGAAAAAAGAGAAAGCAACUCCCUCCCCGGCCCAGCUGGGCCACCCACCGGCCGAGCCGGCCACCUCCCGCAACCCUAAUCCCCCCUGGCGACCCCCACUCCCCUCGCUACUMCCUCCCCCCCCCCCCUGUCCGCCGCCGCCAGCCCCCCUCGUGGSGGGGGCCCSMCCCSACCCSACCGCCGCCGCMUCGCCGCCACCUCCCCACCUCCCUCCUCCGUCGUACCCUCCCCACCCCACCCGACCAACCUACCCCUUCCGNNNNNNNNNNNNNNNNNNNNNNNNNNNNNNNNNNNNNNNNNNNNNNNNNNNNNNNNNNNNNNNNNNNNNNNNNNNNNNNNNNNNNNNNNNNNNNNNNNNNUAUUUGGCAUAUCACUUAUUCUUCUUGAAAAAAAACUUAAAGAGGGAGAUAGAUAAGGCAUCACUUGAAGAACUCUUGAAAGAAACACCAGUAUGAAUUUGGAAUGAAAGAGGAUACUACAAAUGAACUGGGGUGCAUGAGAACAAAAGAGAAAGAUUUGAUUAGAGAAUGCUUGAACAAGGCACCGGUAAGAAGUUCACGAAAUGAAUGAGGAUGCCAAGAAUGAAUGGAGAUACAAGAGAACAAGGAGAUCAUGAUCCUCUUGAGAGAAAACUUGAACAAGGCACUGGGAUAAUUGAGAGACGAACGAAGAGAUAACAAUUGAGAAGAAUGAUGAACUGAAACCUGUGAAAAUCUUCACAAUGAAUCAUUUGGUUACGUAUAUAGAAUAAAAAAAAUAACAAACGANAACAAAUAGAAACAAAAAACGGACACGUUUAAGUAAGGAAAAAUUUAGAAAUUCAACUUUAGGUAAUAAGGUAAGGGGUAGGGGAGGGGACGGNNNNNNNNNNNNNNNNNNNNNNNNNNNNNNNNNNNNNNNNNNNNNNNNNNNNNNNNNNNNNNNNNNNNNNNNNNNNNNNNNNNNNNNNNNNNNNNNNNNNAUCGUCUCCUUAUAUCUUUUAGAGCACGGCGGUGCGUGAUUUGGUAGUUGUCUUAUGCUAUGAAAGUAGUACCAAAGGUGAUAGAUACCCAAAGAGGAUGCAAAAAACCUCCAUCUUCGUGUGCAUUGAGUAGAAAGAGAAGUUUUGAUUCCUCUCAAAUAGUUUUGAGACAUGGAUUUGGUAAUAUUAAGAGUUAUGUUAGUAGGGUGUUGUGAAUCUAGAAAUACUUGUGUUGAAGUUAGUGAUUCCCGUAGCAUGCACGUAUGGUGAACCGCUAUGUUAGGAAGUCAGAGCAUAAUUGAUCUAUCGAUUGUCAUCCUUUGUGUUGAGGUCGGGAUCGCGCGAUGGUUAACACCUACCAACCCUUYCCCUCGGAGUAUGCGUUUAGCACUUUGGUUUCGUACUUACUAAUAAAACGUUUUGCAACAAGGUAUGGUGAACGUUCGUUCUAUAGGACUAAUGUGACGCCCUAGUGGUAUAGAUCGCACUUUACACCUUCCACCUAUUGCUAGCCUCUCUAGUNNNNNNNNNNNNNNNNNNNNNNNNNNNNNNNNNNNNNNNNNNNNNNNNNNNNNNNNNNNNNNNNNNNNNNNNNNNNNNNNNNNNNNNNNNNNNNNNNNNNUAUAUUUCUUAUAGAAAUAUUCCAAAAGCUUGAAAUAGGCAGGAAUGGUUUUGGAGGGGUUUGCCCAAUAUUUUGAACAUGACCAUGUGUUGAAACUCAUAAAUAUGGAAUAAAUAUUUCCACUGAGUUUCCCUAAAUUUUCUGAAAUAUUUUGAAGGCAACAAAAAAUAACUUUCCUUCAUAGGAGACCAUUUCUGGCCUCAUAGAAGGGCUUUUAAAUAAAAUAAUAAAAUAACUUUAAAAUAAUAAUAUGGUGGUUUUGGAAGACACUUUGAUAAUGGGUUUGAAAUAAAUAAUUGAUGCAAAAUAAAUUCCCUAAUUUGAGGGCUUGUAGUACAAACCUCAUCUCUAAGGUUUUAGUAAAGUUUAACCCAAAAGAAAAUGGUCUUUUUGGUAGAAAAUAAUAUUUAGGUAAAAGUAGAUUAUUUGUUCUAAACACAUGGCAUGAUCAGUUAGGCAGGAGAUCAUAGGGAAUGGACGAUGUGAGUUAGGAGAAUCGGCGAAAGUAUUAAAGUGGGGAAUNNNNNNNNNNNNNNNNNNNNNNNNNNNNNNNNNNNNNNNNNNNNNNNNNNNNNNNNNNNNNNNNNNNNNNNNNNNNNNNNNNNNNNNNNNNNNNNNNNNNUCUAUGUCAAGGAUCACGCAAUYCCGUAUACCAUUCACUUGUCCUUCGGUAUGUUAUUUGCCCGAGAUUCGAUCGUCGGCAUCUCCAUACCUAUUUCAAUAUCGUUACCGGCAAGUCUCUUUACUUGUUCCGUAAUACACGAUCCCGUGACUAAAUCUUUAGUCACAUUGCUUGCAAGGCUUGUUUGUGAUGUUGUAUUACCGAGUAGGCCCCGAGAUACCUCUCCGUCACACGGAGUGACAAAUCCCAAUCUUGAUCCAUGCUAACUCAACGAACACCUUCGGAGAUGCCUGUAGAGUACCUCUAUAGUCACCUAGUAACGUUGCAAUGUUUGAUACACACAAGGCAUUCCUCCGGUGUCAGUGAGUUACAUGAUCUCAUGGUCAUAGGAAUGAAUACUUGACAUGCAAGAAAACAAUAGCAACAAAAUGACACGAUCAUAUGCUACAUUUAUAGUUUGGGUCUUGUCCAUCACAUCAUUCUCCUAAUGAUGUGAUCCUGUCAUCAAGUAACACACUUGUCUAGUGGACUAACGGUAAACCUUAACCACUUACCUUCGGAACCAACGAGGUCCUAAGUACAAACCGUAGACGUAACUUACGUAAGGGACUUAGUUUGUUUUGUACUAUAUACUACCNNNNNNNNNNNNNNNNNNNNNNNNNNNNNNNNNNNNNNNNNNNNNNNNNNNNNNNNNNNNNNNNNNNNNNNNNNNNNNNNNNNNNNNNNNNNNNNNNNNNUAGUAAAAGCUUUAUUUUGUUCAUAAGCAUGGGGUGAAUUUAUCAUGGAUUGCAACAAAAGAAAUACAAUCAACCAAAGAGAAACUAUCAUAAUUAAAGUCUUGGUAAUCCAAAAUAGUGGGCACAUCACUAGUUAAAAGUUUUGACCUCUUUAAACCCACUUUUAUCAAUUUUCUCAACAAGGUUUUCACCCUCCGAAUCAUAGGGACGCCUUCUAACUAAAUAUGACUCUUCUCUAGUYCCCUUUUUCAUCKAAUAUUAUUUUUACUAAACAAAGAAUCAAUAGAUAGAAACACCAAUCAUUUUAAGAUCUUCAUCACUUUUAUGAAAGUAAUCACUAGAAAACGCUCUUUACUAAAAAUUCUCUUUUAGCUCUAAGCAUAGUGGUUCUUUUCUUACUUUCAUCCCUAGAAACAUAAAGAGAUUUAAUUGAUUCWUCAACUUUAGGCACACAAAAAUUCAUCUUGAGAGUUUCUACAUCAUGAGAAACUCUAUCAAUACUUCUAGACAAAUCAUCAACUUUAUUCAACUUUUUUUCUAUCGAAGUAUUGAAAGCUUUUUGAGUAUUGAUAAAUUAUUUAAUAUUGUUCUANNNNNNNNNNNNNNNNNNNNNNNNNNNNNNNNNNNNNNNNNNNNNNNNNNNNNNNNNNNNNNNNNNNNNNNNNNNNNNNNNNNNNNNNNNNNNNNNNNNNUGUGGAUAGAGAGACACAAUUUUGCUUCUUCGAGUACCAACUUACCAAGGAGCAUCCAAGAAAUUGACAUGCCCGAGAGGUAGACAUCAUUCCCACCUCAUCUCUGUCCCAAUCUGCAUCCGUGUACCCAACGAGAUCAAACUUGGCAUCCUUGKGGUACCAUAGACCCAACUUUGUGGUGUGAACAAGGUAUCUAAGAAUAUGCUUAACCGCCUUAUAAUGACAUUAACUAGGGGAAGCUUGAAAUCUUGCACACAUGCCUACACUUAACAUGAUGUCCGGUCUAGAUGCACAAAGAUAAAGAAAAGGACCAAUCAUAGAGCGGUAAAUAGAUGGGUCAAAUGGGAUAUUGUUUGUAUCUUUGUUAAACAACUAAGUUUGGUUAGCAUCGGUGUCUUACAUGGACUUGCAUUUGUCAUACUGAACUUCUUAGGAAGGUCCUUGAGAUAUUUGGUUUGGGACAAGAAACAUCCUUCUAGAAUUGUUGAAUUCGAAAACCGAGAAAGACUUCAAGUCCGCAUUGUGUGACNNNNNNNNNNNNNNNNNNNNNNNNNNNNNNNNNNNNNNNNNNNNNNNNNNNNNNNNNNNNNNNNNNNNNNNNNNNNNNNNNNNNNNNNNNNNNNNNNNNNUACAAGAGAGAGAAGAACCAUCUAACUACUAGCUAUGGACCCGAAGGUACUGUGGUGAACUACUCACGCAUCAUCGGAGAGGCAAUGGUGUUGAUGAAGAAGGCCACCGGAGAUGGGUCCCCCUCCGGCAGGGUGCCGAAACGGGCUCCCGAUUKGUUUUUGGUGGCUACAGAGGCUUGCGGCGGCGGAACUUCUAGAUAUAGGUUUCUUUUUGGGCGUUUCUGUAUUUAUAGGAAUUUAUGGCGGUGGAAUUACGUCAGUUGGGCCCACGAGGAGGUCACGAGCCUGCUAGGCCCUCCUAGGAGGGUAGGGCGCACCUACCGGGCUCGUGACUAACUCGUGGCUCUUCUGGCCUUCUUCCAAAGCUUCGAGGGUCUCUUWUGGUCCAAAAAAAUCAUCGCAAAAGUUUUAUUCCAUUUGGACUCCGUUUGAUAUUCCUAACUGAAAAAGGUCAAAAACAAGGAAAAAACAGGAACUGGCACUGGGCUCUAGGUGAAUAGGUUAGUCCCCAAAAAUGAUAUAAAAUGGCAUAUAAAUGUAUAUAAGACAUCCAAGUUAAUAAUGUAAUAGCAUGGAACAAUCAAAAAUUAUAGGAUACGUUGGAGACGUAUCAAGCAUCCCAAGCUUAAACUCCUAGCUCGUCCUCGAGUAGGAAGUGAUAAGUCCGAAUUUUGAUGCGGAAUNNNNNNNNNNNNNNNNNNNNNNNNNNNNNNNNNNNNNNNNNNNNNNNNNNNNNNNNNNNNNNNNNNNNNNNNNNNNNNNNNNNNNNNNNNNNNNNNNNNNUCUCUCCACAAGCUACAUCAAGUUCACAUAAAUACAACAAUAUACAAUCAUCAUGAAAAAGAGCAGGGUUCGACUAUGGACGAAAAUAAAUGAUAAAAGAACGACGUCCAUCCUUGCUAUCCUAGGUUGCCGGCGUGGAACCCAUCCUAGAUCGAUGAUGAUGAAGAAGAAGAAACUCCAAAAGCACAAUCAUCGCGCUCACAACAUAAUAUCACAUUACUUGUACUUGCAAUUGGUGUUGUAGUAAUUUGGGAGCCACAGGAACUCAGCAAUUUCAUUUCCAAAGGUAUCGAGACUAACAAAGCUUAAUUGGUGAGGCUGCAGCUAGCGACCAAGCAUUUAUUUGAGGUGGCUAACUUACGAGUACAAAAAUAGAGGGGUGAUCUACGCAUAUCGGAAGUGAACUAAUAAUGAUCAAGUGAAUGAUCGUGAACCCUACUUACGUCAGACAUAACCUCACCAUGUACUCGAUCGGAGAAGGAGCUCAAGAAAGAGACAGUCACAGUUACACACUUAGUUGGCUAAGUUUUUAAUUAAGUUUACUUCAAGCUAUCUAGAACUGGAUGUAAACAAGUUCAGUUNCCANAUACCGCGGCAUGANNNNNNNNNNNNNNNNNNNNNNNNNNNNNNNNNNNNNNNNNNNNNNNNNNNNNNNNNNNNNNNNNNNNNNNNNNNNNNNNNNNNNNNNNNNNNNNNNNNNUUUUCGCUUUGGGUCUUUCGUGAUAAUGGAUGGGUCAAAAUUCGGUUGUGCAAAGACAUCUAGCCAGAUAGUUCCACUCUCCGAGAAAAAUAUCCAGCCUUGUACACCAUUGCUCGCGAUAAGAAUAAUUCCAUUGUGUAGGUGCUCUCUGCUCAGAUCAUCUCCCCCGAACAUUCGUUCAUGCGAGAUUUGAUUGGUCCCCGACUUAUGGCAUAAUCUUUWWUCUCGACUAGAUGUGAUUAUUCUAACACAAGGUCGGGAUGUGUUUUGCUAGAACCUUACUACAUCGGGGUCKUUCUACAAAACUACUAUGUAAUGUGCGCUAACUAAUUCUGGAUACCGUGAAUAAUAACAAGAAAUUAGGAGGUCGAAGAUUCCACUAAAAGUAAAACUACUUCAUGUGGUAUCUUCAUAGGGGAGGUGGUGCUAAAGACAAUCUCGCACGGUACAACUAGUAAGGGAGUAAGAACUUUUUUGUUACUCAUGAUGAGACAAUUAAGCACCUCCUUUUACAAUGCAUGUUUGCAAGCUCUGUGUGCUUAGUUUGGUUANNNNNNNNNNNNNNNNNNNNNNNNNNNNNNNNNNNNNNNNNNNNNNNNNNNNNNNNNNNNNNNNNNNNNNNNNNNNNNNNNNNNNNNNNNNNNNNNNNNNAACCUCAGUGCCAAGGAUUCAUNUAAUCCCGUAUGUCAUUCUCUUUGUCCUUCGGUAUGUUACUUGCCCGAGAUUCGAUCUUCAGUAUCCGCAUACCUAUUUCAAUAUCGUUUACCGGCAAGUCUCUUUACUCGUUCCGUAAUACAAGAUCCCGCAACUUACACUAAGUCACAUUGCUUGCAAGGCUUGUGUGUGAUGUUGUAUUACCGAGUGGGCCCCGAGAUACCUCUUCGUCACACGGAGUGACAAAUCCCAGUCUCGAUCCAUACUAACUCAACUAACACCUUCGGAGAUACCUGUAGAGCAUCUUUAUAGUCACCCAGUUACGUUGCGACGUUUGAUACACACAAAGCAUUCCUCCGGUGUCAGUGAGUUAUAUGAUCUCAUGGUCAUAGGAACAAAUACUUGACACGCAGAAAACAGUAGACAAACAAAAUGACACGAUCAACAUGCUACGUCUAUUAGKUUGGGUCUAGUCCAUCACAUGAUUCUCCUAAUGACGUGAUACAGUUAUCAAGCAACAACACCUUGUUCAUAAUCAACGACGUAACCCUCGUACUUAACUUCCUUUUGAACUAUAAACCGUUGGGACCUUAACCGGUCUAACUUUACCGUUAANNNNNNNNNNNNNNNNNNNNNNNNNNNNNNNNNNNNNNNNNNNNNNNNNNNNNNNNNNNNNNNNNNNNNNNNNNNNNNNNNNNNNNNNNNNNNNNNNNNNGGAGUCCUUCCUUCCCUUUCCCACCUCCUUCCUUUUUUCUUCUUUGUAUUUCUUCGUAUGGCGCAUAGGGCCUUCUUGGGUUUGUCCUUCAGUAUGUUACUUGUCCGAGAUCGAUCGUCAGUAUCCGCAUACCUAUUCAAUCUCGUUUACCGGCAAGUAUCUUUACUCGUUCCGUAAUACAAGAUCCCGCAACUUACACUAAGUCACAUUGCUUGCAAGGCUUGUGUGUGAUGUUGUAUUACCGAGUGGGCCCCGAGAUACCUCUCCGUCACACGGAGUGACAAAUCCCAGUCUCGAUCCAUACUAACUCAACUAACACCUUCGGAGAUACCUGUAGAGCAUCUUUAUAGUCACCCAGUUACGUUGCGACGUUUGAUACACACAAAGCAUUCCUCCGGUGUCAGUGAGUUAUAUGAUCUCAUGGUCAUAGGAACAAAUACUUGACACGCAGAAAACAGUAGCAACAAAAUGACACGAUCAACAUGCUACGUCUAUUAGUUUGGGUCUAGUCCAUCACGUGAUUCUCCUAAUGACGUGAUCCAGUUAUCAAGCAACAACACCUUGUUCAUAAUCAGAAGACCCUGACUAUCUUUGAUCAACUGGCUAGCCAUCUAGAGGCUUGCUAGGGACAAUGUUUUGUCUAUGUAUCCACACAUGUAUAUAAGUCUUCAUUCAAUACAAUUAUAGCAUGGAUAAUAAACGAUUAUCAUGAACUAAGAAAUAUAAUAAUAACUAAUUUAUUAUUGCCUCUAGGGCAUAUUMCAACAGUCUCCCACUUGCACUAGAGUCAAUAAUCUAGUUCACANNNNNNNNNNNNNNNNNNNNNNNNNNNNNNNNNNNNNNNNNNNNNNNNNNNNNNNNNNNNNNNNNNNNNNNNNNNNNNNNNNNNNNNNNNNNNNNNNNNNUGAGGAAGGUUUCCUCCUCCAAUUCAGUUUGGAGGAGGAGUCCUUUCCUUCUUGCCCACCUCCUCUCUCUUUUUGUUUCGUUCUUUUCCUUUAUUGUUGACUUAGCCGAAAUAGGCUUAUUGGGCUGACCUCACCAGCCCACUAAGGGCUGGUGUGCCACCCAUGGGCCUAUUAGGUUCUCUCCCGGGUGGGUGGCCCCUCCCGGUAAAACCCCGAACCCAUUCGUCACUCCCGGUACUUUACCGGUAAUGCCCGAAAUCUUUCUGGAAGUCAAAUGCAACAAUCCUAUAUAUCAAUCUUCAUUUCUGGACCAUUCUGGAGACCCUUGUGAUGUCCGGGAUCUCAUCCGGGACUCCGAACAACAUUUGGUUACCAACAUCAAUAAUUCAACUAUUACCAAAACGUCACCGAACCUUAAGUGUGCAAACCCUGCGGGUUCAAGAACUAUGUAGACAUGACCGAGACACUCUCUGGCCAAUAUCAAAUAACGGGACCUGGACGUCCAUAUUGGAUCCUACAUAUUCACGAAGAUCUUAUCGGUUNNNNNNNNNNNNNNNNNNNNNNNNNNNNNNNNNNNNNNNNNNNNNNNNNNNNNNNNNNNNNNNNNNNNNNNNNNNNNNNNNNNNNNNNNNNNNNNNNNNNUACCUGCUUCUGUAUUGUUUGAUACAGGAGCAUCGCAUUCCUUUAUGUCGGAAAAUUUUGCAUACAUGCAUGACAUUAGGAGCGAAGAGAUGAACAUCCCGAUAGUGGUAAACACCCCUGGGGGCGAAUGCCGAACCUCUGUGGUUUGUCCCCAUGUUCCAGUUGAAAUUGAAGGAUUAGAAUUCCUUGCCAACCCCAUCCUACUAAAGUCAUCCAACAUCGAUCUCAUAUUGGGGAUGGACUGGUUGAAAGCUCAUACGGCGUCGAUCGUUUGUGCCACCAAAACCGUCCACCUCCUACACCCUUCAGAUGAACUAGUAAGCUACCAUGCUCAUCUCGUCCGUAAUGCUGAGGCACGGCUGUAUGCCUUGAAUGCAUUAAAUGCGUCGCCUCUUGAAGGGAUUGAAAACAUUCAAGUGGUCCGAGAAUUCCAAGAUGUCUUUCCAGAAGAACUUCCGGGGAUUCCCCCUGCUCGAGCUGUCGAGUUUGUCAUUGACUUGGUACCCGGUACCACUCCUAUUGCCAAGCGUCCUUAUAAAAUGCCACCACAUGAACUCCUUGAACUUAAGCAAGAAAUUGACAACUCGCUCCGUCUGGGUUUCAUCCGUCCGAGUUCCUCUGCUUGGGGAGCACCUUCUCUCUUUGUUAAGAAGAAGGAUGGGACAAAUCGAUUGGUUCAAGACUAUCGUCCUAUCAACCAGGCCACUAUUCAAAACAAAUAUCCUCUCCCGCGGAUAAAUGAUUUGUAUGAUCAACUUGCUGGUUCCACCGUUUUCUCUAAGCUCGAUUUGAGAUUGGGAUACCACCAGAUCCGUGUUCGCAAGGAGGAUAUUCCAAAGACCGCCUUUGUUACUCGAUAUGGAUCAUACGAGUACACCGUCAUGUCCUUCGGCUUAACCAAUGCACCGGCAACUUUCUCUCGAUUGAUGAAUUAUAUAUUCAUGGAUUACCUCGACAAAUUUGUCGUGGUAUAUCUGGAUGAUAUUCUGGUGUUUUCGAAGAACAAAGAAGAGCAUGCUGAACAUCUUCGUCUUGUACUGGAUAAGCUUCGGGAGCAUAAACUCUAUGCGAAGUAUUCCAAAUGUGAGUUCUGGCUAGACAAAGUGACUUACCUUGGUCAUGUGAUUUCCAAGGACGGUAUUGCGGUCAACCCCGAACGAAUUCAAGCUAUUCUUGACUGGACUCCCCCGAAGAAUGUCAAGCAAGUCAGAAGCUUUCUCGGACUCGCCAGCUAUUGCCGUCGAUUCGUCGAGAACUUCUCCAAGAUUGCGAAGCCCUUAACCAACCUGCUUCACAAAGGUGUUAAGUAUGAAUGGACUGAUAAAUAUCAGGAAAGUUUCCAGGCACUCAAGGAUAAACUGACGUCCGCUCCAGUACUUGCUCCUCCAGAUACGAAAAGGGAUUUCGUCAUAUACUGUGAUGCUUCUCGUCAAGGAAUAGGUUGUGUCCUAAUGCAGGAUCGUAAGGUGAUCGCUUAUGCUUCACGUCAACUGCGUGCUCAUGAAGAGAACUACCCAGUUCAUGAUCUCGAGCUUGCCGCAGUCAUUCAUGCGUUGAAGGAAUGGCGACAAUACCUUGUCGGUAAUCGCUGUGAAAUCUACACCGACCAUCAAAGUCUGAAGUACUUGUUCACUCAACCGGAGCUGAACCUGCGUCAACAAAGAUGGAUGGAGCGUAUAGCAGAUUUUGACUGUAGUAUAUCAUAUACCCCUGGCAAGGCUAAUGUAAUGGCUGAUGCCUUAAGUCGCAAGUCAUACUGCAACCACCUCCAAGUGCAUCAGGUUCACGAUCGUCUGCAAGAGGAAUUCCGUAAGCUGAACCUCCACAUUGUUCCUGAGGGUUACCUUGUUACCCCUCCUGAAGAGUAUCAAAAGAUGAACCUUCGUGUUGUUAAUCAGGGUUCCCUCAGUAACCUAGUGGUUGAACCAGAUCUUGUGAGCUCCAUAAAGAAUAUACAAAACUUUGACGAUGAUGUCGACAGGAUUAAGAGCUAUAUUGCGAAGGGUAAACCCUCCUUUUUCACUGUUGAUGAAGGUGGCGCCUUGUAUUUCAAGGGUCGCCUAUUCGUUCCAAAUAAGAAGGAAAAUCUCAGGAUGACUGGGAAGGUGAUGGAAGAAGCUCAUGACACACCAUUGUCUAUUCACCCGGGUAGUCCAAGAUGUACCAAGACAUCCGGCAAAGAUUCUGGUGGCCCAAUAUGAAACAAGACAUUGCACGCUAUGUGGCAGAAUGUGAUAUAUGCCGGCGUAUCAAAGCAGAACACCAAAAGCCUGCUGGAACUCUGCAACCUAUCUCUAUUCCCGAGUGGAAAUGGGAUCACGUUGAAAUGGACUUCGUCACUGGUUUUCCCAGGUCUCAGAAAGGUAAUGAUGCUAUUCUUGUCGUCAUUGAUCGACUGUCCAAAGUUGCACAUUUCCUGGCCGUCAAAGAAACGAUUAAUGCUAGUCAGCUGGCAGAUCUUUAUAUGUCAAGAGUUGUUUCACUUCACGGUAUUCCGUUGGUAAUCAGUUCGGACCGUGGCAGCUUGUUUACUUCAAAAUUCUGGGAAUGUUUUCAGAAGGCUAUGGGGACUCAUCUGUCCUUCAGCACGGCAUUUCAUCCUCAAUCCCAGGGACAAGUUGAACGAGUCAACCAAAUUCUCGAGGACAUGCUUCGAGCUUGUGUCAUUUCUUUCGGUAAGAAAUGGGAGGAAUCUCUCCCGUAUGCCGAGUUCUCUUACAACAAUAGCUAUCAAGCUAGCCUGAAGAUGGCCCCUUUCGAAGUAUUGUAUGGGCGNNNNNNNNNNNNNNNNNNNNNNNNNNNNNNNNNNNNNNNNNNNNNNNNNNNNNNNNNNNNNNNNNNNNNNNNNNNNNNNNNNNNNNNNNNNNNNNNNNNNUCAUGACAUGUGCCUUCAUUUUCAUUUUUCCAUUGCAUGAUCGGAAGAUAGCUAGCGAGAUGUUUCAACGUCAUAUGCUAAGCUAGAUCGUUGCACAUCCCGGUACACUGCCGGAGGCAUUUCAUAUAGAGUCAUUAUUGUUCUAAGUAUUGAGUUGUAAGUAAAUAAAAGUGUGAUGAUCAUCAUUAUUAGAGCAUUGUCCCAUGUGAGGAAAUAAAAAAAAGAGGCCAAAGAUGCCCACCAAAAAAAUGAAAAAAAGAGGCCAAAGAGCCCAAACAAAAAAACUGAGAGAAAAAGAGAGAAGGGACAAUGCUACUAUCUUUUUCCACACUUGUGCUUCAAAAUAGCACCACAUUCUUCAUGAUAGAGAGUCUAUUGUUUUGUCACUUUCAUAUACUAGUGAGAAUUUUCAUUAUAUAACUUGGCUUGUAUAUUCCAAUGAUGGGCUUCCUCAAAAUUGCCCUAGGUCUUCGUGAGCAAGCAAGUUGGGUGGACACCCACUAGUUUUCUUUUUGAGCUUUCAUACACUUAUAGUUCUAGUGCAUCCGUUGCAUGGCAAUCCCUACUCAUUCACAUUGAUAUCUAUUGAUGGGCAUCUCCAUAACCCGAUGAUACGCCGAGUCGAUGUGACCAUCUCCUUCUUUUUGCCUCGCAACCUCCACCACACUCUAUUCCACCUAUAGUGCUAUAUCCAUGGCUCAUGCUCAUGUAUUGCGUGAGAGUUGAAAAGGUUAGAGAAAGUAAGAGUGCGAAAACAAUUACUUGUCCAAUACCGGGGUUGUCCAUGAUUUAAAUUCGUUGUUUGGGGAUGAUGGAGCAUAGCCAGACUAUAUGAUUUUGUAGGGAGAAAUUUCUUUGGCCUUGUUAUUUCAAAAGUUCAUGAUUACUUUGCUAGUAUGCUUGAAGUAUUAUUGUUUUCAUGUCAAUAUUAAACUAUUGUUUUGAAUCUUACGGAUCUGAACAUUCAUGCCACAAUAAAUAAGUUACAAAGAACAAAUAUGUUAGGUAGCAUUCCACAUCAAAAAUUCGGUCUUCAUCACUUCCCUACUCGAGGACGAACAGGAGUUAAGCUUGGGGAUGCUUGAUACGUCUCCAACGUAUCUAUAAUUUUUUAUUGUUCCACGCUAUUAUAUUAUCAACUUGGGAUGUUUUACAUGCAUUUAUAUGCCAUUUUAUAUCAUUUUUGGGACUAACCUAUUAACUCAGUGCCUAGUGCCAGUUUCUGUAUUUUCCGUGUUUUUGACAUUUUUCAGAAAAGAAUAUUAAACGGAGUCCAAACGGAAUAAAACCUGCGNNNNNNNNNNACAGAAGAUACCGAGAAGACUUGAGAACCAAGGAAGGAGGUCUCGUGGGAGGUCACGAGCCCCCUAGGUGUGCCCUAGGGGGGACGCGCCUAGCAGGCUUGUGGGCCCCCCUUUCCUCCUCUGCCCUACCUCUUUUGCCUAUAAAUUUCCAAAUAUCCCGAAACCACCAGAGGGAGCCACGAAAAUACUUUUUAACCGCCGCAAGCUUCUGUCUCCGCAAGAUCCCAUCUGGGGACCGUUCUGGUGCCCUGGCGAUGGGGGAUUCGGACACGGAGGGCUUCUUCAUCAACACCGUUGCCUCUCCGAUGAUGCGUGAGUAGUUCACCACAGACCUUUGGGUCCAUAGCUAGUAGCUAGAUGGCUUCCUCUCUCUCUUGGAUCUUCAAUACAAAGUUCUCCAUGAUCUUCAUGGAGAUCUAUCCGAUGUAACUUUCUUUUGCGGUGUGUUUGUCGAGAUCCGAUGAAUUGUGGAUAUAUGAUCAGAUUAUAUAUGAAUAUUAUUUGAGUCUUCUCUGAUUACUUAUAUGCAUGAUUUCAUAUCCUUGUAAUUCUCUUCGAGUUAUGGGUUUCUUUUAGCCAACUUGAUCUAUAAUUCUUGCAAUCGGAGAAGUGUUUGGUUUUGGGUUCAUACCGUGCGGUGUCCUCACCUAGUGAUAGAAGGGGUAGCGAGGCACGCAUCGUGUUGUUGCCAUCAAGGGUAAAAAGAUAGAGUUUAUAUCAUAUUGCAUGAAUUUAUCCCUCUACAUCAUGUCAUCUUGCUUAAGGCGUUACUCCGUUUGUUAUGAACUUAAUACACUAGAUGCAUGCUGGAUAGUGGUCGAUGUGUGGAGUAAUAGUAGUACAUGCAGAAAGUAUCGGUCUACUUGUCUCGAACGUGAUGCCUAUAUGUAUGAUCAUUGCCUUAGAUAUCGUCAUGACUUNNNNNNNNNNUGCGAUUCUAGCAAUUGCCCGACAGUAAUUUGUUCACCCACCGUAAUACUUGCUAUCAUGAGAGAAGCCUCUAGUGAACACUAUGGGCCCGGGUCUAUCUUACACAUUAUAUAUUCAGAUCUACAUACAAAAAUACCAAAAAUACCUUGCUGCACUUUUAUUUAUAUUUACCUUUCAUCACUAUCAGAUCUCACCUUGCAAGUAAUCGUGAAGGGAUUGACGACCCCUUUAUCGUGUUGGGUGCAAGUUUGUUUGUUUUUGAGCAGGUUUAUUGGUCCCUCAUCUUGAUACUCCUAUUGGAUUGAUACCUUGGUUUUCAAACUGAGGGAAAUACUUAUAUCUACUUUGUUGCAUCACCCUUUCCUCUUCAAGGGAAAAACCAACGCAAGCUCAAGAAGUAGCAAACUGCCAUGAAAAGCCGAGAUAAUCCUUUGUUUAAUUUUGGUGUUCCAUCCGAGCCAAAUCCUGCGAUGGAAGCGCAAAAUACCCUGCUGCAAGGAAAAAUGCCCCUUUGGGUCUUCCCUCAUGGCGAGUUGCUCCAGUAAGCGCUCGGCCUAGGGAUUGUUGACAUAGCUGUUGGCGACAUCUUGAGCCACGCUGGCUGGCACGACGUGAUGGUAGUCAGAGUGUCGGAGGGGUUAGCGCGCGAUAAGGCAUUAGCACCGGCAUUCUAAAUGCCUUUUUGUAGCGGAUGCAGUAAUGUAGACCGAGUAGUUUGGUGAAUUCCUUCUGCUGCCAAGGCAUUUUCAGUCGUUGUUCCUCCAAAUGAACUAGGCUUUUUUGGUGGGUGAGGAUGUCGAAUUCCACAUGCUGAAGGUAGGGCCACCAUUGAUUGAUAGACACAAUAAUUGGGAGGUACUCCUUCUCAUAAGUGGACAGGCCCUGAUAACGCAGACUGAGCGCCUUCUCAUGAAAGAAAACGAAUGCACGUUCUAUUGCAGAAUGGCCCCAAUGCCACGAUCGUUCGCGUCUAUCUCGACUGCGAAUGGUUGCUUGACAUUGGGUAGGGCCAGCAUAGGGGCUAAGACCAGUUGUUCCUUCAGCACUUGGAAUGCAGUUUCGAUGACGGGAGUCCAUAGAAAUGGGACCCCUUCCUUUAGCAGAUUGAACAGGAGUCGUGCGAUCACGCCGAAAUUCCUAACGAACCGGCGGUAGUACCCUGCGAGCCCCAGGAAGUUGUGGACUCCUUUGACGUCCGUGGGGGUUGUCCAAUUAACCACUGCAACAAUCUUGGAUGGCACGAUGGAGACGCCCUCGACACUGAUGGUGUGGACGAGGUACGAAAUCUCCUAUUGGCCAAAGGCACAUUUGCUUAGCUUGACAUUCCAGCAAUCCUUGCAAAGCGGUUGUAGAACCUUCCGCAGAUGGACGACAUGGUCAGGCAGAGACGCGUUGAAGACCAAGAUGUCAUCGAAUAAGGAGAGCACGCGCACACGGUUGAGAGGGUUCAGGUCCAUUGUCAUUGCGCCCAGAAAUUUCGUCGGUGCGCCUGCGAAGCCAAAUGAGACCACCAUUAACUCGAAGUAGCCUUGAUGGAUUGAAAUGCAGUUUUGUGCUCCUCUCCUGGUGCAAGACGGAUUUGGUGGUAACCUGCACGGAGAUCAAGUUUGGAAAACCAGACCGCGCCAUGUAGUUCGUCCAGAAGUUCCUAAAUCACUGGCACUGGGUACUUGGCGACCACUGUAAGUGCUUUGAUGUGUCUAUAAUCUAUGCACAAGCGCCAUGCCCCAUCCUUUUUCUUGAUGGGGAUGAGUGGCAAAGCGAAGGGACUGGUGUUGCAUUGAAUGAUACCUGAUCUGAGCAGUUCUUCAACUUGUGCUUUGAUUUCCGUUGUGUGCUCUGGCUUGUGACGAUAUGGCCUGAUGUUCACUGGUUGUGUACCCGGGAAAAGAGGUAUCCAAUGAUUGCUAGCUCGCCGGGCAUCACACAUGUGGGCGCGACGAAGACAUCUGGAAAGUCGUCGAUGACGCGUUGAAUGCAGUCUGGGGUUGGCGCUGAUGUUUCACUGGCUGUUGCGAUCACAUACAAAAGAAUUCUCGNNNNNNNNNNNNNNNNNNNNNNNNNNNNNNNNNNNNNNNNNNNNNNNNNNNNNNNNNNNNNNNNNNNNNNNNNNNNNNNNNNNNNNNNNNNNNNNNNNNNCUCGAAGACCAAGAUGCACAUGCAUUUUCAGGCUAUUGACAAUGAUCUCUCGUACAUUGUGGAACAUGGCAUUCCCUCCAUCGCUGCUACUGUCUCUACCGCUGAUGUGAAGAAAUUCAAGCAACUUGAUUCUCAAGCAAAGAAUAUCAUCUGUGGCCAUCUGAGCAAAUGUCAGUAUGGCAGAGUGAGUGCUUUGGGCACAGCGAAGCUUAUCGGGGAUAGGCUGUCCAAAGUCAAUGAAGGAAUUUCACCUCAGCGUGACUCUCGUGUUGAUGUUCUUCGCAAUCUCUUCAAUCGCUUCAAGAGGCUUCAUAAUGAAAGUUGACAAGACACCUUUGAUCGCCUCACUGACAUCUCAAAUGAACUGGGAGCUCAAGACAUCGUUGACCAUGAAGUUGUAAAGAAACUGCUAAGAUCUCUAGAUCCAUCAUUUGAUACACUCGUUCUGAUGAUUCAAGAAAGAGCAGACUAUAAGAUGCUUGAUCCUGCUGAUAUACUCGAAAGGCUCAAUACUCAUAAAAUCCAACAGGAAGAAAAGAGAGAUCUAUAUGGACCAAGCUACUCUGGACCUCGUGUGCUGAAGGCCAAAGCAAUUUCCUCAUCUGAAGAAGAAGACUCAGAUUGCAGCAUUGGUGAUCCUGAAGAAGUUGGACAGGAGCUUGCAAUGCUCGUGAGGAAAAUGCAGAAGUUUACAAGGGGUGGAGAGUUUGGUAAAUCUUCAAGAAGAGAUAUGAGGAAAUCAAAAUCUUCAUGUGAGGACUACAAGAAAAGAACCUGCCACAAAUGCAAGAAAUUUGGCCACUAUAUUGUUGAUUGUCCUCGCUGGCUGAAGGAAUCAAAGAAGAAGAAUUAUAAGGAUGAAAGUUCUGAUGACUCGAAGCAAAAUAAGAUAUCUUAAAAAUCCUCAUCCUAAAAGUCCUCAUUGCACAAGAAGACUAGUUUCAGAAAGGCUCGGGCACUCAUUGGCAAGGAAAUGGAUUCUGAGGAAGAAUAUGAGGAAUGUGAUGAAGAGGAAGGUUCUGAAGAAGACUCAGAGUCUGGUGUGGCAAGUCUUGCACUGGCUACCACAUUCUUCAACAAGUCAAUCUUCAACCUUGAAGAAAAUGACAACACUAUCUACACUGAUGACUAUGUUGAUGACUUCGCUCCAACCUAUUGCUUCAUGGCAAAAGGUUCAAAGGUACCGAAUGACACUUUCUCCUCUUAUUCAAGUGACUGUGAACCUGAUGAUUAUAAAAAACCCAGUUAUAGUAAACUUGCCAGCAUUGCAACUAAGCAACAAAGUGCCAUUGAAAAGCUUCAAAAACUGCUAGACAGAAGCGAUUAUCUGUUGAAUGACGAAAUGAAUCAUACACAAAUCUUCACUGAAGAUGUGAAAAGUCUUUAGUCUAGAUUUGAUAGUCUUCAAGAUCUUUAUGGCACACUCUUGGCUGAUCAUGAGAAACUUUCCUAUGAAUCUCUUCAAAGGAAACUUGAUCUUGAGAAUUUGAAGAUGUCUCAUGAUGAUAUUUGAAUGGAAAAUGAUUCAUUGCUUGCUCAACAGAUCAGUGCCACUCGGGUUGAAUUCACUCCACCAUGUCUCAAAUGCAUCGAGCGUGAAACUGCCAAUUCUUCACCAGAAUCAUCAAAUGCUUCUAUUGCUGCAAAUUCUUCAACUGCUCCUAUGGUAAAAAAUUCCGCACUUGAGGAAACCACAAACGUGACUGACGAAAAUGCACGGCUGAAGGAAUUGUAUGUGACAGGCAUGUACAAAAGUUUCAAAGGGCAUCAAACCCUUUGCGAUGUGCUCACAAAGCAGAUUUUGAACAGGAACUCGAGAACCUUUGCGAUGUGCUCAAAAAGCAAAUUUUGAGCAGGAACCGGAGACCCUUUGCGAUGUGCUCAAAAAGCAGAUUUUGAACAGGAACCCGAGGAAAGAAGGAAUUGCCUUUGAAAGGAAACAGAAUGUUGAUGGAUCAUACUGGAAACCUGAGCAGUAUCUCAAAACCUCAUGGGUUGCUACUAAAGGACCUCCUGUUGAUCAAUCCAAUCUAACAAGCUUUGCUUGUGAAUUAUCCUAUUCCUCACGAGUCAUUUGACUCCAACUAUAAAUUGUUCAGAACUCAAUCUGGUGAAGUAUUUGCUCGAUAUGUUGGAACUAACUUCAGGAAUGGACCACCCCUGGGGAGAAUCUGGGUCCCCAAAAGUUGCCUGGAAAAUCUUGAGGUGAAUGUCCUCAUGACACCACCUAUGAAGAACCUGAAACCCAGAUCAAAUUCCUCAGGUGGACCAAAGUCUUCAAGAGGAUCAACAUCCUCAACUGGUCAAAACUAUACUCGUACUCGUGCUAAUGAUUUUGAUAUGCACGGAAAUUACAAGGGAUAUGAAUAUGAGCAUUAUACCUCAAAUCAUUAUGUUCAUAGAUCCUCAAAGAAUUGCUCUGCCUAUUCAUUUGAGUACUCUAACCCCCUACUGUGAAGAGAAGUGCAUUAGCUUCAAUGCCCCCUUUCUCAUAUGGUGCUCACAGGAUGAUGAAUUCUUUGCCACGCCUUCAGAUGUGGGUGGUGAAGAAAUUGAACUAAUCACUUCUGCACGUCAGGUCUCCAGAUGAAAAUCAACAUCUGAAGAAUUUGCUGGAGACCUGAGGAAAAUGCUUGAAUGGACGCAAGCUAAAAUUGAUGAAAUGAUAACAUUUCACGCGUCCUCAAAUUUACUGUUUAUGAUGAAACUCCUAUCAAAUGAAAUUGAUAUCAUAUUCUUCAAGUCUAAAGCAUAUGAGAUGGUAAGUUGUACUAAUUCACUUACAGGAUGACAAACCCAAGAGUACUGAGUGGGUUCUUGAUAGUGGUUGCACAAACCACAUGACUGGUGAUAAAAGCUUGUUGAUGAAUAUGCCACUGACUCCAUCACCACUAAAGAAAAUCACUUACGCUGAUAAAGGUAAAAGCAAAGUAUUGGGACUUGGCAAACUGGCUAUCUCCAAGGACAGGCACAUGGACAAAGUCAUGCUUGUCGAAUCCCUUGGGUUUAACCUCAUGUCAGUCUCAAUUCUUUAUGAUCUUGAUAUGGUUAUUAUCUUUGGGAAAUAUAGAUGUGUAGUCAUCAUGGAAUCUAACAGAUCCAAAGUCUUUGAAGGCUUAAGUAGAGGAGAUUUGUACAUUGUUGAUUCUUUUCAUAGGUCCUCAACCAGCCACAUCCUUACUACCAAAAACCUCAAAAGGCUGGCUAUGGCAUCGAGACUUGGUCAUGCAGGCAUGAGGAAUUUGCACAUGCUAGCAAACAAGAAGCAUGCCAUUGCCAUCGAAUCGGUCAAAUUCCUCAAGGACCACCUCUACGGUGCUUGUGAGUCUGGAAAAAUGACCAGAUCCAAACACCCUCGGAGACAAUCAUGGCUACUACUCGUCUGUUUGAAUUACUUCACAUGGAUCUGUUUGGACCUACUCAUUAUGCUACUCUAACCAAUCCAGCAUCCUUAUAUGGCUUUGUCAUUCAAAGUGCAUUAUAUCGACUAGAGGGGGUGAAUAGGCGAUUUUUAGAAUUUCAUCACUGAGGAAAUUCCUCACUGAUGAAUAACGUGCAGCGGAAAUAGCGCAGGAUCAUAGGUGCAAAGAUUACAACUACAGUUUACUUGAUGAAGAUUAUGAGAAUUGGUUUGCACAGUAUGCAGGCACAGAAUAAGCACAUGAAGAUUAACUGAUAUGAAGAAUUUGAGUUUGAGGAAAUUCAGAGAAAUUCUUCAGCAAAUUCUUCAAACGGUGACAAUGAAAGUCUUCAACAUACAAUAUUGAGGAAUUGAAAGAGUUNNNNNNNNNNCGUAUCAUGAUGAAGACAGUUGUUGAUGACCCAGUUCCAACUGUUGUGACAGUUGUACGUCUGGUUUGGAGCGGCUUGGUAUUGAAACCAAAGGACAUACACUCCCGGGACACACGGUCCCUACAGUAUUCUCCUUGAGCUAAGGACACACAGUCCUCGCCCAACACUCAUGGUAAGUCUUCAGGGCAGACUUCCAAACCCUCACAAACUCGGUCACCCGGCGAUCCACAAAUGACUGUUGGAUGCUCUAGACCAUGACGCCUAACCGUCUGGAGGAUGCACAGUCCNNNNNNNNNNNNNNNNNNNNNNNNNNNNNNNNNNNNNNNNNNNNNNNNNNNNNNNNNNNNNNNNNNNNNNNNNNNNNNNNNNNNNNNNNNNNNNNNNNNNNNNNNNNNNNNNNNNNNNNNNNNNNNNNNNNNNNNNNNNNNNNNNNNGUUGGUUUGUUUGUUUGGUGUUUGGGGUAUUUCCUCACUGAUGAUUUACUCUCGAAGACUCUGAGGAAUUUGGGUUGCUCUAAAUGACAAGUGUUAGUUUCUCGCAGAGCAGCCAACCAACUAGUGGUUGCUAGGGGUGGCUAUUUAUAGCCUGAGAGCAUCCCGACAUGAUUUGACAUAAAUGCGCUUAAAUAUUGUGACCGUUGGUGUGGAUAAGAUCGGUGAGGUGGCGCGUGUCACGACAACGGUCGGAACUUUCAACUGUGAAAGUCCUCAUGUCUCUCAUAUUCCUCACUUGAGGAUUUUGUAGUAUUAGUCUUGGGUUGAGAAUCAUCAGGAAAUUCAUUCCGUAGUAUUAAUUCGACCCCCUUUAACAGUACGACGUUCCUAUGACUCAAGAGUAAAGAAAAUGAAACAUAAAGAGUAAAUCUUCACGCUUCAAAGUCUUCAGACUGAUUUUCUUCAGGACACACCGAAUUCCUCAUCUUCAAUAUCUUCAUGAGGAAUAUCAAUUUCAUCGCAAUUUCUUUGCGAUCAAAGUGUUCAAGAUUAGACCAAUUUCUUCAGUCGAAUACAUACAUUUUUAGGGGUCGAUAUUCAUCGUAUAACUCAAACUCCCCAACAACUUAUAGAGCUUGUGUACACUUAUAAACACAUUAGUUACUUAACCUAUAAGUCUUCAAANNNNNNNNNNGAUGCACUUACAGUCAUCGUCGAUGACUAUUCUCGAUACACUUGGGUACAUAUCAUUCUGUAUAAAACUGAAGUGCAGGAAGUCUUCAAACGAUUUUCCUCAGGAACAACUUCAAAAUGAAUUGCACGAACUAGCUGGUUGGCUGCUCCGCAAGAAACUGACACUUGUCAUUUAGAGCAACCCAAAUUCCUCAGGGUCUUCAAGAGUAAAUCAUCAAGUGAGGAAAUACCCCAAACACCAAAGCACAAACCAAAAACCAAGUGAUUGAGCAUCACUGAAGAAUUUGUUCCUGUGUGGAACUGAAGCCUUUUACCUUUGAGGACUGUGCAUCCUCCACACGGUUAGGCGUCAUGGUCUAGAGCAUCUAGCAGUCAAUUGUGGAUCGCCGGGUGACCGAGUUUGUGAGGGUUUGGAAGUCUGCCCCGAAGACUUACCGCGAGUGUUGGGCGAGGACUGUGUGUCCUUAGCUCAAGGAGAAUACAGUAGGGAUUAUGUGUCCCGGGACUGUGUGUCCUUUGGUUUCAAUACCAAGCCGCUCCAAACCAGACGUACGACUUUCACACCAGUUGGAACUGGGUCAUCAACAACUGUCUUCAUGGUGAUACGGGUUCUAUUUCUUCAACUCUUUCAAUUCCUCAAUAUUAUAUGUUGAAGACUUUCAUUGUCACUGUUUGAAGAAUUUGCUGAAGACUUUCUCUGAAUUUCCUCAACCUCAAAUUCUUCAUACCAGUUAAUCUUCACGUGCUUAUUCUGUGCCUACAUACUGUGCAAACCGAUUCUCAUAAUCUUCAUCAAGUAAAUUGCUGUUGUAAUCUUUGCACCUUUGAUCCUUCGGUAUUUCCGCUGCACGUUAUUCAUCAGUGAGGAAUUUCCUCAGCGAUGAAUUUCUAAAAAUCGCCUAUUCACCACUAUCUAAUCGAUAUAACGCACUUUCAAUUGGUAUCAGAGCAAGGUACCCUUGUUCUGUGUGAUUUUGGUUUAACCACCUGGAGUUUUAGUUUUGUCGACUGCAGGUAUGAUCAAGGUUACUGCAGGAUGUCCUACCUUCGAAGGAAAUGACUUCCCCUACUGAAAGACCAAGAUGCAGAUGCAUCUUCAGGCUAUUGACAAUGAUCUGUGGUACACUGUGGAACAUGACAUUCCCUCCAUCGCUGCUACUGUCUCUGUCGUUCAUGUGAAAAAUUCAAGCAACUUGAUUCUCAAGCGAAGAAUAUCAUCUGUGGUCAUCUAAGCAAAGGUCAGUAUGGCAGAGUAAGUGCUUUGGGCACAGCGAAGCUUAUCUGGGAUAGGCUGUCCAGAGUCAAUGAAGGAAUUUCAACUCAGCAUGACUCUCGUGUUGAUGUUCUUCGCAAUCUCUUCAAUCGCUUCAAGAGGCUUGACAAUGAAAGCUGCCAAGAUACCUUUGAUCGCCUCACUGACAUCAGAAAUGAACCACAAGCACUGGGAGCUCGAGACAUCACUGACCAUGAAGUUGUGAAGAAACUGCUAAGAUCUCUGGAUCCAUCAUUUGAUACAUUGGUUCUCAUGAUUCAAGAAAGAGCAGACUAUAAGAUGCUUGAUCCUGCUGAUAUACUGGAAAGACUCAAUACUCAUGAAUCCCAACAAGAAGAAAAGAUAGAUCUGUAUGGACCAAGCUACUCUAGACCUCGUGCGUUGAAGGCCAAAACAAUUUCCUCAUAUGAAGAAGAAGACUCAUAUUGUAGCAUUGGUGAUCCUGAAGAACUUGGUGAUCCUGAAGAACUUGGACAUGAGCUUGCAAUGCUCGUGAGAAAAUUCCAGAAGUUUACAAGGCGUGACCGGUUUGGUAAAUCUUUAAGAAGAGAUAUGAGGAAAUUAGAAUCUUCAUCUGAGGACUACAAGAAAAGAACCUGCCACAAAUGCAAGAAAUAUGGUCACUAUAUUGCUGAUUGUCCUUGCUGGGUGAAGGAAUCAAAGAAGAAGAAAUACACGGAUGAAAGUUCUAAUGACUCGAAGAAAAAGAAGAUAUCUUAAAAAUCCUCAUCCUCAAAGUCCUCAUCGCACAAGAAGACUAGUUUCAGAAAGGCUCGGGCACUCAUUGACAAGGAAAUGGAUUCUCAGGAAGAAUCUGAGGAAUGUGAUGAACAGGAAGGUUCUGAAUAAGACUCAGAGCUGGUGUGGCAAGUCUUGCACCGGCUACCACAUUUGUCAGCAAGUCAAUCUUCAGCCUUGACAAAAAUAAUAACGCUAUCUACACUGAUGACUAUGCUGAUGAGUUCGCUCCAACCUAUUGCUUCAUGGCAAAAGGUUCAAAGGUACUGAAUGACACUUGCUCCUCCGAUUCAAGUGACUCUGAACAUGAUGAUUAUAAAAAACCAGUUACAGUAAACUUGCUAAUGUUGCAACUAAACAACAACGUGCCAUUGAAAAGCUUCAAAAAUUGCUAGACAGAAGCGACGACCUGUUGAAUGAUGAAAUGAAUCAUACCCAAAUCCUCACUAAAGAUGUGGAAACUCUUCAGUCCAGAUUUGAUAGUCUCCAAGAUAGUUAUGGCACACUCUUGGCUGAUCAUGAGAAAAUUUCCUAUGAAUUUCAUCAAAGGAAACUUGAUCUUGAGAAGUUUAAGAUGUCUCAUGAUGAUCUUCGAAUGGAAAACGAUUCAUUACUUGCUCAACAGAUCAGUGCCGCUCAGGUUGAAUUCACUCCACCAUGUCUCAAAUGCAUCGAGCGUGAAACUGCCAAUUCUUCACCGGAAUCAUCAAAUGCUUCUAUUGCUACAAAUUCUUCAACUGCUCCAGUGGUAACAAAUUUCUCACUUGAGGAAAUCACAAAUUUUACUAACGAAAAUGCAGGUCUGAAGGAAUUGUAUGUGACAGGCAUGUACAAAAGUCUCAAAGGGCAUCACACCCUUUGCGAUGUGCUCAAAAAGCAGAUUUUGAACAUGAACCCAAGGGAAGAAGGAAUUGCCUUUGAAAGGAAAUUGAUUGCUGAUGGAUCAUACUGGAAACUUGAGCAGUAUCUCAAAACCUUAUGGGUUGCUGCUUGUGACAUCCUCGACUUUUGCUACAGUGAUUAUUGUAAUUAAGCUACAGUGAUCAACCGCUAACGAUGCCACGUCAUCGAAUUCCCAUCUCAGACCCGCGUUGAUUCGCGUCUGUCCGGAUUAAAAGAUUUGGAAACAAAAGAAAAGUACCUUAUAAGUUCAUUACGAAUAUUAAAAGAAUAGGGAUAUGAAAGAUAGGAUUAAAAGUACGUAUAAUAAUUUGUAAAAGAAAAUAUAAUAAGAGAAAGUGUUUCAAAAGAAAAAUUCAAAUAGUAAAUUAAAUAAUAAAAGAAAGAAAAGAAAACUGAAAGAAAGAAAUGAUAAAAGGGAAAAGGUAAAACAAAAUAAAAACAAAUCAAAAAGAAAAGAAAAAGAGAAAGCAACUCCCUCCCCGGCCCAGCUGGGCCACCNNNNNNNNNNNNNNNNNNNNNNNNNNNNNNNNNNNNNNNNNNNNNNNNNNNNNNNNNNNNNNNNNNNNNNNNNNNNNNNNNNNNNNNNNNNNNNNNNNNNGUAGCUUAAUUACAAUAAUCACUGUAGCAAAAGUCGAGGAUGUCACAAUUCUCCCCUACUAACAAGAAUUCUCGUCCCGAGAAUUAAGAGAUAGAUGGAAAGAGCCCGGGGUAUUCAUCACGAAGAUGAUCCUCGCGUUCCCAAGUGGCUUCAUCUUCAGAGUGAUUUGACCACUGCACCUUAAGGAACUUGGUGACCUUGCGACGAGUCUUACGUUCAGCUUGGUCGAGAAUGCGGACCGGAUGCUCUUUAUAAGAGAGGUCUUGUUGUAGCUCAAGCAUAUCGUGAUCCACUGCUCGAAUAGGGUCCUUGAAGCAGCGACGGAGCUGAGAAACAUGGAAGACAUNNNNNNNNNNNNNNNNNNNNNNNNNNNNNNNNNNNNNNNNNNNNNNNNNNNNNNNNNNNNNNNNNNNNNNNNNNNNNNNNNNNNNNNNNNNNNNNNNCGUGAACCUGAGAAAGGUUUGCCGGUAGUUCCAAUUGAUAAGCCACUCUUCCACGCCUUUCGAGAACAGUGAAAGGACCAAUAUAACGAGGAGCUAACUUGCCCUUGAUUCUGAAACGGUGUGCACCUCUCAUUGGUGUGACACGAAGAUAAGCCUUUUCGCCAGGUUGAUAGACCAUAUCUUGAUGAUGACGGUCAUACUGACUCUUCUGACGAGACUGAGCAGCCUUCAGAUUCUCAUGAAUAAUGCGGACUUGAUCUUCGGCAUGUUGAAUANNNNNNNNNNNNNNNNNNNNNNNNNNNNNNNNNNNNNNNNNNNNNNNNNNNNNNNNNNNNNNNNNNNNNNNNNNNNNNNNNNNNNNNNNNNNNNNNNNNNACUAUCAUCACUUGGGCAGAGUUCAAGGCUGCUUUCCGUGCUCGAUACAUUCCCCAGGGAAUCAUGGACCGGAAGAAGCGUGAGUUCCGCAACUUAGUCCAGGGCAACAAGACUGUGGAUGCUUAUCAGCGGGAAUUUCUGGAAUUAUCUCGCUAUGCUGAAGNNNNNNNNNNNNNNNNNNNNNNNNNNNNNNNNNNNNNNNNNNNNNNNNNNNNNNNNNNNNNNNNNNNNNNNNNNNNNNNNNNNNNNNNNNNNNNNNNNNNNNNNNNNNNNNNNNNNNNNNNNNNNNGAGAAGUUCCGUGAAGGCCUCCACCCUGAUAUCAAGCUGACGCUCCUCGUUCAGGACUAUGCUGAUUUCGCCACCCUCGUGAACAAGGCUAUUCAGGUUGAGACUGGUCUGCAGGAAUACAAAGAUAGCAGCAAGCGCAACCGUGACAUGGGCUCAUCUUCGGGCUCAUCUGCACAGAAGCGGAAGAUCUGGAUUCCCAACAACAUGUACCAUGCACCUGCUCCUACUCCGAGGCCGUCCUAUGCUGCACCUCGCCUGCCUCCUCNNNNNNNNNNNNNNNNNNNNNNNNNNNNNNNNNNNNNNNNNNNNNNNNNNNNNNNNNNNNNNNNNNNNNNNNNNNNNNNNNNNNNNNNNNNNNNNNNNNNNNNNNNNNNNNNNNNNNNNNNNNNNNNNNNNNNNNNNNNNNNNNNNNNNNGACGGGCUGUGCUUCAAGUGUGCCAUCCAGGUCACCGUGCUAGAGACUGCAGGCAGAAUCAGAAUCAGCUGGCACUUCCCGCAACUGGCCGUGGCAACAACCAGAANNNNNNNNNNNNNNNNNNNNNNNNNNNNNNNNNNNNNNNNNNNNNNNNNNNNNNNNNNNNNNNNNNNNNNNNNNNNNNNNNNNNNNNNNNNNNNNNNNNNUAAGAAAUAUAAUAAUAACUAAUUUAUUAUUGCCUCUAGGGCAUAGUUCCAACAAUAUGAAUAUGAGCAUUAUACAUCAAAUCAAUAUGUUCAUAAAUCCUCAAAGAACUUCUCUGCCUAUUCAUUUGAGUACUCUAACCCCCUAAUGUGAAGAGAAGUGCAUUAGCUUCAAUGCCCCCUUUCUCAUAUGGUGCUCGCAGGAUGAUGAACUCUUUGCCACCCCUUCAGAUGUGGGUGGUUAAGAAAUUGAACUAAUCACUUCUGUAGGUCAGGUCUCCAGAUGAAAUUCAUCAUCUGAAGAAUUUGCUGGAGAAGUGAGGAAAAUGCUUGAUUGGACGCAAGCUAAAAUUGAUGAAAUGAUAACAUUUCAUACGCCCUCAAAUUUACUGUUUAUGAUGAAAUUCCUAUCUGAUGAAAUUGAUAUCAUAUUUUUCAAGCCUGAAGCAUAUGAGAUGGUAAGCUGUACUAAUUCAUCUGCAGGAUGACAAACCCAAGAGUACUGAGUGGGUUCUUGAUAGUGGUUGCACAAACCACAUGACUGGUGAUCAAAGCUUGCCGAUGAAUAUGCCACUAACUCCAUCACCAGUGAAGCAAAUCACUUAUGCUGACAAAGGUAAAAGCAAGGUAUUGGGACUUGGCAAAGUGGCUAUUUCCAAGGACAGGCACAUGGACAAAGUGAUGCUUGUCGAAUCCCUUGGGUUUAACCUCAUGUCAGUCUCAAUGCUUUGUGAUCUUGAUAUGGUUGUUAUCUUUGGAAAAUAUAGAUGUGUAGUCAUCAUGGAAUCUGACAGAUCCAAAGUUUUGAAGGCUUUAGGAGAGGAGAUUUGUAUGUUGUUGAUUUUUCCACUGGUCCUCAACCAACCACAUGCUUACUAGCAAAAACAUCAGAAGGCUGGCUAUGGCAUCGAAGACUUGGUCAUGCAGGCAUGCGGAAUUUGCACACGCUCGCGAAGAAGAAGCAUGUCAUUGGCAUCGAAUCAGUCAAAUUCCUCAAGGGCCACCUCUGCGGUGCUUGUGAGUCUGAAAAAAUGACCAGAUCCAAACACCCCUCGAAGACCAUCAUGACUACUACUCAUUCGUUUGAAUUGCUUCACAUGGAUCUGUUUGGACCUACUCAUUACGCUACUCUAACCAAUGCAGCAUCCUUUUAUGGCUUUGUCAUCGUUGAUGACUAUUCUCGAUACACUUGGGUACAUAUCAUUCUAUAUAAAACUGAAGUGCAGGAAGUCUUCAAACGAUUUUCCUCAAGGGCCUCGACGAACUUCGGCGUCAAGAUCAAACACAUUAGGAGUGAUAACGGGACAUAAUUCAAAAAUACUGGUCUUGAUGAUUAUCUUGAUGAACUUGGUAUUACUUACGAAUAAUCUGCUCCCUAUACUCCUCAACAGAAUGGCGUCAUUGAACGCAAGAACAUGACUCUGGUUGAAAUGGCACGGACCAUGCUUGAAAAAUAUCAGACUCCUCGUCGUUUCUGGCCUAAAGCUAUCAACACUGCUUGCCACAUCAUCAACAGGGUAUAUCUUCACAAAUUCCUCAAGAAAACCUCAUAUGAACUCCUCACCGACAAGAAACCCAAUGUAAGUUAUUUCAAAGUCUUCGGUGCAAGAUGCUGGAUUAGGGAUCCUCACCAUAGCUCAAAAUUUGCACCUAAAGCACAUGAGGGUUUUAUGCUUGGUUACGGAAAGGACUCGCACACCUACAGAGUCUAUAACACCUAUCACAACAAGGUUGUUGAAACUAUAGAUGUGCGGUUCGAUGAAACUAAUGGCUUGCAAAGAGAGCAAUUGCCUCGUGUACCAGAUAAAUUAUCUCUUGAGGAAGCAAUCAAGUUCAAAGCUACUGAAGACAUUGUUCCUACUGAGGAAAUUGCUGAAGAAAUCGUCCCCAGUACUGAUGAAAUUCAAGAAGGUGCUCCAGAGAAAAUUCCUCAGCCCAGACAAAAUCCUCAACCAGCUCAUCCAAGGAUUGCAAAUGAAGUAGAACUUGACAAAAUCCUCGACGACAUCAAUGCGCCAGGUCCUCUCACUCGCUCAAAAGCUUCACAUUUAGUUAACUUUUGCGGGCAUUCCUCCUUUGUGUCUAUCACAUAACCCUCAAAAGUUGCUGAAGCUUUCAUGGAACCUGAGUAGAUUCAAGCCAUGCAAGAUGAACUUCUUCAAUUCAAGCUAAAUGACGUGUGGGAACUCGUCAAACGACCAGAUCCUCGCAAGCACAAUACCAUCAGCAUCAAGUGAAUUUUCCGAAACAAGCAAGAUGAGGAUGGUCAAGUGGUGAGGAAUAAGGAACGACUUAUAGCCCAAGGCAACACACAGGUUGAAGGAAUUGAUUUCGAUGAAACUUCUUCACCUGUUGCUAGACUUGAAGCUAUUCGAAUUCUACUUGCUUAUGCUAAUCAUCAUAACAUUACUCUAUAUGAAAUGGAUGUGAAAAGUGCAUUCCUCAAUGGUAAGCUUGAGGAAGAAGUAUAUGUUGCUCAACCCCCAGGUGUUGACGAUCCGAAGCAUCCAGACAAAGCCUUCAGACUCAAAAAGACACUCUAUGGCCUCAAGAAAGCCCCUCGGGCGUGGUAUGAUACAUUGAAGGAAUUCCUCAUGAAGAAAGGCUUCAAACCUGGUUCACUCGAGCCAACUAUUUUCACUAAAUCCUAUGAUAAUGAACUAUUUGUGUGCCAAAUAUAUGUCGAUGACAUUACCUUUAGUUGUACUGACAAACGUUACAGUGAUGAAUUUGCUUACAUGGUGAGUGAAGAAUAUCAGAUGUCUAUGAUGGGGGAGCUGAAAUUCUUCUUAGGUCUUCAAAUUCGUCAACAACGCAAUGGCAUCUUCAUAUCACAGGAGAAAUAUCUCAAGGAUGUUCUGAGGAAAUUCAACAUGCAUGAAUGCAAAGGCGUCAAGACUCCCAUGCCUACCAACGACCACCUAUGCAGUGAUGAAAAUGGUAAAGAUUUCGAUCAGCAGGUAUAUCGCUCGAUGAUUGGCUCUUUAUUGUACCUAUGUGCAUCUAGGCGAGAUAUAAUGCUUAGUGUUAGCAUGUGUGCUCGUUUUCAAGCAAAAUCGAAGGAAUCAAACCAUAAGGCUGUGAAGCAUAUUCUUUGAUACUUAGCUCACACACCAACACUAGGUUUAUGGUACCCCAAGGGCUCAAAUCUUCAUCUCGUUGGAUAUUCUGAUUUGAUUAUGCUGGUGACCGUGUGGAUCGGAAGUCAACUUCUGGCACUUGCCAUUUCCUCGGAAGAUCAUUAGUCUGCUGGUCCUCAAAGAAGCAAAAUUGUGUUUCUCUCCCCACUGCCGGAGUUGAGUACAUUGCUCCUGGAUCCUGUUGUGCUCAACUACUAUGGAUGAAGCAAACCCUCAGAGACUAAGACAUCAACAUGAAGAAUGUGCCUCUCUACUGUGACAAUGAGAGUGCAAUCAAGAUCGCCUACAACCGAGUACAACACUCGCAGACUAAGCACAUCCAGAUUCAUCAUCAUUUUCUUCGGGACCAUGUCCGCAAGGGCAAUAUCAUCAUUGAGCAUGUGAAGACUGAUAAUCAACUAGCCGAUAUUUUCACUAAGCCCUUGGAUGAGAGAAGGUUUUGCAAGUUGCGGUGUGAGCUAAAUAUCUUAGAGUCUUCAAAUGUUUUGUGAAAACAUGCACACAUCCUAACACUUAUGAAAAAUUGAUGACUUAGAUGUGCAACACACGAUGAAUCGAUUUUCUUCAAUGAAUGAAGAAUAUCACUCUUAGUGUGAGGAAAUUAAUAAAGAAUUUGGUUCUCAGGGCCCUACGACAAUUGUACGCGACGCCUGAAAUCAUCAUUCUUAUACGGUGGGUCACGCAACCACCCAACUUUAAAGUUCUUCAAGUUGUUUUUCUUCAAAGUUGAAAUUCAUCAACCUGACACUUUGUCACAAAAUUCUCAAGAUUUUCAAAAUCAUCAAAAUCUGCAAAUUCUUCAAAAACGUUUGAUGAUUUUCAUUUGCCUAUAUAUAUAUAUAUAGACUGAGACUUCAAAGUCCUCAACAUCAUUCACUUAUAGCUCUGUCUUCAAUUUGAUAUGUCAACUAAGUGACUGACCUAACUCCCCUCUAUGCUAUACUCAACUGAGUCUAUUCAUUUCUUCAUAUGCGUUCUACUUGAAACUUGUUCAAAAUCCUCACUGUGUCCUUGUCAGCCGAGGACUUUGUAACGAAAUCCUCAAAACUUCAAAAAUGAAUUUUUAUAACAUUACACAGUAACUGGACCCACUUCCCACGAUUGGAUAACCACGAUCUCCACCGCUUCAAUCGUGGGCUCCACGUGUCGUGCGGAGAUGAAUGGGCAAGGGCAGUUCGGUCCAAAAGUUUCGGCCGAACAGUUUUUCACCUGAGCUAUAAAUAGGCCCUUACCCCCCUCAGCUAUAACUCUUCGUCCUCUCAUCUUCUCUUCGCUCGAGCUCAACCCUAGCGCCACUGCUAGCAAUCUCGUCGCCAGUGAGGAGAAGCUUCACUGCCUCGCCCUCACCGUCGCCGAACUCACGCCGGAAGCGGAAUCUCUCCCUCCGCCACCGCCGUAGCUGAUUUCUGCCGCCAAGUUAGGGCACAAAAGAUAUGAACCGAAGAGCUUCACUCUUUUACUGCUCCUGUUCUUCGUGUUCUUCACUCAGGGUAAUUAAAAUCUUAUUUUAUUGCCUUUGUUGAUCUAUUAUUUCACUUUAGACUCGUGAAAUCUGUUUUUCCUCACAGUAUCUGUCAGCCACGCAAACUCAUUCCUCAAACACUUGAUGAAUUUCACUAAGCCACUCAAAUUCUUCAUGAGAUUCCUCAAUUGUGUAAAUUCUCAAAUCUGCACAACUCUGGAACCCAAGAUCAGAAUGCUUAGUCAAAUUCCUCAACCCACUGGUCAAAUUCCUUAACUUCUAUUUUUUUUAAUUUCUUCAAAACUGAGAACGCAUAUGACCUCUCCAAAUUCUUUACAGCCAUACUGUGUUCACAGGUACAAAAUGUCAGCUGAUGAAUUACUAGGUUCUCAUCAACUUAACUCAUUUGCAGAGUUCCUCGAAGAAACUUUACCAGUGUCAUCAGAAUCUUCAAGAGUGCAUAUUCCUCAUGAAAAGCCUCAGUUGAAGAAAAUGGAAGAUGACAGGAAGCAAAAGGGAGGAAAGAAGCUUGAACAAAACACUACUUUUGAUAUUCCUGAAGAAAUAUAUGCUGACUACUACACUCCUUAUGAGGAAAUAUAUGGCAAAGAAACCAUGGCGAAGCGCAAGAUAAGGCUUCAGAAAAUCGAACGCAGUUGGGUUAAGGAGUGGAAGGAAUACCGCUAUGUAACUCCAAAAUAUGCGAAGAAAUUUGCGCUUAAGCCACCUUGCAAGAGGCCUCCUCAGGGUGAUCAACAAGCCGCUCAUCCCUCAAGCAUUGAAACAAUUGAGAAUUACCGUGAUGAGAAAGACAAAUAUUUGUCUAAGCUACAGGAGAAAGCAGAAGCAGCCGAAGAAAUUCAACGACGACUCUGCUGCUGCUGCCACUGCUGCCACCUCUUCAGCUGUUGAGGCCUCUGGUACAGCUAUUUCUCAGAAGAAGACUGUGCCGAAGAAACCAAAGGCCUCAGUGCCAAAAGAGCAAUUGCCUCAGAAGGUUGCACCACUGCCAAAAGCUUCAACAACACGACAGUCCUCACAGCCUCAACAGAAGCAGAUAGUUAAGCAUCAGCCUGCUCAUUCCAGUUCCUCAGUGCCAUCUGCCACGAGUUCUGCUACAAAGUCUUCACCACCUCUCUUGAAGAAUAAAAUGACUACUGGAAGAGGCAUCCGGCCUAGUCCUAGCAAAGUCAUCAACGUUCCUUCUGCAUCAGAAGGAAGUGAGGAAUUUGAUGAUGAAACUCUAUGGAUGCUACGCCUCUGAAUGUAGCUCCAUCCUACUCACUGGUUCCCUUCGGAGUUGACUACGUCAUUCCUGAAGAUGAUGAGGAAAUGAAGGAUGCUGAAGUUGAAUAAAUCAUGGAUGAGGAAAUACAAAUUGAUGAUAUUCCUCAACCUACCAUUCCUCAAAAGACCUCUGAUGAAAUUGUGGGUGAUGAUGAAACUGGGUGCACCACUCCAGUUAUUCAUGAUGACUUUCGGGAAGAAACUCAUCACUCACCAAGGUCAACUCAAAUCCCUCCUACUCCUGCUGCAACAGAAAUCCUCACAGGAUCUGAUGGGAAGACCUUCCGUGAGGAAUCUGCUCAAGAAUCAGGUGCAGAUAAUGCAGCGACUAAUGCUACAACUGCCUCCUACAACAAGCAAAUUCCUUAAGUUGAGGAAAAUCCUCAACUUGAUGAAAAUGCUCAAAAUGAAGAAAAUGCUCCUGCCCCAAAUACUGAAACUGCUAUUGUUGUGGUAAACACAGAAACCGCACUAAUAGUAGCUCCUCCUCAAGAACAACAGCAUAAUCUUCAACCACAGCAGAAUCAACCUUUCUCCAAAAGGCCAAAGUUUGAAAAGGAGGCAUUUUAUGAAGAACAUAUGUACUUCACUGGCACAAAUCCUUAUGAUAAGCUUCGCAUCAGGCACCGGAAGUUUUGGACGAGGAACCAGCUGAACUACUAUGCUUCAGUGCUCUGUGGAAGGAACAAGAUAUUUUAGGACAAGAAUAUUCCUCACUGUGACAUGGAAUAAAUUCCUUGCUUCACUCCAGUCCUCAACGUUGUUCACGAAGCUAGAUUGCUGCCUCUCUGCACUGACAUUGGCGACUGGAACUGCGACAUUAUUCUUCAAUUCUACGCCACACUGCACAUCUGUGGAGACCCAAAGGAUGUCAACACUUGGGUUUUGGAUUGGAUGACUCAGCACACGCAUUACAAAGCGUCUGCCACUGAAUUGCUUUGAGCUCUUCGAGUCUCAAUUCCCUCAGAGAAUGCAGUGCUGAUGUAUGAUGAACGUGAGCUGUGAAACAGACUGAUGGAAGUCCUCAUGAAGCCUUUGGCCAAGGACCAACCUCCAAGGACUCGCUUUCUGGUUCAAGACUUGAAGUAUGAACCACGAACAGUGUACAGAAUCCUGGCCAAUGUCAUCGCUCCCAUCAAAGGCCAUGGUGAUGAAGAAGAUGUCGUAGGCAUCAUGAAGAAUAUCCUUUUCAAUAUCAUCCAUGGCAUACCAAUGAAUCUUCAUGACUUCUUCCUAAGGACUUUGGCUGAUAAUGCACUGUCGCCUUUUGACAUGAAGAUUUAUGCAUCGUGGAUCAUGCGAUUUAUCAGAAGCAGGUCAGGCAUCAACUACCAUGCUGAUUUUUCUAAUCACAUCGGAUAUCUACCGCCCAUCAAAGUCAUCAAGAAAACAUUUGAGCUUGUUGAAGGCAAAGGAAAAUCUGUGAUUGAUGAAGGAAAUCGGCCCCUUGAUGGCCAGUUUCAUCAAGCGGAGUCAUAUUCUCCAUACGUUGACAUUGCUACCCAAGAUCCACCAAGCCCAACUGCCCCAAGAGUCAUGAAUAAUAGAGAGCUACUUCUCAGUCUUCAUCAGAAUGUCGAUCGCAAUCACAAAUGGGUCAAACGUCAAUUCAGUGUGAUUGUGAAAAGCCUCAACGAGACUCAGAAUACAGUGAGGAAAAAUCACUAUUAUCUUCAUAAGGUGUUUGAUCGUACCUGGGCCACCUUGGCUCAUCUGAAGACUUAAGAGGAACUUGAGGAAUUGGAGUUUACUCAGGAUUCCGACUGGUCGUUGCCUCCCAAGAAUAAAUUCAAGCCAAUUCCAGUUCCUGACCUUGAGGACAAUUCUUUUUCUUCAUUCUGCACUACUGAGUCAGAUGAAGAACCAGAAGACACUGCAACUGGUCCAAGGAAGAAGCCCGUCGCCAAGAAUCCUCACACCUCUUCAUUAGCCAAGAAGUGAAAGUCUUCAUGGGGCAUUAGUCCUCAGUUUUGUCCCUUUUCGUCACUUGAUGACAAAGGGGGAGAAAUCUGAGUUAGUCUUCAAACGAGAUCUAUUUUGGGGCUUAUGAACUUUAUUAAGUUACAAACUCUUGGUUCUUCUGAAGUGUUUUAUGUAAUUUGUUGUAACUUAAGCCCGAUGGUACUCUGACUCUUUUGAAUGUUUUUCUUGGCAUGCUUAUUCCUCAAAGUAUAUUAAUGCAGGCAUGCUGAAAUUUUUCAGAUACCAUUUCUCAUCAUGCAUUCUCAAAUUCCUGAUUUUGUAUGUCCAUUGUAUGCAUGAUUUACAAUAUACACGUGGAGAUCUCCAUGAUAUAAAUCAUCAAUGUGCAUCUGCCGUGAAAAGCAAAUUCCUCAAAAUAUGCACAUCUUCAGGGGGAGUCUCUCAGUAUUUUGAUUUCAAAUUCCUCAAACUCAGUAUUUACACUUCAUAUUUUUAUCCCCGUUGAAAACUUAACCUAAUUGUCAUCAACCACAAAAAAGGGGGACAUUGUAAGUGCAUUUAGUGCCCUUAGUGAUUUUGGUGGUUUGAAGACUUAUAGGUUAAGUAACUAAUGUGUUUAUAAGUGUACACAGGCUCUAUAAGUCAUUGAGGAGUUUGAGUUAUACGAUGAAUAUCGACCCCUAAAAAUGUAUGUCUUCGGCUGAAGAAAUUGGUCUAAGCUUGAAGACUUUGAUCGCGAAGAAAUUGCGAUGAAAUUGAUAUUCCUCAUGAAGAUAUUGAAGAUGAGGAAUUCGGUGUGUCCUGAAGAAAAACUGCCUGAAGACUUCGAAGCGUGAAGAUUUACUCUUUCUGUUUCGUUUUCUUUACUCUUGAGUCUUAGGAACACCGUACUGUUAAAGGGGGUCAAGGUAAUACUACGGAAUGAAUUUUCUCAUGAUGCUCAACCCAAGCCAAACCUACAAAAGCCUCAAGUGAGGAAUAUGAGAGAUAUGAGGACUUUCACAGUUGAAAGUUCCGACCGUUGCCGCAACAUGCGCCACCUCACCGAUCUUAUCGAGACCAACGGUCACAAUAUCUAAGGGCAUUUAUGUCAAAUCAUGUCGGGAUGCUCCCAGGCUAUAAAUAGCCACCCCCACAACUACUAGCUGGUUGGCUUUUUCGCGAGAAACUGACACUUGUCAUUUAGAGCAACCCAAAUUCCUCAGAGUCUUCAAGAGUAAAUCAUCAAGUGAGGAAAUACCCCAAACACCAAACCACAAACCAAAAACCAAGUGAUUGAGCAUCACUGAAUAAUUUGUUCCUGUGUGGAACUGAAGCCUUUUACCUUUGAGGACCGUGCAUCCUCCUGACGGUUAGGCGUCAUGGUCUAGAGCAUCCAACAAUCAAUUGUGGAUCGCCGGGUGACCAAGUUUGUGAGGGUUUGGUAGUCUACCCUGAAGACUUACCACAAGUGUUGGGCGAGGACUGUGUGUCCUUAGCUCAAGGAGAAUACGGUAGGGACCAUGUGUCCCGGGAGUGUAUGUCCUUUGGUUUCAAUACCAAGCCGCUCCAAACCAGACGUACAACUGUCACAACAGUUGGAACUGGGUCAUCAACAACUGUCUUCAUCAUGAUACGGGUUCUAUUUCUUCAACUCUUUCAAUUCCUCAAUAUUGUAUGUUGAAGACUUUCAUUGUCACCGUUUGAAGAAUUUGCUGAAGAAUUUCUCUGAAUUUCCUCAAACUCAAAUUCUUCAUAUCAGUUAAUCUUCAUGUGCUUAUUCUGUGCCUGCAUACUGUGCAAACCAAUUCUCAUAAUCUUCAUCAAGUAAACUGUAGUUGUAAUCUUUGCACCUAUGAUCCUGCGCUAUUUCCGCUGCACGUUAUUCAUCAGUGAGGAAUUUCCUCAGUGAUGAAAUUCUAAAAAUCGCCUAUUCACCCCCUCUAGUCGAUAUAAUGCACUUUGAAUGACAAAGCCAUAUAAGGAUGCUGGAUUGGUUAGAGUAGCAUAAUGAGUAGGUCCAAACAGAUCCAUGUGAAGUAAUUCAAACAGACGAGUAGUAGCCAUGAUUGUCUCCGAGGGUGUUUGGAUCUGGUCAUUUUUCCAGACUCACAAGCACCGUAGAGGUGGUCCUUGAGGAAUUUGACCGAUUCGAUGGCAAUGGCAUGCUUCUUGUUUGCUAGCAUGUGCAAAUUCCUCAUGCCUGCAUGACCAAGUCUCGAUGCCAUAGCCAGCCUUUUGAGGUUUUUGGUAGUAAGGAUGUGGCUGGUUGAGGACCUAUGAAAAGAAUCAACAAUGUACAAAUCUCCUCUACUUAAGCCUUCAAAGACUUUGGAUCUGUUAGAUUCCAUGAUGACUACACAUCUAUAUUUCCCAAAGAUAAUAACCAUAUCAAGAUCAUAAAGAAUUGAGACUGACAUGAGGUUAAACCCAAGGGAUUCGACAAGCAUGACUUUGUCCAUGUGCCUGUCCUUGGAGAUAGCCAGUUUGCCAAGUCCCAAUACUUUGCUUUUACCUUUAUCAGCGUAAGUGAUUUUCUUUAGUGGUGAUGGAGUCAGUGGCAUAUUCAUCAACAAGCUUUUAUCACCAGUCAUGUGGUUUGUGCAACCACUAUCAAGAACCCACUCAGUACUCUUGGGUUUGUCAUCCUGUAAGUGAAUUAGUACAACUUACCAUCUCAUAUGCUUUAGACUUGAAGAAUAUGAUAUCAAUUUCAUUUGAUAGGAGUUUCAUCAUAAACAGUAAAUUUGAGGACGCGUGAAAUGUUAUCAUUUCAUCAAUUUUAGCUUGCGUCCAUUCAAGCAUUUUCCUCAGGUCUCCAGCAAAUUCUUCAGAUGUUGAUUUUCAUCUGGAGACCUGACGUGCAGAAGUGAUUAGUUCAAUUUCUUCACCACCCACAUCUGAAGGCGUGGCAAAGAAUUCAUCAUCCUGUGAGCACCAUAUGAGAAAGGGGGCAUUGAAGCUAAUGCACUUCUCUUCACAGUAGGGGGUUAGAGUACUCAAAUGAAUAGGCAGAGCAAUUCUUUGAGGAUCUAUGAACAUAAUGAUUUGAGGUAUAAUGCUCAUAUUCAUAUCCCUUGUAAUUUCCGUGCAUAUCAAAAUCAUUAGCACGAGUACGAGUAUAGUUUUGACCAGUUGAGGAUGUUGAUCCUCUUGAAGACUUUGGUCCACCUGAGGAAUUUGAUCUGGGUUUCAGGUUCUUCAUAGGUGGUGUCAUGAGGACAUUCACCUCAAGAUUUUCCAGGCAACUUUUGGGGACCCAGAUUCUCCCCAGGGGUGGUCCAUUCCUGAAGUUAGUUCCAACAUAUCGAGCAAAUACUUCACCAGAUUGAGUUCUGAACAAUUUAUAGUUGGAGUCAAAUGACUCGUGAGGAAUAGGAUAAUUCACAAGCAAAGCUUGUUAGAUUGGAUUGAUCAACAGGAGGUCCUUUAGUAGCAACCCAUGAGGUUUUGAGAUACUGCUCAGGUUUCCAGUAUGAUCCAUCAACAUUCUGUUUCCUUUCAAAGGCAAUUCCUUCUUUCCUCGGGUUCCUGUUCAAAAUCUGCUUUUUGAGCACAUCGCAAAGGGUCUCCGGUUCCUGCUCAAAAUUUGCUUUUUGAGCACAUCGCAAAGGUUCUCGAGUUCCUGUUCAAAAUCUGCUUUGUGAGCACAUCGCAAAGGGUUUGAUGCCCUUUGAAACUUUUGUACAUGCCUGUCACAUACAAUUCCUUCAGCCGUGCAUUUUCGUCAGUCACGUUUGUGGUUUCCUCAAGUGCGGAAUUUUUUACCAUAGGAGCAGUUGAAGAAUUUGCAGCAAUAGAAGCAUUUGAUGAUUCUGGUGAAGAAUUGGCAGUUUCACGCUCGAUGCAUUUGAGACAUGGUGGAGUGAAUUCAACCCGAGUGGCACUGAUCUGUUGAGCAAGCAAUGAAUCAUUUUCCAUUCAAAUAUCAUCAUGAGACAUCUUCAAAUUCUCAAGAUCAAGUUUCCUUUGAAGAGAUUCAUAGGAAAGUUUCUCAUGAUCAGCCAAGAGUGUGCCAUAAAGAUCUUGAAGACUAUCAAAUCUAGACUAAAGACUUUUCACAUCUUCAGUGAAGAUUUGUGUAUGAUUCAUUUCGUCAUUCAACAGAUAAUCGCUUCUGUCUAGCAGUUUUUGAAGCUUUUCAAUGGCACUUUGUUGCUUAGUUGCAAUGCUGGCAAGUUUACUAUAACUGGGUUUUUUAUAAUCAUCAGGUUCACAGUCACUUGAAUAAGAGGAGAAAGUGUCAUUCGGUACCUUUGAACCUUUUGCCAUGAAGCAAUAGGUUGGAGCGAAGUCAUCAACAUAGUCAUCAGUGUAGAUAGUGUUGUCAUUUUCUUCAAGGUUGAAGAUUGACUUGUUGAAGAAUGUGGUAGCCAGUGCAAGACUUGCCACACCAGACUCUGAGUCUUCUUCAGAACCUUCCUCUUCAUCACAUUCCUCAUAUUCUUCCUCAGAAUCCAUUUCCUUGCCAAUGAGUGCCCGAGCCUUUCUGAAACUAGUCUUCUUGUGCAAUGAGGACUUUUAGGAUGAGGAUUUUUAAGAUAUCUUAUUUUGCUUCGAGUCAUCAGAACUUUCAUCCUUAUAAUUCUUCUUCUUUGAUUCCUUCAGCCAGCGAGGACAAUCAACAAUAUAGUGGCCAAAUUUCUUGCAUUUGUGGCAGGUUCUUUUCUUGUAGUCCUCACAUGAAGAUUUUGAUUUCCUCAUAUCUCUUCUUGAAGAUUUACCAAACUCUCCACCCCUUGUAAACUUCUGCAUUUUCCUCACGAGCAUUGCAAGCUCCUGUCCAACUUCUUCAGGAUCACCAAUGCUGCAAUCUGAGUCUUCUUCUUCAGAUGAGGAAAUUGCUUUGGCCUUCAGCACACGAGGUCCAGAGUAGCUUGGUCCAUAUAGAUCUCUCUUUUCUUCCUGUUGGAUUUUAUGAGUAUUGAGCCUUUCGAGUAUAUCAGCAGGAUCAAGCAUCUUAUAGUCUGCUCUUUCUUGAAUCAUCAGAACGAGUGUAUCAAAUGAUGGAUCUAGAGAUCUUAGCAGUUUCUUUACAACUUCAUGGUCAACGAUGUCUUGAGCUCCCAGUUCAUUUGAGAUGUCAGUGAGGCGAUCAAAGGUGUCUUGUCAACUUUCAUUAUGAAGCCUCUUGAAGCGAUUGAAGAGAUUGCGAAGAACAUCAACACGAGAGUCACGCUGAGGUGAAAUUCCUUCAUUGACUUUGGACAGCCUAUCCCCGAUAAGCUUCGCUGUGCCCAAAGCACUCACUCUGCCAUACUGACAUUUGCUCAGAUGGCCACAGAUGAUAUUCUUUGCUUGAGAAUCAAGUUGCUUGAAUUUCUUCACAUCAGCGGUAGAGACAGUAGCAGCGAUGGAGGGAAUGCCAUGUUCCACAAUGUACGAGAGAUCAUUGUCAAUAGCCUGAAAAUGCAUGUGCAUCUUGGUCUUCGAGUAGGGANNNNNNNNNNNNNNNNNNNNNNNUAGGGAAAGUGCUUUCCUUCAAAGGCAGGACAUCCUGCUGUAACCUUGAUCAUACCUACAGUCAACAUAACUAAAACUCCAGGUGGUUAAACCAAGAUCACACAGAACAAGGGAGUACCUCGCUCUAAUACCAAUUGAAAGUGCAUUAUAUCGACUAGAGGGGGGGGGUGAAUAGGCGAUUUUUAGAAUUUCAUCACUGAGGAAAUUCCUUUUGAGGAAAUUCCUCAUUGAUGAAUUACAUGCAACGGAAAUAGCGCAUGAUCAGAGGUGCAAAGAUUACAAUAGAAGUUUACUUAAUGAAGAUUAUGAGAAUCGGUUUGCACAGUAUUUAGGCACACAAUAAGCAGGUCAAGAUUAACUAGUAUGAAGAAUUUGAGGUUGAGUAAAUUCAGUGAAAGUCUUUAGCAAAUUCUUCAAACAGUGACAAUGAAAGUCUUCAACAUACAAUAUUGAGGAAUUGAAAGAGUUGAAGAAAUAGAACCUGUAUCACGAUGAAGACAGUUGUUGAUGACCCAGUUCCAACUGCUGUGAUAGUCGUACGUCUCGUUUGGAGCGGCUUGGUAUUGAAACCAAAGGACACACAGUCCCUACCGUAUUCUCCUUGAGCUAAGGACACACAGUCCUCGCCCAACACUCGUGGUAAGUCUUCAUGGCAUACUUCCAAACGCUCACAAACUCGGGCACCUGGUGAUCCACAAUUGACUACUGGAUGCUCUAGACCAUGACGCCUAACCGUCUGGAGGAUGCACAGUCCUUGAAGGUAAAAGUCUUCAGUUCCACACAGGAACAAUUUCUUCAGUGAUGCUCAAUCACUUGGUGUUGGUUUGUGGUUUGGUGUUUGGGGUAUUUCAUCAUUGAUAAUUUACUCUCAAAGACUCUAAGGAAUUUGGGUUGCUCUAAAUGACAAGUGUCAGUUUCUCGCGGAGCAGCCAACCAGCUAGUGGUUGUGGGGGUAGCUAUUUAUAGCCUGGGAGCAUCCCAACAUGAUUUGACAUAAAUGCCCUUAAAUAUUGUGACCGUUGGGGUGGAUAAGAUCGAUGAGGUGGCGCGUGUCGCGGCAACGGUUGGAACUUUCAACCGUGAAAGUCCUUGAUAACCCAGAAGUAUAGGGGAUCGCAACAGUUUUCGAGGGUAGAGUAUUCAACCCAAAUUUGUUGAUUCGACACAAUGGGAAGCCAAAGAAUAUUCUCGAGUAUUAGCAGUUGAGUUGUCAAUUCAACCACACCUGAAAGACUUAGUAUCUGCAGCAAAGUAUCAGUAGCAAGGUAGUGUGAUAGCAACAGUACCAACGGUAACAGUAGCAGCAGCAACAACAGUAGUGAUAGAGUAACAGUAGGAGCACUGACAGCAGUAGCGACGGAGUAACAUUAGCAGGAGUGACAACAGUAGCGGCAAAGUAAUGUAGCAAGGACCAGUAGGAAAAACUCGUAGGCAUUGGAUCGGUGAUGGAUGAUUAUGCCGGAUGGUAUUCAUCAUGCAAAAGUUAUAACACAGAGAGAUAUGUAACUAGCUCGAGUUCGUCAAUGUAAUGUAGGCAUGUAUUCCGUAUGUAGUCAUACGUGCUUAGGAAAAAGAACUUGCAUGACAUCUAUUGUCCAUCCCUCCCGUGGCAGCGGGGUCCUAAUUGAAACUACGGGAUAUUAAGGUUCUCCUUUUAAUAAAGAACCGGACCAACGCAUUAACACUUGGUGAAUACAUGAACUCCUCAUACUAUGGUCAUCUCUGGCAAUGGUUCCGGCUAUUGUCACUCCGGGGUUUGCCGGGUCAUAACACAUAGUAGGUGACUACAACUUGCAAGAUAGGAUCAAGAACACACAUAUAUUGACGAGAACAUAAUAGGUUCAGAUCUGAAAUCAUGGCACUCGGGCCCUAGUGACAAGCAUUAAGCAUGGCAAAGUAGUAGCAACAUCAAUCUCAGAACAUAGUGGAUACUAGGGAUCAAUCCCCGUCAAAACUAACUCGAUUACAUGAUAGAUCUCAUCCAACCCAUCACCGUCCAGCAAGCCUACGAUGAGCUUACUCACGAACGGUGAAGAGCAUCAUGGAAUUGGCGAUGAAGGAAGGUUGGUGAUGACGACGGCGACGAUCUCCCCUCUCCGGAGCCCAGAACAGACUCCAGAUCUGCCCUCGAGAGGAAGAACACGAGGUGGCGGAGCCUCCGUAUCGUAAAAUGCGAUGAACUCUUCUCCUUGAUUUUUUCGGAUGAAAGGGACUAAAUAGAGCUGGAGUUGGAGGCGGUGGAGCUCCGUGGGCCCCACAAGGCUCCUAGGCGCGGCCAGGGGGGGGGCGCCUGGUGGGCUUGUGGGAUCCACGCUCCACUUCUUUAGUUGAUUCUUGCGCCAGUAUUUUUUAUAUAUUCCACAAAAAAUCCUCGUAAAUUUCCACGUCAUUCCGAGAACUUUUAUUCUGCGCAAAAACAACACCCUGACAAUUCUGCUGAAAUCAGCGUUAGUCCGGGUUAGUUCCAUUCAAAUCAUGCAAAUUAGAGUCCAAAACAAGGGCAAAAGUGUUUGGAAAAGUAGAUACGACGGAGACGUAUCAACUCCCCCAAGUUUAAAGCCUUGCUUGUACUUAAGAAAUUCAGUUGACAAACUGAAAGAGACAAAAGAAAAACUUUUACUAACUCUGUUUGAUCUUGUUGUUGCAACUAUGUCUAACUCAUAUCCAGAAUUUCAGCAAGAUCAUAAGCUAACCACAUUAGCAAAUGACAUCUAGGUCUCAUGGUAAACUCAUAUCAAUGGCAUAAUGAACUAGCGAGCAAUAAUAAUGAGUUCCAAACGUCAACAGUUCAAUCAAAACAAACAUGAAGCAGUAUGAACAGAUGGUAUCUCGCUAGCUCUUUCUGAGACCGCAAAACAUAGAUGCAGAGCACCUUCAAAGACCAAGGGCUGACUGAACAUUGUAAUUCAUGGCAAAGAAGAUCCAGUCACAGUCAUACUCAAUAUCAGUUAAAAGCAAAGCAUAGAAAUGACAGAGGUGCUCUCUAAUUGGUGCUUUUUAUAAGAAGAGGAUGACUCAAUAGAGACAUAAAUAGAUAGGCCCUUCGCAGAGGGAAGCAUUGAUUUGAAGAGGUGCCAGAGCUCAAGCUUUGAAGACAGAUAUAAAUAAUUUUGGGUGGCAUGCUUUCAUUGUCAACGCAAUUACCAAGAGUUUUCACCAUCUUCCAUGCUACACAUACUGUAGGUGGUUCCCAAACAAAAAAGUAAAGUUUUGACUCCCCCACCACCGAUCAAUCACACUCCACGACUAGCCGAAUACUCGGGUGCCGUCCAUACCAACAACAAUCCAGGGGGAGUUUUUUUUGCAAUUAUCUUUUCGAUUUGAGCAUGGAACUGGGCAUUCCAAUUACCGGCCCCUUUCUUGUGAAUGAUAGUGAAUAAACACAUAUCGAGGAUAACACACCUAGCAUGGAAGAUACCGAUCGCCCCUUGUCACCACAUGAGCGGUUCGGGCAUGCAAAACAGAAUUAUUUCUUGAAGGUUUAGAGAGUGGCACAUGCAAAUUUACUUGGAACGGCAGGUAGAUACCGCAUAUAGGUAGGUAUGGUGGACUCAUAUGGAACAACUUUGGGUUUAUGGAAGUGGAUGCACAAGCAGUAUUCCCGCUUAGUACAAGUGAAGGGUAGCAAAAGACUGGGAAGCAACCAACUAGAGAGCGACAACAGUCAUAAAAAUGCAUUGAGAUUAACCAACAUUGAGUAGAAGGAUGAGUAGGACAUAAAUCACCAUGAACAUGAAUAUCAUAGAGGCUAUGUUGAUUUUGUUUCAACUACAUGCGUGAACAUGCGCCAAGUCAAGCCACUUGAAUGAUUCAAAGGAGGAUACCAUCCUAUCAUACUACAUCAUAAUCAUCUCGAGAUUCAUGUUGGCAUCCAAGAGAAACCAUUAUAAGCUCCUAGCUAAUUAAGCAUGGCAUCAGAAACUAUGAUCUCUAAGUUGUCAAUGCAAACAUGUUUCUCUCACAACAAAGCUGAAUCAGGAACGAUGAGCUAGUCAUAUUUACGAAAAGAAAAUAUAUCGAGUUCAUACCAGCUCUUCCAGGCUCAGUCACUUCAUCAUAUAUCGUCAUUAUUGCCUUUCACUUACACGACCGAACGAUGUGAACAACAAUAAGAGUGCUCGUGCAUUGGACUAAGCUGGAAUCUAUAGGCAAACACAAAGGAGAAGUCAAAGUAAUAUGGCUCUUUGACAGAUAAACAGAUAUGCAUGCGAGAGCCACUAAACAUUUUAACCAUGGUCUUCUACCUUGACCCAAAGAAAAAGAAAACUAUUUACACGGGAAAGCUCCCAACAAGCAAAAGAAGAACGGGAAAUCUUUUUGGGUUUUCUCAAAAUAGACAAACACACGAGAAGAAAGCGAGAAAAAUAAAUAAACUAGCAUGGAUGAUAAAGUGGCAAAGUGUGAACACGGACUAUCAAAGCGAAAGUGUGAACAUGAAUAUAAAGUUGGUGAGAAACACGUACUCCCCCAAGCUUAGGAUUUUGGCCUAAGUUGGUCUACUCCCAAGGAGGGAAAUAACCGUCUCUGGGGUACUCUGGAGUGUACUGAGGGUGCCACUGCUGUGUGAGCUCCUGUGGCUCCCACUGAUAAACUGGGGUCUGGUACUCGACUCGUAGCUCGGGCACGGGAUUCUUGUGGUGGUGCUAUGCCCCAAUAUGCGUAGAUGUCCGAGGGCAUAAUAAUGUACCUGCCUAGAUGAAGAUUGAUCAAACAAGGAGCAGGCAAAGUAAUAGUCUCUUGAGUACCCUGACUAAAUACCAGGUUAUAAAUCAUCCUCCUAUUUAUAUCUUUAUCAAGAAAGUCAUGGCGAACCAUGCUAUCAUAAUCUAGAUAUCUCUCAGGAAGAAGAGUCUCUUCUUCCUCGUGCAGUCUAAUAGGUAUCUCAAAAUGUCUAGCAAGACGGGUAGCAUAGAUACCUCCAUAAACAACGCCUUUAGAACGGUUCGUGUUCAACCGUUGAGCUACUAUAGCGCCCAAGCUAUAAGUUUUAUCAUUAUAAAGGGCUUCACGCAAGACCUGGGGAGCUAAGGGCCCCAACUUUCACACAGCCAAUCAAACAUUUUCCCACAAAUAAUGAGAAGUACCGAAGCACGGGAAAAUGUAUGCUAUCAGCUCUAGCGCAAGACACUCCUCUCUCCUCUCCGAAAACAAUAGUAUCUAUGAAAGCCUCCAAGUCCCGUGGAUGAGGUUCAUGAAUAUCCCCAACAUAAGGUAAUUUGCAAACAUUGCAAAAAUCCUGAAGUGACAUGCGCUCGGGGAUAUCAUAUAAUUUGAACUCAACCAUAGGAGGACUCUUCCUUGGAUAGAAAUUAAAGCUUUGCACGAAAAUAUUAGUGAGGAGGAGGUAUUGCUGACACUUAACUUCAACGAAGGCAGUAAGGCCCGCGUUCUCUACCAAGUAGUAAAAGUCCUCAUAAAUUCCAGUGGCGCGUAAGAACACAUCGCUUGGCCACUCGCACGCUCGAACUUCUGCAACUCUGGGGACCGUAUACUUGGGUUUCCUCUUCUCAUGUUCAUCAUCCUUGGGGUCACGGCUUGAAGAGCCUCUUAAGAACCUCCUCAUCUUUUCCUUUUUCUAUCUCUGAAAAUUUCUCAAAUUUUUUGUGACUCGAAGGAAAAGUGAACAAGGCUCAACGAAACUCAUAGCAACUACUCCACAAGUGCCUAGAGGCCAUAUCACACAUCAAAACUAGUUGGGACCAGCUAAAAUUAGCAUGCAAAGCUCAAGAACAGGGUCACCAAGGCAGCAAAACUACGCGACAUAUAAGGCACUAGAGCAAAAACUAAUUGGACCAAUGAAGGAGUCGCAUACCAAGGAGCAAUUUCCCCAAAACAGUUUGGUGAAUGGAGCUUUGCACAAGGAGAUCGAAAAUCGCAGCAAGAAGAGCAAGAACACGGGUUUGAGCUGCGAAACGAUUUUUUCUGGAGGUAGGGGAAGGAGAUGGUAGCUAGAAUAAGUGGAGGGGUGACACGUGGGCUCCACAAGCCUGGUAGGCGCGGGCAGGGGGGGUGCCCGCGCCUCCAGGGCUUGUGGCCCACUGGUGCAGCCCCCUGACUAGCUCUCCGUCUCAGAAUUUUUCAAAAAUUCCAGAAAAAAUCAUAUUUGAUUUUCUCGGCAUUNNNNNNNNNNNNNNNNNNNNNNNNNNNNNNNNNUCGGCAUUCGGAGAACUUUUAUUUUCGGGACACUUUUCUACGGGAUGCAAAAAACAGAAAACAGGGAAAACUAAAGCUAAAUCUAUCAUUUUUCUUCUAAGCAACCGAAGGUGAAAGCUUGGAACACAGGUUGGUGACUUCUCGAUUCAUCCAUCCCAUGGUCAUCGAAAGAAAUCCGUCAAUGAGGUUGAUCAAGUCUCCUUGACAAACUUUUUCGAAUCGCAUAAAAAAGAACGGAGAAUUUUCGAAUAGUCACUAGGUUACCUCAAUGGGGAUGUGCAUAUCCCCAACAAGCAAAUCAUACUUCAUCUUAACAGUAGGUAUAGGGCAUUCAAAGUUCCCAAUAAGAAUCGAUGAAGUUUUUUCAAUAGCAUUGAUGCAAUGUACUCGAUAUUGUUUCUUCGGAAAGUGAACCGUAUGCUCAUUAACGUUGAUAUGGAAAGUGACAUUGCCUUUGUUGCAAUCUAUAACAGCCCCUUCAGUGCUUAAAAAGGGUCUUCCAAGGAUGACCGCCAUGGCAUCGUCCUCGGGAAUAUCCAGAAUAACAAAGUCUGUUAAGAUAGUAACGUUCGCAACCACAAUAGUCACAUCCUCGCAAAUGGCGAUAGGGAAAGCAGUUGAUUUAUCGGCCAUUUGCAGAGAGAUUUCAGUGGGUGUCAACUUAUCUAGUUCAAGUCUAUGAUAAAGAGAGAGAUGCAUAACAUUAACACCGACUCCAAGGUCACAUAAAGCAGUUCUAACGUAGUUUUCUUUAAUGGAGCAAGGUAUAGUGGGCACUGCGGGAUCACCUAGUUUCUUAGGAGUUCCACCCUUGAAGGUAUAAUUAGCGAGCAUGGUGGAAAUCUCAACCUCAGGUAUCCUCCUCUUAUUAGUCACAAUAUCCUUCUUGUACUUAGCAUACACAGACAUUUAGAGCAUAUCUGUCAAUCACAUUUGCAGAAAGAUAGGCCUAAUCAUUUCAACAAAGCGCUCAAAAUCCUCAUCAUCCUUUUUCUUGGAUGGUUUGGGGGGGGGCAUGGGUUUCGGAACCCAUGGUUCCCUUUCGUUACCAUGCUUCCUAGCAGCGAAGUCAUUUUUAUCGUAUCUCCUAUUCUUAGGCUGUGGGUUAUGAAGAUCAACAGGUUGAAUCUCCACAUCCUUAUCAUUGCUAGGUUGAGCAUCUUCAUGAGCAUCAUUAUCGAUAUUAUCAUUAGGCUCAUGUUCAUCACCAGAUUGCCUUUUAGCAUCAGAAACAGAGACAUCGUUUGGACUCUCGGGUGUAACAACAAUAGGGUUGCUAGUGUGCAAGUUCCUAUCAUCUUUCUUUUUCUUUCUAAGAUGACUAGGUGCAUCAGUGCUAACUCCUUGAGAAUCUUGUUCAAUUCUCUUAGGAUGACCCUCAGGAUACAAAGGUUCCUGGGUCAUUCUACCACCUCUAGUGACGACUCUGACGGAAUUGUGAUUCAACACAUUGAGCAAGUCAUUUUGAGCCUUAAGUACUUGUUCUACUUAAGUAGUAACCAUAGAGGCAUGUUUACUCAGGAGCUUAAGAUCAUUGACGUUUCUAUCUACACAAGCACUUAAAUGACUAAGCAUAGGAGAAUUCUGUUCCAAUUGUCUGCUAACAUAAUCAUCGAAACUUUGUUGUUUGGCAACAAAGUUAUCAAAUUCAUCCGGGCAUAAGCUAGCAGGUUUAUUGUGACAGCCCGAUGCCGACGUUCCAGAAGAUUCCCCUCUCUUUCCGUUUUCGUCGUGUGCCUAUUUUCUUUUGUCGCAUCAUCAUCGCAUCAUGCGCAUCAUCAGCAUUGCAUCGGCAUCUCCGUUGCCGCCAGUUUUCAAAACCUGCAUCCGUUGUUAGUUGCCGGUUCGCGUCGUUGUUCGUUCCGAGCCUGACCGCACUCGCACGCGCCCGCGGCACCGUCGAAACCCUGUUUUUAAAGUGCGUUUAAAACUUUCUCUGGUCGAGGUGAAACUUGGCACGCGGUCGCAAUUAGUUAUCGCUAGGCCGCCUGUCGAAUUUCGUCGCGAUCGGAGACCGUCUCGUACCUGAACGGUCGACCGUAGCGGCACCAUAUUCGGGCUACCGUCGCACGUCUGUCGGUGUUUUAAAAUUCGUGCCGCAUCGCCCGUUCUCCCUCUCAUCUCCGGAUAUCCCCUCUACACGGCCACGUACCCGUUCCCACGUUCGGAAUCGUCCGAAUCCGACCCCGCGGUUGGAUCCGGAGCGCGAUUCCGGUUAACCGAGCCCCCCGUUUGUCUAUAUAUAGGCCCCCUCCUUAAUUUUAGGCAACCAACCCCUCUCCACCUCGGGAUCCGUGCCUACCCCCGAAACCCUAGCGCAGCCUCUCACUCUCUCUCCCUUCCAGCCGCCGGGCCCGCCGAGCCCAGAUCGGGCCCGGGCAGGCCCAUCCGCCGCCGCCGCCUUGCCCGAGCUCGUUGCAGCUCCUCUCCAACGCUGCGUCGUCGCCGGCCAGCAGCCGCGCUGCCGGAGCGCGCCGCCCUCGGUCCCCGCGCGUCCCUAGCCUAGGCGCCCCGUCGCCGUCCCUGGACUCGCCGGAGACCGCCGGCCGGAGCUCCCCAGCCCCUGCCUGCCGGUUCCCUGCCCGCGCCCUAGCGCCGCCGCGUCGCCAGGCCGGUGUAGCCCCGCCGCCGCCCCCGGAUCCUGUCAGAUCCGGACCGUGGGGGUCCAACCCCUGCCGCAUCCCUUCCCGGAGACUGUCGGACCUCGCCGUCGAGCAACCAGCAGCCGCCGCCAGCCACUGCCUCGCUCGUGCGGGAGGACGAGGGAGCGCCCAUCGCCGCGCCAGCGCCCCUGCGGGCCGGCCUCCCGCAGCGGCCCAGGAACAUGCCGGCCCAGGACCACCUCGGCCUCCUCCCCGCGACAUGGGCCAGGCCCACUAAGGUGACCAGCCCCCCAGCCCCUUUACUUAUGCAUAGGCGCCUCUUAGUUAUUCUAAGCCUCAGUUUCGGCCCGGUAGCUAUUAUAGGAAUUAUUUUCGGUUUAGACAAUUUCAGGAUUUAGCUAAUUAUUUAAACCCCCGUAACAUUUAAACCGUAAGCCGGUUCGAGACGUGUUAUAUAUCGUUUUGUGGUAGUUUCGCGCGCAGAAUACGAAUUUGAAACUUGCAUAAUUAUGUGACGUCAUUUAGCGUGCUGGUUGCCUACAUAAGUGUGCUGCCCCAAUAGUAUAUAGCCUGUAUAAUUUUUCCGCGCAUGUUCGGAGUGCUCGAAUGCCAUGAUAGAAAUGUCCAUAUUUUAGGGACCAUAUUUCCAUGUUUUUUAGAGCGGUCACUCGUAUUUUUUGCGUGUAGGGUUUGCCGGUAAUUUAUUUUCCCAUAUCUAGGUGAUUCUCCCGCAUUAUUGUGUGGCUUUAUUUUGUGUUGCAACCCCACAUAUUUUAUAUGUUUCCGGAGUAGAAAAAUCCCAUGAAUUUUUCUGUGCAAUUAGUUUUAGCUUUAGAGGAAGUUAGUUCGCGAGAUAUUUUGCUAAGUUGCCGUUUUGUUUAAUUUGUGGGAUUUAUUCCGUGCCUCGUUUGAAUUAGUUGUCAACUAGGGAGUUGAUCUUGGAUGUUUUGUUUAGCCCCUGGUAUUUUUUGGUUGCAAUAGAAAUGCAUGUUUAGGUGUUGUUUGCCUGCUCUCAAGUUGCUAGAAAUAGUGCUGUUUUAGAGGAGCUGAAAUAUUUCUAAGUCUGGAAUCUGUUAUAUUUUGUUGCUGUCUUGUCUUGCUUGUAACUUGUGAUCUGUAGCUCUUUUGAGGUUGGUCCAAUGGAGUUAGUUGUACCCCUUGUGUUUCUCUAGCUUUCUGUGAAGUUUCAUGCCAUUUUGAGUCCUGUAGCUUAGGAUUUUUCUGCUGUCAAUAUUGCUUCAGAUCGAAAACUGCAUUUUCAUGAGGUGUAAUUUUCACUAAGUCUGAAAUAGUGUGUGAGAUGCCAUUUUGUGACUUCUUUCUCUAGUGAUCCUUGCUGCCAUGAUAGUUGUUGUUAGUUGUUCGUAGUAUUGCUUCUUGCCCUCUUCCGUGACAUGCCUUGCUUGUGCAUAUCGGAGUUGUGUAGCCAUAGUUGUGGGGCGUAGAAAGUGCUAUGUGGCUGAUUUUGGCAGAUUGUAGUGAUUUCUUGUUUUGCUCGUAGUUUUCGAACCGUAGCUCCGUUUUGAUCGUGUCCUACAUGAAACUUGCUUAGAAUCUCGUGUAGUUUCAUUUUCUCCUGCUGGUUGUUUGUUUUGAAGUGCUCGUGACUGCCGUUGCACACAUAUUGCAUUCAUGCCAUCAUAUCUUGCGGUGCUUGUAACUUUUGAUCCGUAGCUCUGUUGGAGAUGUUCUUUAUGAGUAGAUUGCUUGAAAUGACGCGUAGAAUCACGUAAAACUAUUUGUUUUGCUGUUUAACAACCAAUUAAAUGUGUUAGUUCAGAUCUGGACAGAAUUGUAAAUUACCAUGUGAGGUCGUCUCGGAGAUGCUAUAUGUCAUUUCCGACCUCAUUUAAAAUGUCUAGAUAGGUAGUUUAAUUUCCGCUUCACCUCUUGCAUGUUUGACAACUUUAAUAUUGCCGUGUAUCUAAUCGGGAUAGAACUAAAUAAUAAACGUGGAGUUUCGUCAAUAUGCAACUCGUUGCAUAUUGAACUUCACUUAAUUUGUAGUGUUUGAUUGUGUGAAUUGUCAUGCCGUGACUUGCAUGUAUUUAGGUGCUCAUGCAUCAUAUGUGUUGUGCAUCGUGUGGUGAAUUCCGUGUGUUGAUGCUUGUUUUCGGUUUCCCCCGUCUCGAUAGAGUUCCGCAACGUGCCGGAUUGUGAGGACCCGUUCGACUACGUCGGUUCGUCUGCUUCACGGAGGCAUUCUUCUUCCAAGCGGGGUCUCAGGCAAGAUGAUCAUUUCCCCAGAUACCAUUACUAUCAUUGCCAUGCUAGUAUAACCGUUUCUAUCGAUUAUGUCUCGUUGCCUACCACAUGUUAAAUAACAGCCUCUCAACAAUGCCAUGAAACCUUCAACAUGUUCGACCUAGCAAACCAUUGAUUGGCUAUGCUACUGCUUUCUUAACCCUGUUGAUAGCGUUGCUAGUUGCAGGUGCAGUUGCUUCCAUGUGAUAACAUGGGUUCCUUGUUAUAUCACCAUAUUAAUGCUAUUUAAUUUAAUGCACCUAUAUACUUGGUAAAAGGUGGAAGGCUCGGCCUUUCUAGCCUGGUGUUUUGUUCCACCUUUGCCCCCUUAGUUUCGGCUACCGGUGUUAUGUUCCAUAAACGAGCGCUCCUAACACGAUCUGGGUUGUUAUGGGGACCCCCUUGAUAAUUCGUUUUAGAUUAAAGCUGGUCUGGCAAGGCCCAACAUUGGUUCUACAUUUGCCCAACAUAAUAAUUCUGUUAAAUUGAAAUGCAUAGGGAGUUAGCGCUACCCGAGGAGUAAUUUUACAUAAACAGGGGGGGCAGUGCUGAUGGUGUUGGUCCCAAACGGUAUGCCUGCGGGGCCACCGCGAGGAAACUCGAGGUUUGGCACCUGCAGCUAGUUCCAUCCGUCGUGUCCUGAGAACGAGAUACGCGGCUCCUAUCGGGUACGUCGACACGUUGGGCGGCCUUGCUGGAUUAGUUUUACCUUUGACGAGAUAUCUUGUGCAUCGGGAUUCCGGUGAUGCUUUGAGUAAUCUCGGAGUUGAGGUUUUCCACUAGGGAAUCCAACGAGAUCGCGAGCUUCGUGAUUGAGGAUUUCUAUGCGGCUUGUGGUAAUUUGUGAUGGACUAGUUGGAGCAACCCUGCAGGGUUAAAUCUUUCGGAAAGCCGUGCCCGCGGUUAUGUGGCAACGUGGAAACUUUGUUUAACACUGGUUCUAGAUAACUUGAAGUUAACUUAAUUAAAACUUGCCAACUGUGUGCGUAACCGUGACUGUCUCUUUCGUGAGUUCCUUCUCCGAUCGAGGACACGGUGGGGUUAUGUCUGACGUAGGUAGGUGUUCAGGAUCAUUCAUUUGAUCAUCUGUAGUUCACAUCCGCUAUGCGUAGAUCUUCCCCCUCUUACUUCUUGUACUCGUAAGUUUAGCCACCAAAUAUAUGCUUAGCUGUUGCUGCAACCUCACCACUUAACCAUGCCUCACCCAUUAAGCUUUGCUAGUCUUGAUACCUUUGGAAAUGAGGUUGCUGAGUCCCCUGUGACUCACAGAUUACUACAACACCAGUUGCAGGUACAGGUAAAAGUUACUUGACGCGAGCGCGUUGAUUGAUCAUUUGGAGUUGCUUCUUCUUCUUCUUCUUCAUCGAUCUAGGGUGGGUUCCAGGCCGGCAGCCUGGGAUAGCAAGGAUGGACGUCGUUCUUCUAUUGCCGUUUGUUUUCGUCCGUAGUCGGACCCUGCUCUUACUCUUGAUGAUUAUGUAAUUUACUGAUGUGACUCUGAUGUAGCUUGUGGCGAGUGUAAGCCAACUCUAUUUAUACCUCUUCUUUUCAGUACAUGUACUUGUAACGAUAUCCAUUCUUGCGACACGACGAGAUGCGCUUCUAUCCCUGACGAGGCCCCCGUGCCAAAUUGAGGAUAGGGUCGCAUCUUGGGCGUGACAUUUAUCAAAAGGAAUAUCACUCUCAUUGAAUCUACGAAGAUAAUUUACCUCUACUACCUGUAUCGGGUUAUCAAGAUCAUGGAUCUCUUCGAUAGGUGGUAGAUUUUUGACAUCUUCAGAUUUAAUGCCUUUCUCUUUCAUAGAUUUCUUAGCUUCUUGCAUAUCUUCAGGACUGAGGAAUAGGAUACCUCUUUUCUUCGUAGUUGGUUUCGGAGGUGGUUCGGGAAUAGUCCAAGCAUUCUCAUUGCACAAGAUAUUAUUCAAUAGGAUCUCAAAUUGUUCUACAGUUCGUUUCCUAAAAACACAACCAACACAACUAUCUAGGUGGUCUCUAGAAGCAUCGGUUAGUCCAUUAUAGAAGAUAUCAAGUAUUUCAUUCUUCUCAAGAGGGUGAUCAGGCAAAGCAUUCAGUAGCUGGACGAGCCUCCCCAAGCUUAUGGGAGACUCUCUUCUUCAACUUGCGCAAAGUUGUAUAUUUCCUUCAAGGCAGCUUGUUUCUUAUGGGCAGGGAAAUAUUUUCUAGAGAUGUAGUAGAUCAUAUCCUGGGGGCUAUGCACAAAACCAGGAGCAAGAGAAGUGAACCAGGUCUUAGAAUCAUCCUUUAGCGAGAAAGGAAACAACUUAAGGAUAUAGUAGUGGCGAAUCUUUUCCUCACUCGUGAAUAGGGUGGCUAUAUCGUGUAGUUUGGUAAGAUGUGCUACAACCGUUUUAGACUCAUAACCAUCAAAGGGAUCAGAUUUGACCAGAGUGAUUAACUCACGGUCGACAGAGAAUUCAUAAUCCUUAUCGGUCACAAAGAUAGGCGAAGUAGAAACUUUGGGUCAUAUUUGAUCCUAGCGUUCAAAGAUUUUUCUUUCCACUUACGCAGUAACUUCUCAACACCAUAGCUAUCCUUACAAGCAAGAAAGUCCUCAGCUAUCUCUCCCUCUAUAACAUAACCCUCAGGCAUAUCAGGCAAUUCAUAUCUAGGAGAGCUAGUUCUAAGAGGCGAAAUAGAAGGUUCUACCUCAAUAAUCUCAACAGUUUCACAAGUAUCAUCACAUCUAGCAGCAACUCUAGCAAUUUGUGCAUCAAGGAAUGCACCUAGUGGCAAAGCAGUAUCAAGCAUAGCAUCAUCACAAGUAUCAUGGACAGCAGAAGUAGCAUCAUCAAGCACAUGCGACAUAUCAAAAUUUCUAGCAUGACGUGGUGUCGCAAACUUACUCAUAACUGAAGGUGAAUCAAGUGCAGAGCUAGAUGGCAGUUCCUUACCCGUCCUCGUAGUUGAGGGCAAGACUUUAGUUUUUGGAUCUCUCGGAUUCCUCAUAGUGAUCAGCAAACGUAAAUCCCAAGUGACUCAGAGAAUAUUGCUAGGCCUCCUCGGCAAUGGCGCUAGAAAAAGGUCUUGAUAACCCAGAAGUAUAGGGGAUCGCAAUAGUUUUCGAGGGUAGAGUAUUCAACCCAAAUUUGUUGAUUCGACACAAGGGGAUGCCAAAGAAUAUUCUCGAGUAUUAGCAGUUGAGUUGUCAAUUCAACCACACCUGAAAGACUUAGUAUCUGCAGAAAGUAUCAGUAGCAAGGUAGUGUGAUAGCAACAGUAGCAACGGUAAAGUAGCAGCAGCAACAUCAGUAGUGAUAGAGUAACAGUAGCAGCAGUGACAACAGUAGCAACGGAGUACCAGUAGCAGCAAUGACAGUAGUAGCGGCAAAGUAACAUAGCAAGGACCAGUAGGAAAAACUUGUAGGCAUUGGAUCGGUGAUGGAUGAUUAUGCUGGAUGGUAUUCAUCAUGCAACAGUUAUAACACGGAGAGAUAUGUAACUAGCUCUAGUUGGUCAAUGUAAUGUAGGCAUGUCUUCUGUAUGUAGUCAUACGUGCUUAGGGAAAAGAACUUGCAUGCCAUCUAUUGUCCAUCCCUCCCGUGGCAGCGGGGUCCUAAUGGAAACUACGGGAUAUUAAGUUUCUCCUUUUAAUAGAGAACCGGACCAACGCAUUAACACUUAGUGAAUACAUGAACUCCUUAUACUAUGGUCAUUUCCGGGAGUGGUUCCGGCUAUUGUCACUCCGGAGUUGCUGGGUCAUAACACAUAGUAGGUGACUAUAACUUGCAAGAUAGGAUCAAGAACACACAUAUAUUGACGAGAACAUAAUAGGUUCAGAUCUGAAAUCAUGGCACUCGGGCCCUAGUGACAAGCAUUAAGCAUGGCAAAGUAGUAGCAACAUCAAUCUCAGAACAUAGUGGAUACUAGGGAUCAAUCCUCGUCAUAAAUAACUUGAUUACAUGAUAGAUCUCACCCAACCCAUCACCGUCCAGCAAGCCUAUGAUGAGAUUACUCAUGAACGGUGAAGAGCAUCAUGGAAUUGGCGAUGAAGGAAGGUUGGUGAUGACGAUGGCGAUGAUCUCCCCUCUCCGGAGCCCAGAACGGACUCCAGAUCAGCCGUCCAGAGGAAGAACAGGAGGUGGCGGAGCCUCCGUAUCGUAAAACGCAAUGAACUCUUCUCCUUGAUUUUUCUCCGGACGAAAGGAACUAAAUAGAGCUGGAGUUGGAGGCGGUGGAGCUCCGUGGUCCCCACAAGCCUGCUAGGCGCGUCCAGGGGGGUGCCUGGUGGGCUUGUAGGCUCCACGCUCCACUUCUCCGGUUUAUUCUUGCGCCAGUAUUUUUUAUAUAUUCCACAAAAAAUCCUUGUAAAUUUCCAGGUCAUUCCGAGAACUUUUAUUUCCGCACAAAAACAACACCAUGGCAAUUCUCCUGAAAACAACGUUAGUCCGGGUUAGUUCCAUUCAAAUCUUGCAAAUUAGAGUCCAAAACAAGGGCAAAAGAGUUUGGAAAAGUAGAUACGACGGAGACGUAUCAACUCCACCAAGUUUAAAGCCUUGCUUGUCCUCAAGCAAUUCAGUUGACAAACUGAAAGAGACAAAAGAAAAACUUUUACGAACUCUGUUUGAUCUUGCUAUUGCAACUAUGUCUAACUCAUAUCCAGAAUUUCAGCAAGAUCAUUAGCUAACCACAUUAGCAAAUGACAUCUAGGUCUUCUCCAACCUGCGUCACCUUGCCCCGCAGCUUGACCUCUGGCGCGUCAUCGAGCCGACGCCCGCUGAGUCUCGUCAUCUUCUCCAGGACGAAGUCCGCCCGCACGUGGACGUCCUGGUGGAGCGGUGCGUCCGGGUGCUUGUCUCCAGUGAGGAGGAGGGCUCCGACGCCGAGCCUGCAGGCGCCAAGGGCGACGUCGGCGGCCUCUCCCCCUAGGCACUCCCGGCUUCUGUCUACCUGCUCCUGUGCUAUUUGAUCAAGAACCCUGCCUUGUCGGGCGUUAAGCUUUUGCGUUAUUACCUUUUCCAUCCGUCGUCUUCCCUUUCCCUCUUGAAUUGAUCAUUUGCUCACUGGUGGUCGUUGUGGCUUGGCUUCGAAGCUUAGGGACCGUCGUUGCCCCAGCCAGUGCUCGGGGAAACGGCGGCCACGGCCCUCAGGUGGUCCCGUCCUCCCGAGGCACCGCUCGUGCCGCUGCACGCAUGGUCGAUGGCCUCAUUCCUCGAUGCAGCUGAAUCCUUAGGCCACACACCCCUUCGUUAGUACGUAUGUUUUUAAUUUGUUGUUACUUUGGCAUGAAACCAAAUGACCCCCGUUUGGUCCUGCGGGGUACUUAGCUCGUGGGUUUGCGCCGGUCCAUUUCGUAGAUCCUCCUGAGUAGCUCCUGCUUUGUAUGUAUGACAGGGUGGAGACCCUUUCGGCACUCUAUGUUUGCAGGCCCUAGUCCCGCACUGUGUUCGGUGGGGCUCCUGAGGCUCAAUGCGUAGGAGCCCCCUUUGGCGUUUGAGUGAUUCCUCUUCACGUUUCUUUGGUCAUCUCCCCAGGACGCCCUGAGGCCUCCUGAGACUCUUUGCAGUGAUAUCGUGCUUCGAUCUGGACCCCCGAGCGGGGGCUGAUCGCCGAAAAUGUUUGCCCGUGGGACGACAAAUCCUUGCUUUCGCUCCUUGGCCCCUAGGGGCGGGCGGAGCAUGUAGCUCCUCAGAAAAUCCAGAAAGAGAGGCUUCCAAACCGGCGAAACGAGAAAGCGUAAGAGAAAGUUCCACCCCCUUUUUGUUUUUCAAACAUAAAAAAUUGACAGAUUUAAGUCCGACAGAAGAUGGUUCGAAAUCUAGGUAAAAUCAAGCAAAUUCCGUGUGCGGCACCUAGGCUGGCAUAAUCAUUGGGGACUAUGUCGGUUUCCUUGCCAGCUGCGGGCAUAGUCAUUGGUGGACUGAGUUGAUUGCCGCUGUCUUCUCCCCAGCGCAGAGCGUAGGGAUGCCACUAGGCAUGGGAUGUACCCCUUCCGCAUCCUCGGGGGGGCCCUGGGCGUAUACAGCCUCGGCUCGUUAUUACGGGAGAGUGUCACGGUGGUGGUGUAUCUGGGAGGUCGCGAGGACGCUUUGGCCUCGCGGGUGUCCCUACCCUCGAGGCAUAGGUGCCUGAUUCCUGAAGUCAUUGGUGGACUGUGUUGAUCGCCGCCAUUUCCCCUAGCGCUGAGCAUAUGGCUGCCACUAGGCGUGGGAUGGACCCCUUACGCGUCCUCGGCCCCCCUGGGCGUAUACAACCUCGACUCGUUAUUACGUGAGAGUGUCACGGGAUGAAGUAGGUUCCGGAAGGAUUGAAGGACAAUGCAGAGGUGCGCCGGGUUGAUGCAGGUCCUGCGCGCUCCUUCUCCCGAGGCCAGUUGAGGGCUUUUCUAUUACUCUACGUUGGUAGGUCCUAGUCCCACACAUUUCCCUACCACCAUGAGGCGCCUCACGGGGCAAGGCCCUGGUUCCCCUGACAUCGAUCGAAUGUCCCUGGAUGGCACUAGGGUGGCCAACUGGCUUUGUGAUCGGUAAGGCUCCUGAGGCGCGAUGCUCAGGAGCCCCCUUUAACGUUAGAACGGCUCUGUGUCGCCAGGAUCUAGUCUUCCACAUUUCCCAACCGCCAUCACAUGCGACCGAAUGAACGGACGCAACUACGGGGUCAAGCCUUGCCACCCCUGAUAACGACCGAAUGUCCAUGGACGAUAUCAAGGGUGGAAGGUGGCCUUAUGACCGGUAAGGCCCCUGAGGCACAAUGCUCAGGAGCCCCCUUUUGACGCUCAAGCGGACCCCAUCUCGUCCUGCUGAUUGUGGCCCUCGGAAGCCGCGAGGCGUCCCCAGGUCCCCCGAUGGGCGUCGUGCACCGGCCGGAGCCCCCGAGCGCGGGGGAGGGGGGGUAGAUCGCCCGAAGAUGCAAGCAACUCAAGAUGUCAGGUCGCCGAAUGGAUGCACCAGGAGUUAUAGAGACAUGAGUAAAUGAUGAGAUGGGCAGGGGUGUGCCGUGAACACUUGAAGUUCCUAUGGUCAGCACGCACUCCUUAGAGCACGGAGCCCAAAAAAUUACGUCGCAUAGCUUCUUCGCGUAUGAGGGCCGCCUUGUGAGGCCCGACCCUCGGUGCCUGCUCCAGCUCCAUGGUUGCCGCGGGUGGCCCGCGCCACUUGUGUCUUGUUGCUUCAUAUGACUUGUCCUCUUGAGGCUUGGGGUCCGGUUCUUCACAGUUCCUCCGAGGGGGCGGCGCCUGACGUCAUGCCCUGGGGCCCGGGGGCGCCGGGGGCCUCCACGGCGUUCCUUACUCCUGAGGAGAAUAGGCGGCCGGGGUGGACGCUUGAGGCUCUUACUCGUCGAGAGGGUCUGGUGGUAUCGCAUACUCUGGUACAUAAGUCUCCAUGUAGGCGUUCGAUCGGCCUCUGUGGCCGUUCAGCAGCGCGACCGUGGCGGUCCCUUUCAAGGCGGAGGGGGAUCCCCCCGGCCGUGUUGCUCGAAGAUCUUCCUGCGAUGGGCCUCUGCACGAAGCCGCUUGUUCCUGUUGCCGCCGUUGGUUGGUAUGGGUAUUGCCCGGUGCAGACUCCCCCCUUGGUGCCCUGGUAUGUCUCUGUUGUCGUAGUUUGCCCGCGCCGAUGCCUGCUUCGCCUACGCCUGAGGGAGCGCUCCCGCUUGGCCUCUCUGGGUUGUUGGGGACCAACCUGGUCUUGGCAAUGUGCGUCGGCGUGUGCAUCGAAGGCCCUGCUGUUCUCUUUGCACCCAUGGUGGUUGCCGUCGUGCUGCACCUCCAGGCCAGCCGUCGGGACCUGGAGGAGGAGGAGGAGGGCAGCAAGAGAUGCGCCUCUCUCGGCCCCGCCCUUCGCAGGAGGGGCUCCGUCGCUUGCAGGCUCGGGGACUGGCACAAGGUGCGAGCCCCCGGGGACCGGCGCCUGCAGCCUUGAAGGAGAGUGGGGUCGGAUGGCCUUCUGGGCGAUGGUGAUCAGCUCCAUGAUGUGAUCUGCCCAGGCGUCGAAGCCCCCUUGCGUCGGUCGUUGGAGGAGCAUCUCACUCUCCAUCUGCAAUGCAUCGUGCGGGCCGAGGUCACCGGCUGCCUGGGUGGCGUGGGCGGUCGAGACGGUGGAGGUGAUGUUGACGAUCUGGUACGAGCCGCCUAAUACCACAACGUCGGUACACGUUGCGGCCACUGUGGUAUGGCGAUUGGAGGCCAGCUCGACGAGGCUCGAAGAAGCUUGUUGGGCGCCGGUCAUUGGAGCAGCGGGCUCGGGGAAGAUGGAGGUCGGAGAAGACCUCGACAUGCCCCCUACCUGGCGUGCCAAAUGUUGGAUUUCGGGCUCCGCAAAACCCUAAAGAUUCGAACUCAGGGGCGUGUACGAAGAUCUCUCACUGGCUCGCCUCACAUAGCUCGCUACUCGCUGAGAAUAGCAAGGAACUCACUCGAUGGUGAGGUAGACACAGAACACGGCAGUUUACCCAGGUUCGGGCCACUAAGAAUCGUACUACCCUACUCCUGCUUUGGUGGAUUGCUUCUCGUGGAGGUUGGUGGAUGAACUAGUACAAUGUUUAAGGGCCUCCGUAUGCUGGAUGGCCUUUGCGUUGUGUUGGUCGGUGAAUGAAUCGAUUGCCCCCAGUUCUACGAAGCAACCUAUCCUCUAUAUAUAGUGGCGGCCCCACUCCUCUUCCCUUAUUGUUUCGGCGGGAAGGGAUCCCACAACGGCCAAUUUCAAAGGGGGACAGGGGAACAUGCUUCCCCUGUCCAAAAGUGGUCUUUGCGUGCAAAGUGGCUGCCAACACUGUGGGGAUGGGUUCAGGGAUGACGUCCGUCCUGCCGGCGGGUGGCCAUGGUCUUGUUGCACCAGAAUGGAAACCUUUAGGAGAUACCUUGGAGACCCGUGCGCGUCCUUGUCCCCUUUGCACUAAAGGGGAAACUGCACCGUCCUGCUGUCCGCCGCUCGCCUGUCCUUCUCCCACGUCACCCUUGACUCCUGAGGCUGGGCCUUGCCUUGGAAUAUCCGCCGCUCCGGAGGGGUCCUGAGGAGGCCCCCUGCGGGUCUUGAUACUGCUCCUCCUCGUGAGGCUUGGUCCCUCGCGAGGGCCUUGUCUUGAGUGAUGUCGGACCUGUUGUUUUUUGGUAGAUGAAGUGGGCUAGCCCUAGGCCGCAGGGUGGUAGGUAUGGGUACCCCCAUUCCCAGAAUGCNNNNNNNNNNNNNNNNNNNNNNNNNNNNNCGAGAAUUCUUUUGUAUGUGAUCGCAACAGCCAGUGAAACAUCAGCGCCAACCCCAGACUGCAUUCAACGCGUCAUCGACGACUUUCCAGAUGUCUUCGUCGCGCCCACAUGUGUGAUGCCCGGCGAGCUAGCAAUCAUUGGAUACCUCUUUUCCCGGGUACACAACCAGUGAACAUCAGGCCAUAUCGUCACAAGCCAGAGCACACAACGGAAAUCAAAGCACAAGUUGAAGAACUGCUCAGAUCAGGUAUCAUUCAAUGCAACACCAGUCCCUUCGCUUUGCCACUCAUCCCCAUCAAGAAAAAGGAUGGGGCAUGGCGCUUGUGCAUAGAUUAUAGACACAUCAAAGCACUUACAGUGGUCGCCAAGUACCCAGUGCCAGUGAUUUAGGAACUUCUGGACGAACUACAUGGCGCGGUCUGGUUUUCCAAACUUGAUCUCCGUGCAGGUUACCACCAAAUCCGUCUUGCACCAGGAGAGGAGCACAAAACUGCAUUUCAAUCCAUCAAGGCUACUUCGAGUUAAUGGUGGUCUCAUUUGGCUUCGCAGGCGCACCGACGAAAUUUCUGGGCGCAAUGACAAUGGACCUGAACCCUCUCAACCGUGUGCGCGUGCUCUCCUUAUUCGAUGACAUCUUGGUCUUCAACGCGUCUCUGCCUGACCAUGUCGUCCAUCUGCGGAAGGUUCUACAACCGCUUUGCAAGGAUUGCUGGAAUGUCAAGCUAAGCAAAUGUGCCUUUGGCCAAUAGGAGAUUUCGUACCUCGUCCACACCAUCAGUGUCGAGGGCGUCUCCAUCGUGCCAUCCAAGAUUGUUGCAGUGGUUAAUUGGACAACCCCCACGGACGUCAAAGGAGUCCACAACUUCCUGGGGCUCGCAGGGUACUACCGCCGGUUCGUUAGGAAUUUCGGCGUGAUCGCACGACUCCUGUUCAAUCUGCUAAAGGAAGGGGUCCCAUUUCUAUGGACUCCCGUCAUCGAAACUGCAUUCCAAGUGCUGAAGGAACAACUGGUCUUAGCCCCUAUGCUGGCCCUACCCAAUGUCAAGCAACCAUUCGCAGUCGAGAUAGACGCGAACGAUCGUGGCAUUGGGGCCAUUCUGCAAUAGAACGUGCAUUCGUUUUCUUUCAUGAGAAGGCGCUCAGUCUGCGUUAUCAGGGCCUGUCCACUUAUGAGAAGGAGUACCUCCCAAUUAUUGUGUCUAUCAAUCAAUGGUGGCCCUACCUUCAGCAUGUGGAAUUCGACAUCCUCACCCACCAAAAAAGCCUAGUUCAUUUGGAGGAACAACGACUGAAAAUGCCUUGGCAGCAGAAGGAAUUCACCAAACUACUCGGUCUACAUUACUGCAUCCGCUACAAAAAGGCAUUUAGAAUGCCGGUGCUAAUGCCUUAUCGCGCGCUAACCCCUCCGACACUCUGACUACCAUCACGUCGUGCCAGCCAGCGUGGCUCAAGAUGUCGCCAACAGCUAUGUCAACAAUCCCUAGGCCGAGCGCUUACUGGAGCAACUCGCCAUGAGGGAAGACCCAAAGGGGCAUUUUUCCUUGCAGCAGGGUAUUUUGCGCUUCCAUCGCAGGAUUUGGCUCGGAUGGAACACCAAAAUUAAACAAAGGAUUAUCUCGGCUUUUCAUGGCAGUUUGCUACUUCUUGAGCUUGCGUUGGUUUUUCCCUUGAAGAGGAAAGGGUGAUGCAACAAAGUAGAUAUAAGUAUUUCCCUCAGUUUGAAAACCAAGGUAUCAAUCCAAUAGGAGUAUCAAGAUGAGGGACCAAUAAACCUGCUCAAAAACAAACAAACUUGCACCCAACACGAUAAAGGGGUCGUCAAUCCCUUCACGAUUACUUGCAAGGUGAGAUCUGAUAGUGAUGAAAGGUAAAUAUAAAUAAAAGUGCAGCAAGGUAUUUUUGGUAUUUUUGUAUGUAGAUCUGAAUAUAUAAUGUGUAAGAUAGACCCGGGCCCAUAGUGUUCACUAGAGGCUUCUCUCAUGAUAGCAAGUAUUACGGUGGGUGAACAAAUUACUGUCGGGCAAUUGCUAGAAUCGCACAAAGUCAUGACGAUAUCUAAGGCAAUGAUCAUACAUAUAGGCAUCACGUUCGAGACAAGUAGACCGAUACUUUCUGCAUGUACUACUAUUACUCCACACAUCGACCACUAUCCAGCAUGCAUCUAGUGUAUUAAGUUCAUAACAAACGGAGUAACGCCUUAAGCAAGAUGACAUGAUGUAGAGGGAUAAAUUCAUGCAAUAUGAUAUAAACUCUAUCUUUUUACCCUUGAUGGCAACAACACGAUGCGUGCCUCGCUACCCCUUCUAUCACUAGGUGAGGACACCGCACGGUAUGAACCCAAAACCAAACACUUCUCCGAUUGCAAGAAUUAUAGAUCAAGUUGGCUAAAAGAAACCCAUAACUCGAAGAGAAUUACAAGGAUAUGAAAUCAUGCAUAUAAGUAAUCAGAGAAGACUCAAAUAAUAUUCAUAUAUAAUCUGAUCAUAUAUCCACAAUUCAUCGGAUCUCGACAAACACACCGCAAAAGAAAGUUACAUCGGAUAGAUCUCCAUGAAGAUCAUGGAGAACUUUGUAUUGAAGAUCCAAGAGAGAGAGGAAGCCAUCUAGCUACUAGCUAUGGACCCAAAGGUCUGUGGUGAACUACUCACGCAUCAUCGGAGAGGCAACGGUGUUGAUGAAGAAGCCCUCCGUGUCCGAAUCCCCCAUCGCCAGGGCACCAGAACGGUCCCCAGAUGGGAUCUUGCGGAGACAGAAGCUUGCGGCGGUUAAAAAGUAUUUUCGUGGCUCCCUCUGGUGGUUUCGGGAUAUUUGGAAAUUUAUAGGCAAAAGAGGUAGGGCAGAGGAGGAAAGGGGGGCCCACAAGCCUGCUAGGCGCGUCCCCCCUAGGGCACACCUAGGGGGCUCGUGACCUCCCACGAGACCUCCUUCCUUGGUUCUCAAGUCUUCUCGGUAUCUUCUGUUAUGGAAAAAAUCAUCCCGCAGGUUUUAUUCCGUUUGGACUCCGUUUAAUAUUCUUUUCUGAAAAAUGUCAAAAACACGGAAAAUACAGAAACUGGCACUAGGCACUGAGUUAAUAGGUUAGUCCCAAAAAUGAUAUAAAAUGGCAUAUAAAUGCAUGUAAAACAUCCCAAGUUGAUAAUAUAAUAGCGUGGAACAAUAAAAAAUUAUAGAUACGUUGGAGACGUAUCAAGCAUCCCCAAGCUUAACUCCUGUUCGUCCUCGAGUAGGGAAGUGAUGAAGACCGAAUUUUUGAUGUGGAAUGCUACCUAACAUAUUUGUUCUUUGUAACUUAUUUAUUGUGGCAUGAAUGUUCAGAUCCGUAAGAUUCAAAACAAUAGUUUAAUAUUGACAUGAAAACAAUAAUACUUCAAGCAUACUAGCAAAGUAAUCAUGAACUUUUGAAAUAACAAGGCCAAAGAAAUUUCUCCCUACAAAAUCAUAUAGUCUGGCUAUGCUCCAUCAUCCCCAAACAACGAAUUUAAAUCAUGGACAACCCCGGUAUUGGACAAGUAAUUGUUUUCGCACUCUUACUUUCUCUAACCUUUUCAACUCUCACGCAAUACAUGAGCAUGAGCCAUGGAUAUAGCACUAUAGGUGGAAUAGAGUGUGGUGGAGGUUGCGAGGCAAAAAGAAGGAGAUGGUCACAUCGACUCGGCGUAUCAUCGGGUUAUGGAGAUGCCCAUCAAUAGAUAUCAAUGUGAAUGAGUAGGGAUUGCCAUGCAACGGAUGCACUAGAACUAUAAGUGUAUGAAAGCUCAAAAAGAAAACUAGUGGGUGUCCACCCAACUUGCUUGCUCACGAAGACCUAGGGCAAUUUUGAGGAAGCCCAUCAUUGGAAUAUACAAGCCAAGUUAUAUAAUGAAAAUUCUCACUAGUAUAUGAAAGUGACAAAACAAUAGACUCUCUAUCAUGAAGAAUGUGGUGCUAUUUUGAAGCACAAGUGUGGAAAAAGAUAGUAGCAUUGUCCCUUCUCUCUUUUUCUCUCAGUUUUUUUGUUUGGGCUCUUUGGCCUCUUUUUUUCAUUUUUUUGGUGGGCAUCUUUGGCCUCUUUUUUUUAUUUCCUCACAUGGGACAAUGCUCUAAUAAUGAUGAUCAUCACACUUUUAUUUACUUACAACUCAAUACUUAGAACAAUAAUGACUCUAUAUGAAAUGCCUCCGGCAGUGUACCGGGAUGUGCAACGAUCUAGCUUAGCAUAUGACGUUGAAACAUCUCGCUAGCUAUCUUCCGAUCAUGCAAUGGCAAUAAGAGAGUGGCGGUCAUAAGUCAUGAGACGGAACGGUGGGAGUUGCAUGGCAAUAUAACGGAACGGUGGAAGUUGCAUGGUAAUAUAUCUCGGAAUGGCUAUGAAAAUGCCAUAAUAGAGAGGUAUAGUGGCUGUUUUGAGGAAUGUAUAUGGUGGGUUUGUGCACCGGCGAAAGUUGCGAGACACUAGAGAUGCUAGCAAUGGUGGAAGGUGAGAGUGUAUCUAUACCAUGGACUCACAUUAGUCAUGAAGAACUCAUAUACUUAUUGCGAAAGUUUUAUUAGUAAUCGAAACAGAGUGCUAAACACAUACUCCUAGGGGAAGGGUUGGUAGGUGUUAACCAUCGCGCGAUCCCGACCGCCACACAAAGGAUGACAAUCAAUAAAUCAAUUAUGCUCUGACUUCCUAACAUAGCGGUUCACCAUACGUGCAUGCUACGGGAAUCACUAACUUCAACACAAGUAUUUCUAGAUUCACAACACCCUACUAACAUAACUCUAAUAUUACCAUAUCCAUAUAUCAAAACUAAUUGUGAGGAAUCAAACUUCUCUUACUAAUAAAUACACUUGUAUAUGAAAGUUUUUAUUAUAUCCUCUUUGGAUGCCUAUCAUAUUUUGGACUAAUUUCAUAACACACGCCAAUUACCAAGUUACUUAGAGAGAGCACUCUCAAAAUGAUAUAAGUGAAGAUCGAGAGUUUUUAUUUCUACAAAAUAUGACACCGCCGUGCUCUAAAAGGAUUUAAGUGAAGCACUAGAGAAAAAUCAUCUAGCUCAAAAGAUAUAAGUGAAGCUCAUGGGAGCAAAAUUUUCUAGCUCAAAAGAUAUAAGUGAAGCUCAUGGGAGCUAAAUUUCCUAGCUCAAAAGAUAUAAGUGAAGCUCAUUGAGUAUUCUAACAAAUUCAUGAUGAGUGCAUGUACCUCACAAAAAGGUGUGCAUCAAGGAUGAUUGUGAUAAAACAAAAAGCAAAGACUCCUAUAGUACACAACGCUCCAAGCAAAACACAUAUCAUGUGGUAAAUAAAAAUAUAGCUCCAAGUAACGUUACCGAUGGAUUGAAGACCAAAGAGGGGAUGCCUUCCCGGGGCAUCCCCAAGCUUAGGCUUUUUUGUGUCCUUGAAUUUGGCUUGGGAUGACUUGGACAUCCCCAAGCGUAGGAUCUUUCCACUCUUUAUUCCAUUGUCCAUAAGAACAUCACCCAAAACAUGAAAACUUCACAACACAAAACUUAAACAGAAACUCGUGAUAUCAUUAGCAUAAGAAAACAAACCACCAACUUUUUAGGUACUGUUGUAAACUUAAUUUCCAUUUAGAUUGAUGUUAUAUUACUGUAUUCUCAGUUCUCCUUGGCUCGCACCCCCCGAUACUAACCAUAAUUUUAUCAAAAUAAGCAAUCAACACAACAAAAACAGAAUCUGUCAAAAAUAGACGAGUCUGUAGCAAUAUGUAUAUUUCUUAAACCGCUGCUAUCCCAAAAAUUCUGAAACAUUAUGAAAAUUAGGGAAAUUUUCAUAUCAAUAAGCAUCAAAACGAAUCAACUCAAAAGCUCUUUCUGGAUAGGAAUUAAAAAUAAUUUCGUGAGCACAAAGUUUCUGUCUUUUUCAGCAUGAUUAAACAACUAUCACCAAAACUAAUCAUAAAGGUUCUACUUGGCACAAACACUAAUUAAAAUAUAGAAAACACAAUCAAGAUGGUGUGGACUCAACAAAACAGAAAGUAAAAAGCAAAAAUAAAUUUAUUCAUUCGGUUGUCUCCCAACAAGCGCUAUCGUUUAACGCCCUUAGCUAGGAAUAAGGCAAUAGAAUCAAGUAUCGUCAUCUUUAGUGCUCAAACCAUAAGUAGCUCUCAUAACGGAUUCAUAAGGCAAUCUUAUUUUCUUUCUAGGAAAGUGAUCCAUGCCCUUCUUUAAUGGAAAUUGAAAUUUAAUAUUCCCUUCCUUCAUAUCAAUAACAACACCAAUAGUCCUAAGGAAAGGUCUACCAAGAAUAAUGGGACAUGUCGGAUUGCAAUCAAUAUCAAGCACAAUGAAAUCUACGGGCACAUAGUUCCUAUUUGCAAUAAUAAGAACAUCAUUGGUCCUUCCCAUAGGUUUCUUAAUAGUAGAAUCCGCAAGAUGCAAAUUAAGAGAGCACUCAUCAAUCUCAUUGAAACCUAGAACAUCACAUAAAGAUUUUGAAAUUGUGGAAACACUAGCACCAGAAUCACACAAAGCAUGGCAUUCAUAAUUUUUAAUAUUUAUUUGUAUAGUAGGUUCCCACUCAUCAAGAAGUUUUCUAGGAAUAGAUAUUUCCAACUCAAGUUUCUCUUCAAGAGACUUCAUCAUAACAUCAACGAUAUAAUUGGUAAAAGCCUUAUUUUGGCUAUAAGCAUGUGGAUAGUUUAGCAUGGAUUGCAUCAAGGAAAUACAUUUAAUAAAAGAGAAACUAUCAUAAUUAAAUUCCUUGAAAACCAAAGUCGUAAUUUCAUCACUAUUCAAAGUUUUGAUAUCCUCUACUCCACUUUCAGUAUCAAGAUAAAUAGACUCCGAAUCAUUGGGGCGUUUCUCAACCAAAGUGGAUUCGAAUACAACCCCAUCAUCAUUAGGAUUGUCAUUAGAAAACAAGGAUUCAAUAGGAGUCACACCAAGCACUUUAAGAUCUUCGUGGUUCUCAUCACGAGAACAUGCCUUUCUAAGCCAUUCAUGUCUAGCACGAAUUUGGGCGGUUCUUUCUUUACUCUCAUUCAUAGAAACACGCAUAGCUUUCAAAGUUUCAUCCAUAUUAAUCUUGGGAGGAACACAUCUCGAUUUCAAAGCAUCAAUAUCAAGAGACAUUCUAUCAGCAGUCGUAGCCAAGUCAUCGCUUUUAAGCAAUUUUUCUUCUAUGGUAGCAUUGAAAAUCUUUUGCGAAGUAAUAAACUCCUUAAUAUUACUCUCAAGAUCAGAGGGUAUUUUAUUAUAAUUUCCAUGAGCAUUGUUGUAGGAAUUGCAAAAAUUAUUAGAGGGAUUACUAGGAAAAAGCCUAGAAUUAAAGUUACCUCUAUAAGCAUUGUUGUUACCAAAAUUAUUCCUACCAACAAAAUUAACAUCCAAAUUUUCAUUGCAAUUCUCAAUCAAGGAAGACAAAGGCAUAUCAUUUGGAUCUAGAGGAGCACUUUUACUAGAAAACAACUUCAUUAACUCAUCCAUCUUAGCACUCAAAGAGUUAAUUUCUUCUAUGACAUGCACUUUUUUACUAGUUGGUGACCUUUCAGUGUGCCACUGAGAAUAAUUUGUCAUGAUAUUAUCUAGGAGUUUUGUAGCUUCUCCUAGUGUGAUUUCCAUGAAAGUUCCACCAGAGGCGGAAUCCAAGAUUUUUCUAGAAGCAAAAUUCAAACCAGCAUAGAAAAUUUGUAUAAUCAUCCAAAGACUCAGGCCAUGAGCGGGACAAUUUCUAAUCAUCAAUUUCAUUCUUUCCCAAGAUUGUGCAACAUGUUCAUGAUCUAGUUGCUUAAAAUUCAUGAUAUCAUUACAGAGAGAGAUAAUCUUAGCCGGUGGAAAAUACUUAGAAAUAAAGGCAUCUUUACACUUGUUCCAUGAAUCAAUACUAUUUUUGGGUAAAGAUGAAAACUAAGUUUUUGCUCGAUCUCGUAAUGAGAACGAAAAUAGCUUCAAUUUAAUCAUAUCAUUAUCCACAUCUUUCUUCUUUUGCAUAUCACAUAACUCAAUAAAGGUAUUAAGAUGGGAUGCGACAUCUUCACUGGGAAGGCCGGAAAAUUGCUGUUUCAUAACAAGAUUCAACAAGGCAGCAUUAAUUUCAUAUGAUUCCGCACUAGUAGCGGGAGCAAUUGGAGUACUAAUAAAAUCAUUGUUAUUAGUAUUCGAAAAGUCACACAAUUUAUUUUUUCAGACAUGGUGACUUAGCAAGCAGAUAAGCACGCAAGCAAACAGAAAGCAAGCAAAAGAAAGGGCAAAUGAAAAAGGCAAAUAUUUUUGUAAAUUUUGUUUUUUAGAAGUGGGGGAGAGGAAAACGAGAGGCAAAUAAUGUAAAUGCAAGAGAUGAGUUUGUGAUAGGUACUUGGUAGAUAUGCUUCACUUGAAUACUCCCCGGCAACGGCGCGAGAAAUUCUUCUUGCUACUUCUUGAGCUUGCGUUGGUUUUUCCCUUGAAGAGGAAAGGCUGAUGAAGAAAAGUAGAGAUAAGUAUUUCCCUCAGUUUGAGAACCAAGGUAUCAAUCCAGUAGGAGUAUCAAGAUGAGGCACCAAUGAACCUGCGCAAAAACAAACAAACUUACACCCAACGCGAUAAAGGGGUUGUCAAUCCCUUCACGAUUACUUGCAAGGUGAGAUCUGAUAGUGAUGAAAGGUAAAUAUAAAGAAAAGUGCAGCAAGGUAUUUUUGGUAUUUUUCUAUGUAGAUCUGAAUAUAUAAUGUGUAAGAUAGACCCGGGGGCCAUAGUGUUCACUAGAGGCUUCUGUCAUGAUAGCAAGUAUUACGGUGGGUGAACAAAUUACUGUCGAGCAAUUGAUACAAUGGCACAAAGUCAUGACGAUAUCUAAGGCAAUGAUCAUACAUAUAGCCAUCACGUCCGAGACAAGUAGGCCGAUACUUUCUGCAUCUACUACUAUUACUCCACACAUCGACCGCUAUCCAACAUGUAUCUAGUGUAUCAAGUUCAUAACAAACGGAGUAACGCCUUAAGCAAGAUGACAUGAUGUAGAGGGAUAAAUUCAUGCAAUAUGAUAUAAACCCCAUGUUUUUACCCUUGAUGGCAACAACAUGAUGCGUGCCUCGCUACCCCUUCUGUCACUAGGUGAGGACACCGCACGGUAUGAACCCAAAACGAAGCACUUCUCCCAUUGCAAGAAUUAUAGAUCAAGUUGGCCAAACGAAACCCAUAACUCGAAGAGAAUUACAAGGAUAUGAAAUUAUGCAUAUAAGAAAUCAGAGGAGACUCAAAUAAUAUUCAUAGAUAGUCUGAUCAUAAAUCCACAAUUCAUCGGAUCUCGACAAACACACCGCAAAAGAAAGUCAUCGGAUAGAUCUCCAUGAAGGUCAUGGAGAACUUUGUAUUGAAGAUCCAAGAGAGACAAUUAGCCAUCUAGCUACUAGCUAUGGACCUGAAGGUCUGUGGUGAACUACUCACGCAUCAUCGGAGAGGGAAUGGUGUUGAUGAAGAAGCCCUCCGUGUCCGAAUCCCCCUCCGGCAGGGCACCAGAACAAUCCCCAGAUGGGAUCUUGCGGAGACAGAAGCUUGCGGCGGCGGAAAAGUAUUUUCGUGGCUCCCUCUGGUGGUUUUGGAAUUUUUGGGCAUUUAUGGGCGAAAGAGGUAGGGUAGAGGAGGCAAGGGGGGCUCACGAGCCUGCUAGGCGCGCCCCCUAGGGCACGCCUAGGGGGCUCGUGACCUCCCACGAGACCUCCUGCCUUGGUUCUCAAGUCUUCUGGGUAUCUUCUGCUAUGGAAAAAAUCAUCCCGCAGGUUUUAUUCCGUUUGGACUCCGUUUAAUAUUCUUUUCUGAAAAGGGUCAAAAACACAGAAAAAACAGAAACUGGCACUAGGCACUGAGUUAAUAGGUUGGUCCCAAAAAUGAUAUAAAAUGGCAUAUAAAUGCAUGUAAAACAUCCCAAGUUGAUAAUAUAAUAGCAUGGAACAAUCAAAAAUUAUAGAUACGUUGGAGACGUAUCACAGUCCCGUUGGCGGGCACUCGGGCUUUCUAGCGACUUACAGGCGCAUCCGACGCCUCUUUGCACGAAGUAAGAUGAAAGCACAUAUCCUCCAAUACAUUCAUUGCUGUCAGGUGUGCCAACAAGCCAAGCCUAACCGUGCUGCGUCUCCAAGGCUUCUCUUACCAUUGCCCAUUCCAGACGAGUUAUGGGAAAUGAUAUCUAUGGACUUCGCCGACGGUCUUCCAUAGUCUAGUAAGAUUAACUUCUUGCUCGUUAUCGUGGACAAGUGCACCAAAUUCGCCUACUCCCUCCAUGUGGCUCAUCCAUACAUAGCAGCGUCUGUUUCUCAACUCUACUUGCAUCAAAUAUACAAGAUCCAUGGGCUGCCGGGGGCAAUCAUGUCGGUCAGGGACCUAGUUUUCACAAGUCAUUUGUGACAGGAACUAUUCUGUGGCGCGGGCACAGAACUCAGGAUGAUCACAACAAAUCACCCAGAUACUAAUGACCAAACAGAAUGCGCCAACCAAUGCAUCGAGACCUUUCUAUGCUGCUUCACACAGUCUUGUCCACAUCAAUGGAGUUUGAGGAUUCCACUGGCCCAAUUCUGGUACAACAACACCCACCACUUGGCCAUCGGGAUGAUUCCGUUCAAUGCUAUGUUUGGGUAUGAACCUCGCCAUUGGGGGCUCACAACUGCUACAGUUUGCUCGGUCCCAGCUCUUCAAUCCUAGCUGGAUGAGCGUGCUAGGGUCCAAAGCCUUCUUCAACAACACCUCAAUAGAGCUCAACAACUUACGAAGGAGCUGGCUGACAUGAAGUGUUCAUUCCAAACUUUCACAAACGGUGAGCAGGUCUUCCUCAAACUCCACCCAUACAUCCAGGCUUCGGUUGCACCGCGAGCGAAUCACAAGUUGGUCUUCAAGUUCUAUGGCCCAUUCCCAAUCAUCGACAAGAUCAACGACGUCGCAUACAAGCUCCAGCUACCACCACACGCUACCAUGCACCCGGUGUUUCACGUUUCACUCCUUCACCGAGACAUGCUCCCGGGUAUGAUAGUCGAACUUUAGCUCCCACAUUGCUCUCAUGAUCUUGAUGUUCCUAUUGCUAUCUUGCAAAGUCACUGGCAUAAGCACAAAUAUGGCGUUCACGAACAAGUCUAGAUACAGUGGUCAAACUCCGCUGCAUUGGGACCUACUUGGGAAGACAAGGCUAGCCUGUUCGCUCGCUUCCUGCAUGCAGAGGCUUGGGAGCAAGCCUCAUCCCAAGGGGAGGGGAUGUCAGCGUACCUGACAUGCAGGACCAACAUGGCAGCAAUGGCCACAACUCCAACGCUGCCCAACGACCCGUGCGGCCCAGACGUCCCUACCCACACUACCACGGGCCGGCGGGGGCUAGCUGAAGCUAGCCUCCUCCCUACUUGAAGCCACACACAUGAGAGAGAGACAUACAUCAAGUGGAUCACAAACCGGCGGAAGUGGCUACCCGUUCCUCCAUCUCAUCCCGAUCCCCUUCUCCAAUUCAUGUAUCCCCAUGCUUGUAAUGGCUACUGAGACUCGAAUUCAUGUGAGAUGAUAGAUCGAGUGAUAUUUUACCGGGUACCUAAGACCUAGAUGUCCAUAAGGUCUGCAAAGCCGAGGUUCCGGUGUUGGAGAACGUUGCAAGGGAAAUAAAAAAAUUCCUACGCACACGAAGACCUAUCAUGGUGAUGAUCAUCUAUGAGAGGGAGAUUGGAUCUACAUACCCUUGUAGAUUGCUAAGCGGGAAGCGUUAAGAAACGCGGUUGAUGUAGUGGAACGUCUUCUCAAUCCAAAUCGCCGCCGUCCCACGAUCCGUCCCGAUCUAGCACCGAAUGGAUGGCACCUCCGCGUUCAGCACACGUACAUCUCGAUGACGAUCUCCGCCUUCUUGAUCCAGCAAGAGAGAUGAAGAGGUAGCUGAAUUCUCUGACAACACGACGGCGUGGCGGUGAUGAUGGUGGAGCUACUCCAGCAGGGCUUCGCCGUGCCGUACCGAUCUAGCUAUGAUAUGUCAGGAAGUAGUGGAGGGAGAGAGGUUUGCACAAAGGCUUGAGGUGCAAAGACCUUCUCAAACCUCCACUAUAUAUAAGAGGAACCAAAGGGUGGCUGCCUUGCCUCCUACUCCAAGUAGGUGGGGUCGGCCAAGCCAAGGAGGAAGGUUUCCUCCUCCAAUUCAGUUUGGAGGAGGAGUCCUUUCCUUCUUGCCCACCUCCUCUCUCUUUUUGUUUCGUUCUUUUCCUUUAUUGUUGACUUAGCCGAAAUAGGCUUAUUGGGCUGACCUCACCAGCCCACUAAGGGCUGGUGUGCCACCCAUGGGCCUAUUAGGUUCUCUCCCGGGUGGGUGGCCCCUCCCGGUAAAACCCCGAAACCCAUUCGUCACUCCCGGUACUUUACCGGUAAUGCCCGAAAUCUUUCUGGAAGUCAAAUGCAACAAUCCUAUAUAUCAAUCUUCAUUUCUGGACCAUUCUGGAGACCCUUGUGAUGUCCGGGAUCUCAUCCGGGACUCCGAACAACAUUUGGUUACCAACAUCAAUAAUUCAACUAUUCCAAAAACGUCACCGAACCUUAAGUGUGCAAACCCUGCGGGUUCAAGAACUAUGUAGACAUGACCGAGACACUCUCUGGCCAAUAUCAAAUAACGGGACCUGGACGUCCAUAUUGGAUCCUACAUAUUCUACGAAGAUCUUAUCGGUUGAACCUCUAUGUCAAGGAUUCACGCAAUCCCGUAUACCAUUCACUUUGUCCUUCGGUAUGUUAUUUGCCCGAGAUUCGAUCGUCGGCAUCUCCAUACCUAUUUCAAUAUCGUUACCGGCAAGUCUCUUUACUUGUUCCGUAAUACACGAUCCCGUGACUAAAUCUUUAGUCACAUUGCUUGCAAGGCUUGUUUGUGAUGUUGUAUUACCGAGUAGGCCCCGAGAUACCUCUCCGUCACACGGAGUGACAAAUCCCAAUCUUGAUCCAUGCUAACUCAACGAACACCUUCGGAGAUGCCUGUAGAGUACCUCUAUAGUCACCUAGUAACGUUGCAAUGUUUGAUACACACAAGGCAUUCCUCCGGUGUCAGUGAGUUACAUGAUCUCAUGGUCAUAGGAAUGAAUACUUGACAUGCAGAAAACAAUAGCAACAAAAUGACACGAUCAUAUGCUACAUUUAUAGUUUGGGUCUUGUCCAUCACAUCAUUCUCCUAAUGAUGUGAUCCUGUCAUCAAGUAACAACACUUGUCUAUGGCUAGGAAACCUUAACCAUCCUUGACCAACAGGCUAGUCAACUAGAGACUUACUAGGGACAUUGUUUUGUCUAUAUAUCCACACAUGCAUUUAUGUUUUCAUUCAAUACAAUUGUAGCAUGGAUAAUAAAAGAUUAUCUUGAAGCAAGAAAUAUAAUAAUAACUAUUUUAUUAUUGCCUCUAGGGCAUAUUUCCGGCAGUCUUCCACUUGCACUAGAGUCUAUAAUCUAGCCUCACAUAUCCAUGUGACUUACAAUGUAAUUAAUCUAACACCCAUACAGUUUUGGUGUUGUUCAUGCUUUGCUCGUGGAAGAGGUUUAGUCAGCGGAUCUGCAACAUUCAGAUCCGUGUGCACUUUGGAAAUAUUUAUGUCCUCCUCCUUGAUGUAAUCGUGGAUGGCGUUGAAGCGUCGCUUUAUAUGCCUGAUCCUCUUGUGAAACCUUGGUCCAUUGGCUAGAGAAAUGACACCAGUGUUGUCACAGAACAGAUUGAUUGGAUCCAGUGCACUUGGGAUUACUCCAAGAUCUGACAUGAACUGCUUCAUCUAGACACCCUCCCUAGCCGCCUCUGAGGCAGCUAUGUACUCCGCUUCGCAUGUAGAAUCAGCUACAACGCUUUGCUUGGAACUGCACCAGCUUACCGCAUCCCGUUAAGAAUAAAUACGUAUCCAGUUUGCGACUUAGAGUCAUCCAGAUCAGUGUCAAAGCUUGCAUCAACAUAACCCUUUACGACGAGCUCUUCAUCACCUCCAUAAACGAGAAACAUUUCCUUAGUCCUUUUCAGGUACUUCAGAGUAUUCUUGACCAUAGCCAGUGUUCCACUCCUGGAUCACUUUGAAACCUGCUUGCCAUACUUAUGGCCAGGCUGACAUCCGGUCUUGUGCACAACAUUGCAUACAUGAUAGACCCUAUGGCUGAAUCAUAGGGGACGACACUCAUCUUUUCUCUAUCUUCUGCAGUUACUGGACAUUGAUUCAUACUCAAUUUUAUACCUUUUAACACAGGCAAGAACCCCUUCUUGAAUUGUUCCAUUUUUAACUUCUUCAAAACUUUACCAAGGUAUAUGCUUUGUGAAAGAGCUAUUAGGCGUCUCGACCUAUCUCUAUAGAUCUUUAUGCCCAAUAUGUAAGGAACUUCUCCUAGGUCUUUCAUUGAAAAACUUUUAUUCAAGUAAUUAUUUACGCUUUCCAAAAACUCCACAUUGUUUCCAAUCAGCAAUAUGUCAUCCACAUAUGAUAUUAGAAACGUUAUAGAGAUCCCACUCACUUUCUUGUAAAUACAAGCUCCUUCAAAAACUUGUAUAAACCCAAACGCCUUGAUCACCUCAUCAAAGCGCUUAUUCCAAUUCCGAGAUACUUGCACCAGUCCAUAAAUGGAUCGCUGGAGCUUGCACACCUUGUCAACAUUCUCUGGAUCGACAAAACCUUCGGGUUACAUAAUAUACAACUCUUCCUUAAGAAAUCCGUUAAGGAAUGNNNNNNNNNNNNNNNNNNNNNNNNNNGAAUGCCGUUUUGACAUCCAUCUGCCAUAUUUCAUAAUCGAAAAGUGCAGCUAUUGCUAACAUGAUUCAGACGGACUUAAGCAUCGCUACGGGUGAGAAUGUCUCAUCGUAGUCAACUGCUUGAACUUGUGAAAAACCCUUUGCCACAAGUAGACGUUUAUAAACGGUCACAUUACCGUCCGCGUCCGUCUUCUUCUUAAAGAUCCAUUUGUUCUGAAUAGCCUUGCGACCUUCAGGUAAUACUUCUAAAGUCCAUACUUUGUUUUCAUACAUAGAUCCUAUCUCAGAUUUCAUGGCUUCUAACCAUGUGUUGGAAUCUGGGCCCACCAUUGCUUCUCCAUAAUUCACAGGAUCAUUGUUGUCCAACAACAUGAUUGACAAGACAUGAUUCAUGUACCACUCAGGAGCAGUACGUGCUCUUGUCGACAUGCGAGGUCCGACAGUAACUUGAUCUGAAGCUUCAUGGUCAUCAUCAUUAGCUUCCUCUUCAACUGGUGUUGCCUCGACAGAAAUUUCUUUCUACCCUGCACCACCAUCUUGUUGAAGCAGAGGUUCCGCAACCUCAUCAAGUCCUAUCUUCCUCCCACUCAAUUCUUUCGAGAGAAACUCUUUCUCAAGAAAAGCUCCGUUCUUAGCGACAAACACUUUGCACUUGGAUCUAAGAUAGAAGGUAUACCCAACUGUCUCUUUUGGGUAACAUAUGAAGUCACACUUUUCCACUUUGGGUUCCAUCUUUUCGGGCUGAAGAUUUUUGACAUAAGCAUCACAUCCCCAAACUUUAAGAAACGACAACUUUGGCUUCUUGCCAUACCAUAGCUCAUAUGGUGUCGUCUCAACGGAUUUUGAUGGUGCCAUAUUUAAAGUGAACGAAGUUGUCUCCAAUGCAUAACCCCAAAAUGAUAAUGGCAAAUUUCUAAGAGAUAUCAUAGAUUACACCAUAUCUCUACUAUUAAAGGAGGAUCUGUCGUCGUCGUGAUGGUUCGACUGACAGAUCCCCUCGCUAGCACUUGCGUUCCACCGAUUUUUUUCCCACUGUUUUUCCCCAUCCCUCCAAAAAUCAAUCCCCAUCCCCAUCCCUCCAAAAACCAAACCGAAUUUUUUCUCCCCGUCCAAAAACCAAUCCGGUACCUCCCCACCUCGUGGUCAUCCCCACCUCGUAGUUAAAACAAAACAGUUGAAUCAAACACACCCACGCACGCACGCCUCGUCCAUAGUUGAUUACAAUAUCACCCACGCACGCAUGCCUCCCUCGCCUGAUCGCCGUUCGCCUGCCUGGCCUGGUCGUCGUUCGCCGCCAUCGCCUCCCUCGCUUGGUCGCCGCUCGCCUCCCUGGUCGCCGUUCGUGGUGCUCGUUCUUGGGCCUUGCCGGUAGCCGUUCGUCGCCAUCGCCUGCCUCGCCUGAUCGCCGUUCGCAGGCCUCGCCUGGUCGCCGUUCGUGCUGCUCGUUCUUGGGCCUCGCCUGGUCGCCAUUCGCCUCCCUCGCCUGAUCGCCGUUCGCCGCAGCAGAGGAGCACCUUCUCGCGCCUUGUGCUGCCUCCCUCGUCAUCUCGUCCUCGUCUUCAAACUAUCCCUGGAGAAGAGCACCUUGCCUCGCCUGAUGCAUGCUGUGGGUUUGAUGGCAGAAGGUUUGUUGGAUUUAUAACUUUAUAUAUGAACGGAAAAACAAAUCCCUACUGUUAUAAACAACUCUUCUCCUUUUUAUUUGAAGUUCCCUGACAUAAUGAAGAAAUCCCUACUGUUACAUCAAGGUAUCCUUACAUGUAUGAAGAAAACAUAUAGGUGGACCAUCUGUCCCUCUUACGAAUAGUGUCAUGCUAGAUACUUACAGGAUUCCUAUAGUACAGAUUUCUUCAACUCAUGGUGAUUACAACCUUUGAUCUACAACAUUUGUAUAAGCUGAUAGCAGCUGAGUGAAAAUUUAAAAAUAAAUAAGCACUGCCAACAUGAGAUGGAAGGAACUCCAGCAUGUCAAGAAGCUGUAGAUUUAAAAACUUAAUUUAUAGGGGUUGAUUAUUUGAUUACCGUGUUGACUUACUAAUGCUUCCGAUGCCUAUCCUGAAUUUAAGAGGAACCUUAAAGGAUCGGCAAAACUUUAGCAUGAGCAACAUUAAUAAAUAGACAAUCAUGACAACAGGAGCUACAAUAGAGGCAUAUUUGGAUAAUACUUUCAAAUUGCCAAGUCACAGGUAGAUGAAUAUAUACGCAUCUUCAGGAAAGGAAAACAUUACUAUGACUUAGUAAGGAACACAUUACUAUCUCUUAGUAAGGAAAACAUUACUAUCUCUUAGUAAGGAAAACAUUACUAUGACUGAGAAUAUCAUCUCUACCUAAACCUUGCUCCGAGCAGUACCAGAAGAAGACCAAGCAUACAACAAAGCAAAUUUGACGUACCAACACUAGGAGACUCAGAUUUCUCUGCAUUUACAGCAGGUUGGCUGUUGAUGGUAAGGAAACCCUUUGAGUUCAUCUUCACCAACUGAUCAUCAAUUGUAGUUGUCUCGGGUUGAAGACCAUCUAACUCAGACCAUGGGCUGCUUUUAAGUUUUCCUUCACAGAAGUUUACGAACCACUGUAGGUGAGAAAGGUGGGUUAGCAAAAACAUUGACACUUUGAAAUUGUUUGUAUGGCAUACAUUGCAAUAGUAUACUAUCAUGUAGUUCAAGAGUUACCUCAUUAAUGUCUUGCACAGAUUUCAGUGGAACAGCCCAUUCCUCUUGGAGCUUCUUACCACGCCCAUGUGGCCAUGUGAACUGUGAAAGAGUGGAUAUGUUAUCACAUACAACUAUAACUUUAUGAAAUUUAAAUCAAAAAAAAGCAGGUCCACUACUAUAGGUAAUCUUUGCAACAGUGAAUAGCCAAUGCCCAACAACUGAAUUAUGUUGCAUGGGAAGAUGAUUUAAUUGGCACUAAGAAACAGAUAAAUGUUUCUUUUCGUAGAAAACUAAUAGACAGAGCCCAUCAAGAAGAGUGUUGGGCAUACAAUAUUUUCUGCUGNNNNUUUUGUGCAUUCAAUAUUUUCUGCUGAACCAAUAUUUCUGGAUCUUAUGUAAAUGCUCACUUUCAACUAUAUUUCUUUCUGGAAGAUAGAGUCUACAAGUUAUGAAGAUGUUGCAUGCAGUGUCUGUGCAAAACUGUUUAUGAAUACAAUAAUUAUAGAUUCAAACAACAAGACAAUGAAAUUAUCUCGUGGUCAUUAAGGGCUCCGUAUGAUGGGUUCCUGGAAUCACCCCACCGCCCCUGUGGGUAUUGAUCCCAACCAGUGGUCCUUCAAAUGUAACUCUUUGGUCUGUUGGCCCUGCUCACUUAUAUCAAAGACAAGAUUGAAUGAGCAUAUGUGUGGUACUAAUAGUCAAUCAGCUUUCACAAAGAAAAAAUCAGAAAAAAAUUUACCAGAAUAUAGGACGAACAUCCUCUUUGACACGGAAAACAUUAGUUGGUGCCCUCCAAGGUAAUGUUCUUGAAAUCUUGGAUUCCUCUAUUAAUCCAAGAUUCUGGAGAAACAAUAGUUAGCUGUUAGAAACUCGUCAGAGCAAAAAAUUAAACCAAGCAAGACAAGGAAAUCACCAUCAUAAUUGCUAAAGCGGUCUUUUCCAUGUUUAGUGUGUAAAGGUGCAAAGUCUUGAGGCGCGAGUGUUUUGGACUUCAGCGGCAUGAUCCAAACCGGUUUAAGGGACACACCAUCGCACUAUAGAAAAGCAGAUCACACGAACACACACAAGAGGUGAAUCGAACCUGUGGAUAGGAGAUGAUGCUCUUAGGUGCUACCAUUCUGGCUUGAGUUUUAUUGUCAUCUCAGCAUCAGCAAGUGCCUUAUUAAGCUUAACCAGCUGCAGAAAUGCAGCAGCUCGGUUGCUGGCAGUGAUUUAAAUAAAAAGGAUAUCAGAACUUGCCAAAAAGUUUAUUUCAAUAAAAAGGAAUACAUCACAAAUCUCCAACUUAAUGCCUACUUUUUACUACUUGAAAGCCGGCUUGGUUCUCAGACCUUUUUUUUAGGUUUUAGAUCAAUUAAUUCGACACCUGCUUUGAAAGGGAGAGGCCUGAUUUGAAAGGAAUUUUUGGAUCAGGAGCGGGGAUCAAACGUGCAAACUGGAGUACAGCCUGGUUCGUCCAUUAUUUUGGUUUAACAUUUACAUUAUGUCGCUCUCUUAUUUAAAUGAGAUUAACCCUGGAAUUGGAAACUAGGAUAUGUCCUCCACUAAACAAUAACUAUGGUCGAUUCAGACAUCAUUUUUCCAUUGCCAAUCGCGAUGAUUAGGAUACAUACAAAGUUUUCAUUGAAAAAGGUAUAUAAAGUCUACGGUAGAAACAGGGAUGCUGAGUGUGAUAAAUCUUUAGAAUAAAGGGGCGAGGGGAGAACAGGCUGGUUCAAUUGGCAGAAACUAUCAACACCUCCCAAGUUUCAGCAAUUCAUAUGGUGCCUACCUCAUAGCAGCCUGCUGCUACCAAUGAAUAUUCAAACAAACCUAGUUUUAACAAAAGGGAUGUGUUUCAUCAACAAAACUCUGAUCUUUCCCGUAACACCAUUAACAAAUAAGAACAAAUGCAUACUAUUACUGUUAGAGUUGUGUCGAAUAUUCUUGUACAAGAUAGGUUACAGUUGGACUCUGAGUAGUAUUGUGUUUAGACAGGAUAUGGAGUCGUGUCCUGAUAGGACACUUGUAUCCUAGGCCUCUCAUAUAUAACGGGGGUAGACACACGAUGUAACCUAUGCCAACAUAAUAGCACAAGCGUGCAGGGGGAGCCGGCGGUGUGUGCCGGCGCCCGGGUGGCCAGCGUGCGGUAUUGUGACGGUGUCACAGGGAGGAGCGCCCGUAGUCAGGCCCCGGGGAUGUAGCCAUAUCGGUGAACCUCGUUAACAAAUCUCGGUGUCGUGCUCGUGUGAUUGCUUGGUCCUAGGUAGAUCAACGAAUUGCCUCGGAUUAUUCUAACAAGUGGUAUCAUGAGCAAGGUUGCAAUAUCCGCGAGACGAGGGAAUUGAUCUAGAGGAAGAAUUGAUGUUGUGAUCGAUGGUGUGUGCAUGAGAAGUCGCCGACGCGGCAUAUGCAGACGCAAGGCGAUCGGGAUACAUCUAAACUCAAGAAGCAAUCCGAAGGCAUGGCAGCGUGCAGCCCUGUGCGAGGGAAGCAGCGUACAGUGUACAACGGAAGACCUCGGUGUGCACCGGAAGUCUCGACGAGAUCGAUAGAAGCGGCAGCCGCAUAUCGUGCAAGCAGAAGGCAGAUCGAUGGGUGCGGCGCCUGGAACCGGCCAGGUUCAGUGCGUGUUGGCAUAACAAUCGUGAGGCCUAGCAAUGCGCACGUGGUUUCUUGUAGCAGUCGGAUCGAUCACGAGGCAGCAUGGCCAGCUGGUGGAAGGCCGGCUACAUGGCCAAGGGCAACAGGGGGCCGAGGUGAAGUCACGCCUGGUGCUCAGCGCACGGCUACUUGCCGGGAAGUUGCGAGCUGGACGUGCAUGUACUGGAGAUUUGUUUGUGAAAAAAAGACAGCCUGCAGCAUCUGGUAUUUAAGUGGCAUGGGACAGCACCAUGGUUGGAGAAAAAGAGCCUUGGGAGUUGUGUGGCACAUAGUGCACGCAUGAAAGCUAUCGGGAACAUUGUUUUUCAAAGGUGUUGCUAAUUACAAGUAUGGUUCUACUAGAAGGUUGGCAGGUUUGUGAUGUGCGCAUAAGGCUUGAGGAGCCUGGAGUGCAUGUGCAAGGAUCAUGUAAACACAGGGCGUCAAGCAAUGCAUGGAGAUGUGCGGUGGGCACGACGCAAGGUGGAGCAUGGUUGCAGUCGAAUAUUUUUGGUUGGGUCGGACUGGACAGUCUGACGGAUCGACGGCGAUGUCGGUCAAAGCAGAAGACGGCGGUGAUUUCAGCGACGACAACAUAGGAGAGUGAUGCUGAUGGUGGCCAACUUCUGGGAUGUGGAAACACGUGGUGCAGGUCUGAGGGCUUGUGCAGCUUCAAACGACUAUGACACAGGGUUGAUUCAAGGCAGUGCACACAUGAGAGCUUGAAGUCGACAGGGCGCGGGGUAGCAGGGCCAGCUACAUGGAGUCAUGUUGAAGGUGGAGCUGGAGUCUAGUGGAAGAUUUCACUCUGUGCUGAUGGAGGGGCUACGACGUAAAUGGAUGGAGAGUCGAAGCCUAUUUCAGCGGGUAGCGAGAGACACGUGGAUCGGACUAGGUACCAGUGGUCUGAUGGAGACAUGAUACUCGGCAUCAGUCGGUGAUGACCGGUGGUUCUCUGCAGUGGGGGUUGAGUGGUGUGGGUUCGCUGCCUUGGAGACUCGACCAGGACAGCAGAGGCUCGACGCGGUGAUAGCGGCGAGGCGUGCGAUAAGCAUGGGACACAGCGACAGACCAAGGCACUGGUGGUCAGACAUGUGGUCAGACAAAAUUGUGCAAAGGGUGCUGAAGCAGUGUUGGCGAGUAUCGGAUUCAAGUUGAUGACUGGGUCUAUCGGUGCCGGUUUGAUGGACGGGAGUUGACCAUGGAGAAUCUGAGAAAGUGACGGAAAGUCUGAAUUAUCAUAAGCGGAGAGAGUACAUGGCCGCAUAUGAUGUGGUGUUUAGUGCACAUGGGAAGCUGCAUAUGACAAGUACAGAAGAAGGCGGAGUGCUAUAGCUUUGGGACAUGUCAGAGACUAUCCGGGAAAAGGAUGAGACAAGUGCGAAUUUGACUCCGGGGUGACACAAGACGACGGUGAAAUUCCUUCAAUUUUCAGAUAGACGGUCAAGGAAGAGAGAAGAUGUUGAGUUCAGAUAACUCUUAUACGUGGCAUCAAAUAUGUGGGUUGUUCACUUUCAUGCAGGUCAGUGAUCAGUGUGUGAUGGCGUUGAAUGGAUACUCCGGAAGUUGAAAGCACAAAGUAGAGUAAUAAGGAACUUAACUUUGCUCGAGGGUUGACUGUGAAGAAGACGAGAAGGGACUACAGUUGCAGGUGGAGUCACAUGGAGUCUGGGAGUAGCAGUGGUGCUCAUGGCGUAUCUCAAGUCCAAUGUACAUGGAAGUUUGACGCAUGGAUGAACUCAAAGAGGUGGAGAUUAUUCGCCAAGGUGGAGUUUGUUAGAGUUGUGUCGAAUAUUCUUGUACAAGAUAGGUUACAGUUGGACUCUGAGUAGUAUUGUGUUUAGACAGGAUAUGGAGUCGUGUCCUGAUAGGACACUUGUAUCCUAGGCCUCUCAUAUAUAACGGGGGUAGACACACGAUGUAACCUAUGCCAACAUAAUAGCACAAGCGUGCAGGGGGAGCCGGCGGUGUGUGCCGGCGCCCGGGUGGCCAGCGUGCGGUAUUGUGACGGUGUCACAGGGAGGAGCGCCCGUAGUCAGGCCCCGGGGAUGUAGCCAUAUCGGUGAACCUCGUUAACAAAUCUCAGUGUCGUGCUCGUGUGAUUGCUUGGUCCUCGGUAGAUCAACGAAUUGCCUCGGAUUAUUCUAACAAUUACUUUGAUGCUGCACUUAUUUUUUAGUGUGCGGAUAGGCAUGAGAAGCAAACAAACAGGAUAGUGCGAGACUCGUUACGAUUCAAAGUAAGAUAAGUGAGUUAGGUGACACACCUGAUUAGGACUUCAGAUAGAGAAAAAAUAACAAUACCUUGUGGAUAGCAAAUCAUAGCAUCCAUGUUGCUUAGUAUCUGAUUUAUUUUGGAGGAGAUUAAUUUUCUAUCAAUUCUCACAAGAAAUUCUUAACAUGAGCCAAACGUGGGACUGGGAGGGAGGUUUUUCUUAUGGUUAUGUGCACUGCCAUUUUUUGCAUGGUUCUAAUUGUCCUAUAAUGUUAUUCUAUCUGAUCCAACCUAAUUGACACAACCUCGAAGGAGUAGCAAUAAUAUACCUUGGUUCAUCCGUAAAUUUAAUUGGAAACAAAUACUAAAUGCCUUUCUCUUUUCCUUUUUGUCUUAUGUUUUUGAUAUGUAGGAAUAGAUGCUUUAUUAGCUGCUGGUAAGAACACUGGUCCCUUCUAAAGUGAUGUACAAAGUCAAGAUAUUUUGAGGCUCGCAUAUAAGAAAGUAGAGAUGUCACCUAUUAAAGUCAUGGAAAAACUUCCUCAACCCUGUCAGGAGCUGUAUACUUAGUGCUGGGAUUGGCCUUUGCAAGCCGUUUAAUUUGGAAUCUGUAUCAAGCUUGUGAAGUAACACGACACCCCAUUUUCUCUGGCAGGUUAUCUACUUCACCGACCCCAUGGACCGUGCAUC